GUGGGUCUUCGAUGGGAAGACCCCCACACAUGAUGUUCCCCUUUUACUCUAUACCAAGCUUCUUCCUCAUCUCCAUGACAAAGCCAUGGACCUUCUGUGGGUCUUUCAGAGAAGACGACACACUCUCCUUUUCCUUGCACCUCUUGGUCCAAGCGAUCAACUUGGGGCACUCCACCUCUAUGCUGAAGUUACCAAAGCUCUCAUACGCAUAAAACAAGGUUGAGAAAGUCACCAGAGCCACAUCCACAAACCCAAAUUUCUCACCACCAAAGUAAGGCUUCUCUCCAAGCUCUCCUUCCAAAAUCUUAAGGUACUCUAUGAAUUCAUUCUUGGCUGUUUCCUGCUCUUCUCCUUUGGUUGACCAUAUCCUCCUUCCAAGUUCAUAGAGCUGUGGAAAGUAAUGGAGUCAAAGAGAGAAAAGGCUUGUUUUUUUUGGAGCAUUUCAUCAAGUUUCAAACUUUCUGUAUAGUUGGACAAGUUUAUUAACGACCCUUCAGCAUAGAAAUCUCGUAUCCUAGGAAAAAUAUCAGAAUCAGCUGAAAGAAUGUAUCAUUUGCUAAAGUUUUUCCCCUCAAUUUGGGUUAAAGAAAUGAGAAGAAAGAGAUCAAAAAGACAGAACACAUAUUAAAACAACUGUUGUGCAAAAUGUUGAACAGAAGGAUAACAAAAAACCAAAAUCUGUUCUUUAAAAUCUGGUUUAUGUAUCCCCUUUCUUGGGGGAAAACGUAUUCUUGAGAUCUGCUUUUUUGGAUGGAACGAACAGACUUCGGAUUCAACAGAACAAAGAAAUAAAAACCCAUAUCAGAAAUGCAGAGUGGAGUCUUGUUGAAGAAACAGCAAAGAGAAUCAGUAAAGUUCUAGUUUGGGACACCAAAGCCAACAAAACUAAAUAUCAGAAGAGAAUAUGUGAAGAACCAGAAUUUUGGAUAAAUCCCUCACCAUAAUCAAAAUGUGAGUCAAUCGCCAUGAAUCAAUGGAAAAGAAUGCUUUAAAUCAACAGAAAAGGCAUACCUUCUUGUCUAUGUAGUCCGCCCAGAACCUGGCCUGAGCUCUCUGGUAUGGGUCACUAGGCAACAAGGGAGAUUUUUCGUUCCAAACCUCAUCAAUAUACUGAACUAUUAUCAUAGACUCACAAAUGGGCUUUCCAUUGUGGAUCAGAACUGGGAUUUUCUUAUGAAUCGGGUUCAUCUCAAGAAGCAGAGGACUCUUGUUGCUCGUGUCCUCCUCUCUAUAUUCAUACUUGAGACCCUUCUCUGCCAGGGCAACUCUGACCCUCAUACCAAACGAGCUAGGCCAGAAAUCCAACAAGAUAAUCUCGUCUGCCAUUGCUACUACUGUGAUUGAUAAGAUUCAAACUCAAGCAUUGAUGAACUCAAGGGAAAUUGUUAAGUAUUUAUAGCAAACUUCAGAGACGUGGGUUAGAUACUUCUAGGAGGUGAUGAUGCUCAUUCCCUAGCUUUCAUUUUCAUUUUCCUUAAUUAUAUUCUUAUCUCCGAUUCGUAGCUCUCCAGGAUUCCCAUAUUUUGAGUUUAUUUAUUUAUAAGCCAAGUGUUUUUAAUUAAAUAUAAUGCUUUCGAAAUUCUUUGAAAAUUAGAAAAAAUAGUCAUAUUUGAUCAUUUUAAUUUUACUACUUACUUUUAAAUCCAAAAUAGAAAGAAAUUUAGUGUUAUUUUGAAAAUUUAGUGUCAUUGUUACAUUUUUUAUUGCCAUUUUAUGAUUCAAAUUAUCCAUUUCUUUGAUGUUGCUUCUCCCUAUCCAUUUUCGACAUUGGGAUUAAAACUAUUCACUAAAAAAUUGAUUGAUAUAAAAUUACAUUAAAUUUAAAUUAAAUUCAGAUUGACGGAUUAUUUGUCACUAUGCAUGUCAUGUUGCUUGCAAAAACUAUCCAUUCGAUCUCCUUUGCGGUGGUGAUCGCGACAACAAAAACAUGGAAGGAAAGGAAAAACCUUAAUGUUGUUAGCAAGAAAUGAAAGAAUUGGGAGGUUGUGAAGUCUACUUAUGAUCUUAUGAUCUUGUCAAAUAUGAUCAUCAUACAAUACUUGGUAACAUUUAAUUAAAAUAUAUAGUAUUUUUGAGUGACAUUCCCUGCUUAUUACCAACAUAUGGUAGUCACUAAAACCAAUGUCUUUAGUAUAUUUCUUAAUUUAAAACAAUAAAAAGUUAUAAAAAAAUAAUAAAAUGAAAAAUAAAUUUAAAUUCAAUUAACAUUUCUUACAUGUUUCAACAAGACUAUCUCUUUUCUUUUCUUUUUUUUCUAUUCUACAUAAAGAUUGAAAUUUUUUUAUUAUAUUUGAUUUUAUUUUAUACCUUUGAACUAAAGAGAAUUUAGAUUUCUUUCCAUCUCUAUUUUUUUUCUUCAUUUAGUACUUUUUGUAAUCCAAUGGGCUAAAUAUAUUUGUUGCUAGAAAAUUUUACAUUCUCCGUAUUAAAAUUAUGAUCAUCACUACUAGCACUCAAGUAAAAUCUCUCACAAGAAAUAUGUGUAUUAUAAGAAACUAUCGGUUGUAGGAAUUACUCACUAAUUGGUUAAUAAGUAUGGCAAUCUUAUCUUAACACUCAUGGUAGGAUUUUACAUUCCAGUAUGGAAAAAAAACAAGUGACAAGAAAGGAUCACGUACGGAAGAUGCCCAAGCAAGUUCUUGUUGUUUGGUCUAUAUUUUUGGAAUUUUCUUUUUUCUUCUUUCAUGAUUGUGGGCUGUAGUAUAAAAACAUUACUUCUCAACCCCUUUUUCUUCUUUCAUGAUUGUAGCAUAGUUAGAAUCUUAAGAAUCCUUGCUUUGUUGCCUUCUCAUUUGUGAAAAUUUUCAAUAGUAUUAAAAACGAAAGUCAAUGGGUAUUAACGGUGUUACGAUAUUCUUUCCUUUUUUUAAUGGGUAUUGAUUUUGUCCUAAAUCAAACUUCCAAUUCAGACCAUUCAAAUGCAUAAUGAAAUCUAGGUCAUUGGGUCGGGCCGCCCAUUCCGUGGCUCGACACGCCACAAGGUCAGGCGGGGCCAUUACAGGCCAACACUGUAGCAAGCUGGGCUAGCAUGACCCAAAGGAGCAGGCCAUGCUAGGCCUAAAGAAAUAGCCCAUCGGCCCAUCGUGUUGGCCCACUUGGCCCUUUUAAAUUUCACUUUUUACUUUUAACUUUUUAUUACAUGUCAAAUGUCUAUAAUACCCAUCUCAACAACUAUAUUACGACUAGUUUGAGGGGUAAAAAAAGUAAAUCAAUAACUAUUUUUACUUUUUUUAUGUCAAACUUUAGAGGAUGAACUUAAAGAAGCCUUCAAGAAAUUGCAUCUCAAUGCAAACAAUGAUGUUCAAGAGAUUUAUGAUGAUUGAAGAUGAAAAAAUAAGAAUGAAGAUUGAAUAAGAAGACAAAAGUGAAUAUGAUAAUUGAAAAAUUAUAUGUUGUUCGUUUCUUUUAAAUCUAUUAAAUGUAGUUAAUUUUUAAAGGUUAAGUAAUGCAUAUGAUUGAUAGUUGGGUGGGUGUCAACCUGGAUGGGAUGUACUCAAACUAUAAUGACGCAAUUCUCACUUUUGUUUUUUUUUUCUCCUUAUUUUUUCAUGUAAUUUGUUGAAAUAUAGAAUAAAAGAAUUAUUUUUUUAUAUUUCAUUUCCUUUUAUAUUCCAUUAUUUUAAAUUUAUUGUUAUUUUGAUUUUAAAAAAAAUAAACAAAUUCAAAUAUAAUUUUUUUACUAUUUUUAAAAACAAAAAACUAACAUUUCUAUAAAUUUUACAAUUACAAACUCAAUAAAUAUAAAUGUAAAAAAUAAAAAGUAUAAUUAUUAGAAGUGUAUAAAAAAUAAUAUAUAUAAUUAUUAGAGGUGUUUCAAGUAACAAAAAGAAAUUUUAUUUAAUAUUAAGGAAAAAACUUAAGAAAAAAUGACUUAAAAAAUUAAAUUAAAAUUUUUAACAAAGUGAGUGGCCCAUGGGCCAUGGCCCACCGGCACAGCACGGCCUGACCCAGCACGACACGAUUAGCCCACGGACUUAUGGGUCAUGCCAAGCCACCUAUUUGGCUUGCAUGGGUCGGCCCAACCCAACACAUUGGCCCGUAAUGGCCCGAUCAAUAUUAGGCCAUGUCGGCCCAACACGACCCAUUGGGCAUCUCUAUAUACAAGAUUGAAAACCCUUCUUAUCAUGAGAUUUUUCAAAUCCGUUAUUUAUCUUUCAAAGUAAGACUUGUUUGCUAAAAAAAUUGCUCUCUUAGUCUUUAUUUUUGAACUAUCCAUAUCCAAAUAGGGGUUUCCUCCUUAUCUAAGGAGGAGAGAGCCUGAAGGACCAUCCUAGGUAUGGUGUAGUAGCUUGGAGAAGCAUCUAUACCAAAAUCAAAAUGAUAGUUCCAAAUGAAUAAGAUUCUCAUUAGCAACAACCAAUUCAAAUAUAUAAUCUUGGAAAAAUCUUUUCAUGAAAAUUUACUAAGAAUACCAAAACAUUUUUCUUUAGGUUUGAAUACUUAUUUUGGUAACCUUCUUAAUUAUAAAUUAUCUAUUAUGAAUUUUCAAAAUUAACUUAUUUUCUUUAAAUCCAAACCUUGUGCAAAAUAAGAAAAAUAUUAUUUUAUAAAGAUUUGGAAAAACAAGAGUUUUUUUAUUAAAAGAAAGAUUUUAUUCUUAGAGAUCUCGAAGAUCUAAGAAAAUUUUAAAUAAAAUUAAAAUCAUUAAGAAUUAAUUUUUAAAAGGAAUGGAAACUCUUAAUUCUUUUCUAACUUAUCUUUUCUUAAAAUAAAUUUCCUAACAAUACACAUUCCAAUUUAAAUAAGUUUUCCUAUUUUGAAAAACUCCAUCAAAAUUUAUAUCUAAUUAAGAAUACCAAAUUAUCCUAUUUUAGGUCACAUAUGCAAGUAAUAAAGAUAACAUAAAAUAAAAACAAGGAAAUAAUUAAAUAAAUAUUUCUCAUGAACUUUAGGGAUCCUAUUGCAUAUUUGGUAAUUAAAAAUUGGAUAAAAUUCAAAUUAUCAAAAUAUUCUUGCAACCAAAGAUUAGUUAGUAAAAAUUGAAAAAACUCUAAAAAGUUGAAUUUCCACAAAAAAAAAAAAAAAAAAAAAAACCUAAAAAAGAAGCCCAAAAUCAAGCCCAAAUAACCGAAAACAAUUUGGCCUGAACUCAAUUCAGAAAUAGCAUGCUCUUUGCACAACCUUACUACAAUUGACUAUAUAUUCCUCAUUUCAACUCCGAAUAGAAAAUUGUUUGAAGCAUUGGAUUCCUGACUUCCUAAGCUUCAAAAUCAUAUAUGAUUUGUUCCAAUUUUGAGUCAAAUUAGGAUCUAAAUCAAGAACUUCCAAGAAUCUUUCUUUUUUCUUAAGUCACCAUAGGAUCUCAAAAAUGAAAAUUUAAGAAUUUUUCCUUUCCUUUUGGGUCACCAUAGAUGGAUGAAAAAAAACAAAUUUUUUUACAACCAAAAAAAUAAAAAUAAAAAUCUUAUACCCCUCAUGGGGUGUACAACCCAACCUAGAGAAUAAAAUAGCAAAGAUCAUAUCCAUUCAUAUUCAUUCAUUCAAUUGAAUUAAUAAAAGCAUUUCAUUGAUUCAUCCUUAGGGUCUAUGAGAUGAAUAAAAAAACAACCCUGCAAAAUAGAUGUGAGCGCAACUUAGAAUAAAUCUAGCAUGCAAGUGUAGACCUUCCAUUUGUUCCAUUAGCACAUGCCCUAUUAAGUGCUCUUUUCAUACUUUGCAAUAGUCUCCUUUGGUGGCCCAUUUUCUACUCACACAACUUACCUUUUUUAGCCAUCUCAAAGACUCUAGUUGAGAGAUUUAUCUAGCCCCUCAUUGUGAGUGACCCUUGGCAACCCCAAGUUAGAUCUAGGAUUUUCUUUUUCUCUUUUUAUAAUAGCUCCUUUUUAAGUGCUCCUUUAGGACAACAUACUUAGACAUAUUCAAGUACACUUCUUAGGUCACUUAAACACACCCUAGGUCACCUAAGCACCUUCUACCUUAUAUAGACUCACUCUAGGUCACUUAGGCACUUUAUAAACUCACAUUAGGUCAAUUAGGCACUUUUAUGAUCACCUUAGGCCACUUAGGCACUUUUCUUAUCACUUUGGGUCACUUAGCACUUUUUUUUAUCACCUUAGGUCACUUAGGCAUUUUUUUUUAUUAUCUUAGGUCACUCAAGCGCAUUUUUGAUCACCCUAAUCCACUUAAACACAUCCUAGGUUACUUAAGCACUUUUCUUAUCAUCCUAGGUCACUUAAGCCCAUCUAGACACAUCUAGCCCAUUAAGACACACUCUGACUUAUUUAGACAUGCCUUAGUUAAUCUAGGCACAUCUAACCUAUUUAGACAUACCUUGAUCCAUAUAAGCCUAUUUGGUUCAUCUAGGCACACUUAGCCCAUCUAGGCACACCUGACCCACUUAGGUACAUACAUACUCGUCUAAGCACACACCGGUCCAUCUAGGCACACACCAGCCCAUCUAGGCACACCUUGACCCAUCUAGACACACCCUGGCCCACCUAGGGUUACUUGAGCCCACCUAGGUCACCUUUUAGGUAAUUUUUGCUUGCAAGACAUCUUUUUCUAUUUAGUAAUUUAUUUUAUUUAUUAUUUUGUGUAUUUUCUUUCUUUGUUUUUUAGUUUUUUUUUUUUUUUUAUAUUAACAUUGUAACACCUUUUUAUUCAUUUAUUAAAUCUAAUAUUUUUUGUGCUUUUGUAGGGAAAAGUUUGGAUAGGAAAGGAUCCUCUUUUGGAGAGAGAGAACUAGCCAUCUUUGAAGAUCACAAACAACCUCCUGAUAAGAUGAAAAGUUUUAGCUAUAUAUAGGGACUAGUUUUGAAAACUUGAAGAUAUACAAAUAAUGAAAGAGGUGCAUCACAUUAAGAGUCUAGAGAAGAAAGGUUUUUUUACAUAAGAAUGUAAAAAGAUAUGGAGGUAAGAGGGAUUUGGAAUAUAGUUGGUUGCUACCUUGGUUUUGGAAAGAGAUACUCAGCCAUAAUGGGCUCUUAGAAAGUCCUUGAAAGGUUAGAAUUCCGCAUAGGGAUUUUGAGGUUUUUUUUAUUUUUUAUUUUUAGGGGAUUAUGCUGGUUUUCUAGAGGGAAUAUCCAACAAUGUAAAAAAGAGGAAUCAUGUAGCGGUUUUUUUGGGAAGGAAGAUUUUAACAUGCAAAAGGGAGGUUCAGUUGCGGUCUUUGAAAUAAAAUCAUUCAGAGCGUGUGACGAACGAAAAAAGGAGAUUCGGUCCGUGGUGAGGAUGAGAGAUACAGUCCGCGUUUUGAAGACGUUUCGGGAGGGUUUUGAAAGAAUAUGGAGAUAGAGAGAUAUUCAACUCAUUUUGGGAGCACAUUCAGGCCGUGUUCUGGGGAUAUUCAGAGCGUGUUUUGGAGUCACAUUCAAGCCGUGUCUGAGAGUAAGAGGGAGCGUGUUUUCGAGGGUCACAUUCAGUCUGUGUUUUGGGAUCAUUGAGAACACGUUUUGGUUCCCAUUAGUAUGCAUCUAGUACAAAUUGAACCUACCAAUUCGCCAAUUAUGAGUUGGGCGCUUUAACCAUUCAGCCAUGGAUGCUUAGUGGGGAUCCUCGUACAUGGUGAAUAACCAAAUUCUAAUUGAAAUGAAAUCUUUAGGAUAAAUCAAUGUAAUUUAGGAGGAAUAAUGAAAGGACAUCAAUUCAAAUCUUGGAUUUUCAAAUUGAGAGAUAUUGAGAGAGAUCAAUAAUUCUCACUAUUUCUUAGAUUCAUGGACCCAAUUCACUUCAGUGGGAUAUUUCAUUCAUAUUUUUUUCCACCAAGAGAGCACAUUCAGGCUGUGGUCUGAGGGGAAGAUAAGAGAAGGUAAGAAAGGUAUCAUUUGGACAUUGUUUCAUUUUGAAAAUUUGUUUUGACUUUGUUAGUUUUUUGCGGAAUUUUGGAAUUAGGAUUAGAGAUAAGGGUGAUUUCUUUGAAAGUUUGAAUGAUUUUAAUAUCUGGACCUUUUGCUUUUAUUCAUGUUAUUUCAUUAAAAGCUUCAUCUUGAAAAUUUUGGUUAUGCUUUAAAUUUUUUUGGUUCUGAUUCAUGUUAUUAGAAUGUUAUUUCAUUAAAAGUUUCAUCUUGAAAAUUUUGGUCAUGCUUUAAAAUUUUCUGUUUAUGAUUUAUGUUAUUAGAAUGUUAUUUUAUUAAAAAGUCCCAUCUUGAAAAGUUGGUUAUAUAAAAAUUUGGUUAGGUUUUAAAUUUUUCGGAACAUAUUUCAUGAUAUUAGAAUGCUAUUUCAUUGAAAGUCUCAUCUUGAACAUUUUGAUUAGGUUUUAAUUUUUCUAGUUACUAUUCAUCUUAUCAAAAUGCUAUUUUCUUAAAAGUCUUAUCUUGAAAAUUUUGGUUUGGUUUUAAAUUUUCUAGCUAUCAUUCAUGGUGUUAGAAUGCUAUUUUAUUAAAAAUCUUACCUUGCAAAGUUUGAUAAUUUUAACGUUUAUAGGUUAUUCCCAUACUAUCAAAAUUUUCAUGUUUCAAUGAUUAGUUCUUAGGGUUUUUUUAUAUUCUCUAUUUAUUAUGCAUGUUAGUUGAUUGGGUUAUUGGAUUAAAUUGGCAAUGGUAGUUUUUAGGGGUUUUAGAUUCUCUUGUUACUAUGCAUGUUAUUUGAUGGGUUUAUUAGAUUAAAAGUUCUUAUCUUUGGAAACGGUAGUUCUUAGGUUUUUAGAUUUUUCUUGUUAUUAUGCAUGAUUAUUUGAUUGGGUUGUUGAAUUAAAAGUUGUCAUAUUUAGAAAUGGUAGUUCUCAAGUUUCUAGAUUUUGAUGUUAUUAUGCAUAUAAUUUGAUUGGGUCGUUGAGUUAAAAGUUCUCAUCUUUGGAAGAACCAAAUGAAUCAACCCAAGCUCUAAAGAAAAAUCUAAUAAAAAAUUCUUUUGAACUUUAAAAUGGGUUGGAGUUUCCUAGGAAACAAACACACCCACUCUUUGAAUGGAAGAGGAACUCAAUGGAGUUUGUCUGACUGUUGUAGGGGAGGUGUUCCCCUAACCCUAAAAAUCAAUUUUUGGUUCAAAUAGGUAAGAAAACCCUUAGGAAAUGUAAAUUUACAACCACAUGAAGUAUCAUUCUUAAUGCUACUUCAAUUUUGAGUCAAAUAAAUUUGAGUAAAAAUAAGACCAAAAUACCUACCAUGUCCUUGACUAAUUCAAAGGUCAACCUAUUCCAUAUAUUAAUGAACAACAAAUAAAGAAUGCUUGCGAUUUCUCAAAUAAUUCAAAGGCAAGACUUGACUCAAAGGAGUCAAAUGACACAUUAUUUUCUCAUAUGCAUCAUGACAAUAUUUGACACACAGAGUCAAUUGGCAUGUCUAUAUCAAUUUUUUUUUUAGUGCAAAAUGGAAUGGUGGUUAAGAACUUUUUUACCUCUUUAAUACAACUAAUACAAACAAAGCAUAUAUCAAAGUCUCACAAGAAAAAGCAAGGUAAAGCUCAUAAGCUUAUUGUGUGAACAAGUUGACAAAACAUGAAGGCCAAAAGUUUUGGCAUUACGAGGUCCAUUGGGAGGGCCCUACAAAUGCACAUUACAUUUGACCCAAAUUCUUCAAAUUUGCUUUUGAAAAGUUUAUCCAGUUAAAAUGACUACUAGCAUUGAAUAUAAAUUAAAUCAUUUAAGAUUAUCUUUUGCCAAACAUAUUAAUUAUAAAAUAAAAAAUCGUUAUAAAAGUGAUUUAAAAACCAUGCCCUAUCACAUUCUAUUCAUGGAGAAUGAUGUAAUCAUGCAACAACUAAAAAAUCCAAAAAAAAAUUUAAAGUUUUAAAUUUAAAAUUUUAAAGUACAUAGAAAAAUUAAUUCUAGAAACAUGUAUUUCAAUAGUGAAAUUAUCAAAAUUUUAAAAUUACACUGUAACCCUCGAUCUCAUUUCGCAAUUAAUUACUGCAAAAAAAUUUUAUUUUUUUCUUUUUACUUUAAUGUGACAAGUUAAAGAGCAAGUCAUUGUUGUCUUUUAAAAAACGAAAAGAAAAAAAAAUUGACUCAUGGUAACCAACCAUGUCAUAUGAUUUUUCUUUUUUCUUUUUCCUCUCCUUCGUAAUAUCUUUACCUUUCUGUUUCUUAAUUUCUAAUGUGUUGACUUCAUGAAAUCUUUUUAAUUUCAUUUUUCAUUAUUUCAUCUUCUACAUUUAUCGAUUUCAAUUAUUUAUGGAUAUUCUAGACACAAAAUAAAAAUAUAUAAUAAAUAAUUAAUGAAAACAAAUUUAAUAUACAAAUAAAUUCAUAAUGAACAAAUUUAGAAGCUUAGGACAUAAGAUUUUCUAUAUUCCUCCUAAAUAAAAUAUCUAUUUAUUUUAUAAUCUUAUUGCAUUGUCAUAUUAUUUUAUUGUUUAUAUUUUUAAAAAAAUUGUUAAAUUUUUAUGUGAAAGCACCUUUGAGUAGUAAUCAUAUUCAUUUAACCCAAUUAAUUCAUUAAGGUCCUUGGUAAUUGGUUUUAACCAUUUUGUGGCAAGUUUACAUGUUUUUAUCAGCUUAUGAAUCAAUUCAAGCAUGCCAAAUGAUGGAGGAGCUACUUGGACAAGUUAUGGCAAAGCCUUUGGAAGCUCAAAUUCAUGAAGAACCAAGCUUUGGAGCUCCAUAGCCCUUUGCCAAAGUCGUUCAAAGUAUGCAAGGAAAGAACAAUGGAAAAGAGGAAAAGCAAGCAAAGUGAAGAGAAGUAAAGAGGACAGCAGCUGCAAUCUUCUUUCGCACUUUUGGAGUACUUCCCGAAGUCCAUUUUUUACAUAAUAUAUACCAUUUCAAAGCUCUGGAAGUCAAGAAUCCAACGCUUCAAACCGUGUACGAUUUGGAGCUGAAAUGAGGAAGAUAUGGCCUUCGAAAGCCAACUGCUCCAGGUUAUGCGAAAAUUUCGCAUAACACCUUCAAAAUUCGCAUAACCCAUGCGUGUUACGUUUUACACUGAGAAUAUAUACAGAGCUCUCUCGUUUCUCUUUUCUCUUUGCUAUUUUAUUUUCUUGGAAGCCAAACAGCCUCUGAGGGCUUUUCCUCAGAGGAUGAUUGGCUAAAACUUUUAGUUUCUCAAAGUAUGGAUGUUAUGUGAUGACUUGGAUGCAAUCACAUGGAAAUUUCUCGCACCCGGAAGGUAAGGUAGUCGUUUUUCAUUAAAGGUUAAUUAAUGCAAAGUUUGGUUUUUAUUUCCUUUGGACAACUUCCAACGGCCAAUACUUGAUAAGCUUUUGGAUUUCUAUCCAUUAGUUAUCUCCUACGAGCUAUUGGAAGGUGAGGUUUUCAAUUCCAAGUUUUGCAUUAAUCCGUUAGAACCAAUUUCAAUGGCCAUUGAAAGGUGAGUUUAUCACUUGGAAUGACUUUGAGUUGCCAAUAUUUGGUAAGCUUUUGGCUUUAGACCAUUAGUUAUCUCUUACGAGCCAUUCAAAGGAAGUCUAAGGUGAAUAACAAUUGAUGAAAUUCACUACCAUCUGUUUUGCCAUUUUAAAGGAUUAAAACUUGAUUUGCUAAAUCCAUACCGGUUCGGGAAGCAAGCAUCACCAUAGUUGCAACCCCAACUCGAGGAGCCUAUCCUAAGAUUUCCAAUUUGCAUAAGAGCCAGAGCAUAGCUCUCCUAUCUUUGAGAAACUUGUUUUUACACCCUUUCAUUUUAGUCUUUAAUGUUAGCUUAGAUUAGUUUAAAUCUUUCUAAAACAUUUACAUCUUCUUUUAAAGCUAACAUCCAUAAGAAAAUCACCUAUUUUCCUAAUUUGAAUAUCACUAGUGUUUGCGAAAACCCUUCCCAGUGAACGAUCCUAGAACCACUAUGCUAUAGUAGCUUGGCUACUUUAGUAAUAGUAUUCAAGGUAUAAAUUUUGUUGAUACGCCUUUAAAGCUAAGCUACCAUGAGUCGCAUCACAAAGCCCACAAAACUCAAUAUCAGAAGGGAACGUGUGAAGAAACCCAGCAUUUUGGACAACUCCCUCGCCAUAAUCAAAAUCUGAGUCAAUCGCCAUGAAUAAAUGGAAAAGAAUGCUUUCAAUCAACAGCAAAGGCAUACCUUCUUGUCUAUGUAGUCCGCCCAGAACCUGGCCUGAGCUCUCUGGUAUGGGUCACUAGGCAAAAGCGGAGAUUUAUCGCACCAAACCUCAUCAAUAUACUGAACUAUUAUCAGAGACUCACAAAUGGGCUUUCCAUUGUGGAUCAGAACUGGGAUUUUCUUAUGAACUGGGUUCAUCUCAAGAAGCAAAGGGCUCUUCUUCCACAGGUCCUCCUCUCUAUAUUCAUACUUGAGACCCUUCUCUGCCAGGGCAAGUCUGACCCUCAUACCAAACAUGCUAGGCCAGAAAUCCAACAAGAUAAUCUCGUCUGCCAUUGCUACUAAUGUGAUUGAUAAGAUUCAAACUCUUUAAGUAUUGAUGAACAGCACGGGAAAUUGCUGAGUAUUUAUAGCAAAUUUCAGAGAGUGGGUUAAACCCUUGGAUACUUCUAGGAGGUGGUGAUGCUCAUUCCUUAUCUCAGCUUUCAUUUUCAUUUUCCAUUCUAUCUCGGUUUCGUAUCUCUCCAGAAUUUGUGAAUUAUGGAAACGUUUGUUAUGGCAUGGUAAAAUAUAGAAGCGUCCCGAUAGUUGGUUGCUUCCACGUCAUCUCAUUGCUUUGAUCAUUCCACAUCAUCGCUUUCGCCAGCCCUGUCAAUUAAGUACACUGGUCCUCUGCAUAAUUUCCACCACAAAAAUGAUGUUGCAAGGAAAAGAAAUGAUAUUGUAGGGAAAAGAAAAUAGAACUUGUAUAUUUUUAGAUCGACAAGUCACUAUUGGUCCCUUCCUUAGUUCUUAGAUUCCUGAAAUUAAAUAAAUAUUUAAACUUUAUGUGUAUUAUAAAUAUUUAAAAUUUCAGUGGUGAUUGUAUUUUUAUCUAAGAUCUAUUUUUUUUUAAUUUGAAUAAAUUAAGUAUUGUUAAAUAUUUAAAUUUUUUAUAUUUUAAUUAUUAGUAAAUGUUAAUAAAUAUUAAAUAACUGAUCUUUUACAUUACAAAAAUAUUUAUAAAAUAUAAUAUUUUAUUUCUUGUUAAAUUAGUUUGCAAUCCAACACAUUUUUGAAUAUUUAAAUAUCAUAAUUCAUUAACAUAUUAAAAUUUUAUAAUAAAUAAUUAUGUAAUUGAUAAGAAAUUGGUAGUUUGAUAAUAAGUAUAAUUAUGGGGUAUUUGGUAAAACUCAAUAAUUAUUACUUAAUGACUUAAGUUGAUUUUAAGUAAAAUUAUAUUUAAGUUAUUGACUUAAAACUUAUUACUUAAUUUUUAAUUUAAAUAUUAAGGUUGUUUAAUAAAAUUAAUUUAAAAUUUAUUCUAAAUCAUCAAAUUGAUAUACUUACCCCCAUAAAUUAUAAUGAGGAUAAAUGAGAUCGAGUAACAAUGGAAGUUGUAUAAUAACAAAAAAAAUCGUGGAACUAAGAUAAAUGAGGGUAAAAAGAUAAAAUGAAAACAUGGAUUUAAGAAUAAAUUAAUUAUUUUUACUUAUUAGUUAAAGUUGUUUUUUACUUUAAGUCAUACCAUUAAAUUAUUUUACCAAUUAUAUUUAAUUUAUUUAAUAACUUGAAUUAAGUUAUUAAGUUGAUUUACCAAUACCCACUUAGACUUGUUAGAAACUAUUAGAACUUUUCUAAGUUAGUAUAUGUUUAGAUUUGAAGAUUUGUGAUUGAAAUAUGUAUUCUUUUUAAAAUUAAUUCAUUGAUUUUUGGAAUUUUAUCUCCAAAGGAGUAUCAACUUUUAAUUUAUAUUUUUUAAAAUUAUUAAUUCUAAUAAAUAUUUAGAUGAAUGUGAAUUAUGCUUUAGAAUUUUGAUUAAAAAAAAUCUUAUUAGAAUUGCUAACUAUUUUUAUUUUUUAUAAAGCUGAAUUUUUAUUAAAUAUUUUUCGAAUUUAAAUUUUAUGAUUUUUAGUAUAAUUUAUUUUUAUUUUUGAAUGAGUAAUCAAUAAUAAUUUGUGGAAUUCAAUUUUAUUGAGAAUGGGAUAAAUUAUGGGGUAAAAAUAAUGGAAACAUGUGGGGAUUUGAAAUUUUGUAAAUUUAUCUUUUAGCUAUCAAUUUAUGAGAAAAUUUUAAAUCUGAUUUUUCUUUAAAAAAAUGAAAAAUGAAAAUGAAAAAAAAAAACAAACAAAAAAUCAAAUAUAUUUGAUGCUUUUUGUAAAUGACAACUUUGUUAAUUUAUAAUAAAUUUAUUUCUCACUCAAAUUAUAUAAAAUUAACAUAGUUUAACUAUUUUUUAAAACAAGUUAUCUAUUCUUUUUUAAAGGAAUUUAGUUUAAAUUUUUGUGAAAAUUUGUAUUUAAGCAAGUACUCUUAAUUAAUGAUUAAAAGCUUUUUUAUUUUUUACUUUUUCCCCAUAAAUAAUUAAAUAUUAUAAUUAAUCCUAGUUUUUUCAAACUCUUAUAAAUAGGAGACUUGGGUCAAUGAAAUGGAUACCUCAAAGUUAUUUUAGAACUCUAUCUCUUCUCUAAUUCUAGUCUCUCCAAAAGAAAACUCUUAUUAUAAGUUUUUGUAUAAGAUUCAAACACUAAAAGGACAAACUUAUUCUCAUAAAAUAUCUUUUUUAUCAUCUAAAAGGUAUGUGAUAAACUUCUACUUUUAUAUUAUUUUCUAUUUAAUUUAUCCUUUCGAUGAAGAAACUAGAAAAUAUUUUUUUUUAUAGACAAAAAUUAUGAAAAAAAAAUUGCAACUAGAAGUUAUAAAAAAAAAAUGUAAAAUAUGUACAAUUGUAUAGCCAAAGGUUAUAUGAGAAAUUAUAAAGUUAUAAAAAUAUAAAGAAUGACUUACAUGUAAUUUCUAAUUUCUUUUAAUCAUAAUGAUAUAACCAAAUGUUACACAAAACAAAAUUGUAUUGUCAAAAGUUAAAUAAUGAAUAUUUCAUAGCCUAAAGAUGUAUACAAAUUUGCACAUUUUUGUUAUGAUAAAAAUAAUCCAUAGCCAAAAACUAUGUAAGCAAUCAAUUCGUACUUUUUAUUUUGUUAAUGCUACAUGAUGUUCAUGCAUUUUUUUUUUACCAUAUUUAUAAUAAUCCUUUAGCAAUAAAAUAUAACAAAAUCUUAAAUCAUUAUGCUUUUAUUAAUGAAUAUUAACCUGAUAAAAUAUUGUUAGAUAAUUUUAUUCAUUUAUUUUGGUAAAUUGAAAUAUUAUUCUAAUUAAAUUAUUUCAAAUAUAGUUUUCAAAUAAUGUCAAAUCUUACCAAGUUUGAGUUUGUUACAUUCCCUAUUUCGGGCAAAACUAUUUAUCUAGAUUCUAAAUGCUAAAAUUCACCUAAACGAUAUGAAUCUUGAAUAGACCAUUAAAGAAUAAAAUGAGGCAUCCUCACAAGAUCGCACUAGAGCAUUAAUAUUCCUUCAUUAUCACAUUGAUGAAGGAAUAAAAGGUGAAUUCCUUACAAUCAAAGAAUUUUCAUUCUUUGAAAUAAUCUAACGGAAUGAUACUUUGAUCCUUUGGAAUAAUAUAACAAAAUGAUAUGGCCACCACGAGAUUAUAAUCCUUCCAAAAGAACAUCAUGAUUGGAUGCACUUGAGAUUACAAAAUUUCAAGUUUGUCAAUGACCACAACUCGACUUUAUUCAAAAGUUGUUCACAAUUUAUAUGGAGAAAAAAUCAUUAAAGAAUAUAUCCUUGAAAAGACAUUUACUAUUUUCCAUGCCUCGAAUGUACUCCUAUGGCAACAAUAUCAAGAGCAUAAUUUCACUAAAUAGUUUGAAUUAGUUUAAUGUCUUCUUAUGGCUAAACAAAAUAAUGAACUUCUACUAAAGAAUCAUCAAUCUCAUACUAUUAGGUCUAUGUCAUUGCUUGAAGAAAAUGUCACAUCCGUCCAAGCUCCUAGACAUUGAGUUGGACUUGGACAUGAACAAGGCUAAGGACACAGUCAUGGUCGUGGUAAACAUAAUUCUUGGUACCAUGGUAAUUAUAGUCAUUAGAAUAGAAAAAACAAUUCAAACCAUUAGAAGUGGAAUAAUUCAAAGGUACAACCUAAAAAGGAUAUAUAUAUAUAUAUAUAUAUAUAUAUAUAUAUAUAAUCACAAAACAAACAUGAUAGUAAGAAUGAAUGCUAUAGAUAUGGUAUGAAAAGACACUAGUCAUGUACCUAUCAUAUUUCCAUAUGUUAAAAAAAUUGUACAUAGGUUUUAGAAAUGCCCAAUCGGGUAAGGGAAAGCCUCAAACAUUCCAACACUUCCUUAUGUUAAUAUUUAAAUCCUAAUAAGGAUGUAUAUUGUCAUGGUUCACCUUAAAAAAAUUGCAUGUAUGUUUCUUAAGGAUGUAUGUAGGAUUUAGAAAUGACCUACGACGAACAGGAAGGCCUCAAAUUCAUUAUGAGGCUUCUAUAAUUUAAUAUUUAGACCCAAAUAAGAAUGACUGGAACUAUGGUCCACCUUAAAAGAAAAGGUUUUUUUUUUUUUUUUUUUUAAGAAUUUACAUACUUUUCUUAAGAAUGUAUGUAUUUUUCUUAAGGAUGUACGUAGACUUUGAAAAUAACCAACGAGGAAUGGGCAGCCUCAAAAUUAUUACAAGGCUUCCAUAAAUUAAUAUUAAAACCUAAAUAAGGUGAAAUAAGGUCACAAUCUGCUUUUAAAAAAACGCACAUAUUUUGUUUUUUUAAGAAUGUACAUGUUUUCCAUAAAAAUAUAUGUAUUUUUUCUUAAGAAUGUUCUUAAGGUUUAGAAAAACCUAACAAGGUAAGGAAAGACCUCUAAUUCAUUCUCAGGCUUCCAUAAGUGAAUACCUAGACCUAAAUAAGGUCAAAUAGGAUUAUAGUCUUAAGAUAGAGUUCUUAAAAGCAUAACAUGGUGUAUUAAAUUUGAAAUUCAUUAUUUAUUUAAUGAUGUUCCCAUUUCACUUUUAUCUAUCUUUAUUCCAUGUAUUAUAUUUUAUGAGAAGUCUUGUCAGCAUCUUUUGCAUUGUACAUGACUUAGGUGCAUUAAGAGUUGCACAGAAGAUCUUUAAGCCAUGGGUUCCUUGCAAAUAAUUGACUUGUUCACAACCAGUUUAUGGGUCUAGGCAACCCAUUAGAAGUUGUAGUGCACCACCUCUUAAUUAGAGGGAUGGUUGGUCUCCGUUAUCGGGAUGAGUUUCCCAUGGUGAGUACACUACUGUGUAUGAUUUACACAUUAGACAAGACCUACGAUGAGUCAUGACUUAAUACUAUCAAGUAGUCAUGACCUCACCAAGCUACUUCAUUGUGUUAUCUCUCAACCUUGAGAGAAUAUCGAGAAAAUUAGCAAUGAAUUUUACCUAUGAGUGAGAUUGUAAGUUGAUCAUAUAUUCCCUAUGGAUUGGGUCACUGUUGAUGGAAGUCAGUAACAAUAGGUAUUCUUAAUAGACACCAUGAUAUCUCAUGGGAUUGAGACAACAUGUCCCCUUGGGUGAUCCUAAGGGGAUGUGUUCAUGGAAACUAUGGCCAUAAUAGUUCCUUAAGUAGAACUUGACAUAGGCUCUUUGAGAGCUAAGACAUGUCAAUUGAAUAUACAAUAGGAGGAUUCGUAACUCAAGGAUAGUAGAGGUAGUCUUGAAAGGUUGAUAGCUUUCACCUUGUUAGGCUAGAACACCAGUUCAUGGGGAGACUGAACACAAUGGAUACUAGGUCACAGACCCGAGCACGUAGUGUCUCGUUGUUAUUUACAUAAGAUAUUGGAGUUUAGUUUAUUCUUUGUAAUAAGAUGUUGAAUCAACUUCAUAAUUGGAUCCUGAGGGAGUUAGUACUCUUAUAGAUCCUAAUGGUCCCUGCUCUGAGCUUAUAUAUCUUUUUGGCAUAGUUAUGAGUGUCGAAUUGACUCUAGGUUCACUUUUGUGCAUAAGGGCAUUUUGGUAAUUAUGCAAGAUUGCAUAAGGGUAAGUGAACAAAGUCUCUAGAUUGAGCUAAUUAAUUAAUUAGUAGGCCCUAUUGGGUUAAUUAAUCAAUUAGGAUCCAUUUUGGGCUAAAUUAAGUUACCCAAACCCAUGUGGGCUCAAGUCACUUAAGCCUAGUUAGGAACCCUAUAAAUACCCCCUAGGGGUUAGAGUCUUCAUCACUUUUGUCUUCCACCAUUUAGAGAGAAAGAGGGCAAUAGCCUCCACCUUUCUUUCUUCCCUAUCGAAAGUGUGCCAAGAAUAAAGUUGAGUCAUUAGGCAAAAGACCAUGGGUUUACAAGACUUCCAACAACUUCAAUGUCAUCUUCAACACUUGGAAUUUAAGGUUUGAAAUAUCCAAACCUAAAGGUUGCACUUUAACCCUAAAGAUCAAUUUUAAAAAAUAAAUAAAUAAAUUGGUAUUGUUUCCAUUCCUUAGAUCUACUAUGCCAAUACACAAUUCGCUUGAAAAAAAUGUAAGUAUUUUCUUCAAAAUAUAUAUAUUUGUUAAGAAUGUAUGUAUUUUUGUAAAAGAUGUACCUUAGGUAGGGUUCCACCAUGUUAAAUGAGGUUUGGGAAGCUCUCAAAUACAUUUCGUAGAGUACAUAAGCCAAAUCUUAGACCCAAAUGAGUGUGAAUCUAUCAUGUUAAGUUGAAAUCAAAUGUACAUAUUUUUCUUAAGGUGUUAUAUUUUUCUAAAAAAUGAACUUGUGAGUGUUUAGCUAGGUUGGAAAUUCCAAAAAAAAUUCCAAAGGGUCCCCUAACUUGGUUUACCAAUCCCUCUUUGGACUACUUGACCUUUGAAGAUUAAGACUUUGCUAAGAGGUCGAGGUAUGUAGCUGAAUCUAUGGUGAUUGAAUGUGAAUCAACCCUAUUUUUUCAUUUUUAAAUGAGUAAAGAAAGCUAAGAGAAAUAUUGUUGGUGCAAGGCUUUUGUUCCCUUGUUUCUGGAUCGAUCCAGGUAUAGGGGCAAAUCGAUCCAACUAACCUGUUUUUCAGAUCAAUUUUCAACAUUUGGAUUAAGGUUUCACUCUCAUUUAAAAUCAAAUCUCCCCCAUUUUUGGAAGUGGUGACUGUAGUAUCCGUGAGAGAGUUUUUUCUUUCCUCACUAUUUAGAGGGUGUUUACCUAUGAAGAAAAUCCAUCCAAGUUUUCCAAGAAUUUUUUUUUAAAAUGGAUUUUCUGAAAAUGAACAUGGGUUGAUUUCUAAAACAUUCAUAUCUCGUUCUCUUGGUUUUGUGCAAAAACCCAUUUUCUUCUUGUCUAAAUUCAAGAGGAAAUCGAGCUUGGUGCCAAACUCCAAGUGUGCCCCGAAAGAAGAAGCUAAGAAGCUGAAAAUGAAUGUACUAGUCAAGUGGUUUGGGAAAGAUUGGUUGGUUUGAGCAAGGUAAAACUUUGUAUUCAGAUUUUAUUUUUCAUAGUGGAUGUUUUCAAUCAGUAAUAGGCCCAUGGUUUUUUAUCUCUUCGGAGAUUUUUCAUGUAAAUUUAUGGUGUCUCAUUGUCUCUCUUUCUCUUCUUAGCAUCAGUUUUCAGUUUCAACAAUUUAUUAUAAUUUUGAUUGUCUACUAUUUGAUUGAAUGAUGAAGAGAAAUGACUAUGAAUCAUCUUUGAAGCUGUUUCUAAUUGUUAAUCAUUGAUAUUUUGAGGUAUAUUGAUCUUGCUUUUAUCAGAAUUUAGUUUAAGUUGAUUUGGGUUUGGGAGCGUUAGAUCAUGUGCAUGUGAAUUACAUUUGAAUAUUGUUGGGGAGUGUUGUUGCAUUCAUAUAUGCAUGUGAUUUAUAAUUUGUGUUUUUGAGAUUGUGUGAAGAGAAGAAAAAUAUUAAAAAAGUUUUAAGGUUUUCUAAUUUGAGUUGAGAUUUUGUUUAAUUAGUCAAAACACCUAUUCAACCUCCCUUAGGUGUAUUCUAUUGAGAUUCACCUUUUCAAUUGGUAUGAGAGAGGGUUUUUAAAGCAAAAAUCAUUUUCAAUCCUUAAAUCUCAAUCAUGGAAUCUCAUUAAGAGGGAGCUUCCAUUAGGAGACCACCAUUCUUAACCAGUGAAAAUUAUUCUCAUUGAAAAGUGAGAAUGCAAUAUUUUCUCAAAAUGCAAAGUGACAAAAUUUGGAAUGUCGUUGAAUUUGGUUAGUCUCCACCUAAGGUGUUAGAUAGAGAAGGUAAACUAACAAAUGUUAUCAAGCCAAAAUUGGAAUGUGAUAGAAGUGAAAAUGAAGCAAGUGAGAAUAAAGCUAGAGCCAUGUACUCCAUCUUCAAUGCCAUUAGUACGAAUGAAUUUUGUAGGAUUGCCACAUGCACUUUGGUUAAAGAAGGCUUAGGAUAUCCUCCAACUGACUCAUGAAGGAACUAAUGUUGUGAAAAUGUCCAAGCUUCAAAUGUUGACAUCUAGGUUUGAGACCAUUAGGAUGAAUGAUCAUGAAACUUUUGGAGAAUUUCAUGCAAAAUUGAUGGAUAUAGUGAAUUCUAACUUCAAUCUAGGUGAAUCCAUCUCUAACUGUAAGGUGGUUAGAAAAAUUUUAAGAUCUCUUCCAGAUAGAUUUAGAGCUAAGGUUACCGCCAUUGAAGAGUCUAAGGAUGUGGAUUCCUUGAAGAUAGAUGAACUUGUAGGUUCUCUCCAAACCUUUGAGAUGAUGCUUGUAUCACCUAGAAAAGCUAAGGGAAUUGCUUUAAAAGCUAUUAAAGAAGAGUCCCUAAGUUCCGAAAGUGAGGAUGAUGAGAAAAUGUCAAAGGGUGAGCUUACUAAGUUUACUAAAAAAAUUAAGAAGUACAUGAAAUUCAAAAAAUUCAAGAAAGAAUCAAAUGAUGGUAAAAAUGGAGGAACUCUAUUAGAAAAAAAAAAAAGAAUAUGGAGAAAUGUGUGAAAAAAGAGUUGGAGAUUGAGUGCUUUAAAUGUGGAGGAAAUGGGCAUUAUGCCGCCAAAUGUCCCUCAAAGAAAAAAAAAAUGAAAGAAGGUCAUGCAAGUCACUAGAAGCAACAUAGAAUCUUGGCAAUCAAGUGAAAAAGAAUCCAAUGGAAGUGAAGAAUACACUAACUUCAUAGCCUUUGCUGCAAGUGUCAAUGAGAAACCACUUAAGAAAGAGGUCUUAAGUGAGUCGUGAGUCAAGUGACUCCAAUGAUGAUGACAUGAAUUUUGACACAGCAUAUGAGACUUUGUAUAAGGAGUGCUUGAGCCUUAAACAAGACCAAGUCAAGUGGAAGGCUUCUAAGAAUAUUCUAAUCAAUGAGAUUGAUGUCUUGAAGGGAGAAAAGAAGGCUUUGCUUGACAAAAUUGGAUUUCUUGCAAAUGAACACUUGGAAGUGAAAAAAAAAAUAUUAUGUAUUGAAAAGUGAAUCAAAUGUUCAAGGAUGAGUUUAAGUCUUAAGAAGGAAGAAUCACAUCCUAGCUCUAAGAGACUUAAUGAGUUUAUCAAUUUAGGGCGUAAAUCUUUUGAUAAACAAGGCUUAGGAUUUGUUGAUGCAAAUACUACUCCAAGUAGUGGUAAAACAAUUUUUGUUAAGCCUUGUGAAAAAUAAUAUCCUAAGAAAACUCAUUCUCAAAUCAAGUUUCAUUGCAAUCAUUGUGGCAAAAUGGGGCACACUUUUGAUAGAUGUUGUGCAAGAUUGUUUGAUAAUUUUCAAAGGAAGUUGACCAACCUAAUGAAUGAAUGUUAUUCUUUGAAGAAUAGGUUAUUGAAUGAGAACAAGAGAGUGUCCAAGAAGUGCUCAAAGAUCCCUCAUAAUGGUGAGUUGAAAGGAAGCACUUUGAAUGAAAAGACAAGUCUCAAAUGUUAAACAAAUUUGGGUGUGAAUGAAUGAGUUGAAGUGUUUUGUUGUCCAUACCGCACUUAGAGCUAGUGAGUCACACUCAUGGCAUCUUGAUAGUAGAUGUUCACAUCAUAUGACUAGAAAUAAAUCUUUGUUCACUUCAUUCAUUGAAUUUCAUGGAGGAAAUGUGACAUUUAGAGAUGGUAAUGUGGCUAGGGUGAAAGACAAAGGUACCAUUUGUGCCCCUAACAUUCCUAAUCUUGAAGAGGUCUUAUAUGAAGGUUUAAAGGCUAACUUAAUUAGCACAAGCCAAAUGUGUGGGAAUGAGUUCAAUGUAAAAUUUUCACAAACUUUUUGCAAGGUGUUUGACUUGAAUGAUGUAUGUGUGAUAAUUGGCUUGAGAACUUGUGAUAAUUGCUAUGUUGUUAGUAAAAAAUCUCCUUCAUCCUCUUCUCUCGUGUGUAGAAGUUCUAAAAUUGCAUAUGUUAAUCACUUGUUGCAACAUAGAUUGUUGCAAAAUGAAAAAGAGCAUCCCAUUGUAAAAGUUAGGAUUGGUGGGGGGGAUUUGAUGAUGCCAAUGUUAUUGAUAGGCUAAAGAACCAUGUUCUUCAUUAUAGACAAAAAUAUGUGGACAUUAAGCAUCACUGCAUUCAAGACUUGGUAGAAGACAAGGUUGUUUACAAGAGGUUUACCCUAUAGAGAGUCAAAUUGCUAACAAUGUUACUAAACCUUUGGACAUUUCUAGGUUUGAAUCACUUAGGAACCCCAUAGGUUUAUAUACUCUCUGUUUAACUACCUCUAGAACUUGUCUAGGACUCCUCUUGCAUAUCCUUGAGUCCUAGUUGUCUUCCUAAGUUCCCAAAUAUCAUCAACUUGAUGUUCUUUUUGUUUUGGUUCAAUAUUUUCUCCAUUUUUCAUAAAUUUUCAACAAUUGUUGAGUUCAUGAGAGUGAUAUGCUUAUUCAUUUUGUUUAAAAGUUAAAUUAAAUCAUAAUGAUCUUAAAAGCUUCAAGAUGUAUUUAUCUUCAUGGCUUGUUUGAUAAACAUGAUAUUGAAUCCUUGCUAUUUUGAUUUGGUUAGAUAAACUACAAAUGAUUAGCUUCAUUUCUAUUAAGUGAGUAAGAGCUCAUUGUUGGACCUUGUGUUUGCAUAAUGGUGAAUAAUGCACUUUAAAGUCUAAAUGUAAACUUAUACCCAUUUAAUGAGCUUUAAAGAGUGAGUAAAGACACCUGGAAUAUCCUUGAGAGGUUGAGAUGAUCAAUCCUUGAUUGUUUGUCCUCUCUUUGAAAUUAAAUUUGUUUAAAAAUGAAAAAGAAAAGAAAAAGAAAAUAUGAAGUUUCCCGAAAUGGAUAUGGCUAUGUGGAAAUGUUUCAAGAAUUAAAAAGCCUCAAUUGCAAGAGUGGGACAUCCCUUAUGUUGUUAUGUUGUAAAGGCAUCCUUCGAGAUCCUCAAGUCAAAAAUUGAUCUUAAGGGUAAAACAUAAAGCUUUGUAUUACUUUCAAUGCUAAAUGUGAAAAGCAAAUAGUGUAUGAAUUUUAUUAAAGGGAUGUGAUUAGGUCAUGUUAAACAGAAAUCUAGCCAAGAGAGAUGCAAAUUGACUUUGAUUACUAAUCAAAAAGUACUCUUUUAUAGCUUGAAACUAACUGUUUUAAACACUUUUUGAGUAGUAGUUAAUACCGUUUAACUCAAUUGGCACAUUAAGGAACCUAGCAAGGGUUACUAAUAAGUUUUUCGCAAGUUUUGGUGUUUUUUGUAGCUAUUUGAUCAUUGAAACAAGCCAAGAAUGAGGAAGAAUUUUGUGAAAUCCAUGGCAAUGUAAGUUAAAGCUCAAAUACAUGAGGAAUCCAAGCUUUAGAGCACUUCAUAGCCCUUUGCCAAGCCAAUCAAAGAUGUAAAGAAGAAAACCAGAGGAAGAAAUCCAACAACCAGCAUUUCCGCAUGGUUGUGCGAAAUUUCGCACACCAUGCAAAACCACUUGAGGCAGCCAAAGAAUUUCGCACAACAUGCGAAAUUUCGCAUGGUAUGCGAAAUCUUCCUGUGCACCGACUCCGUUAGAUUUUUAUCUCUAGAUAUUUUGUGUAAUUUCCUAUUUUCUCCUUGUAAUCAACUUCGAUAUUUUCAUAUAUAUUUUUUUAUAUAUUUGGUGUGUGUAACAUCUUUUGAUAUAGACACACAGGGAUGUAAUCAGAGAACACUUGUAAAUUCCCCUUUAUAAGAAAUAUACAGAGCUUUUGCUCUACCUUUUCAUCUCAUUUUGUUUUCACUCUUCUUUCUAGCCAAACAACCUCUGAGGAUGAUUUAUCAAGGGAUGAGUGGCUAGGUUUUACGUUUCUUGGAGUGAUGGAAGCUAGGUGAAGGACCCGAAUGCAAAGAUGGGAGUUGUCCUUGCUUUAAAUGAAAGUAGUUGUUAACCAUUAAUGGUUUUUAUUUUAAGAUUUAGCUUUAAAUCCCUUAAAAGCACCUUGAAUGGCCAAUACUUGGUAAGCUUUUUGGAUUCUAUGGAUGCUUAUUGCUAGAUCCAUGGAUGUCUAUUAGUUAUCAUUUAUGAGCCAUUGGAAGGUGGUUCAAAGUGAGAGUCUUUAGUGUUUCAAGCCAUUAAUGGGAAGCAACUAUUAUUUUUCAUGAACCCUUUGGAUCAAAUCUUAAUAUCUAAAUAUAAAACCGGUUCGGGAAAUAACCAUCCUUUAUAUUAUUGUCCCCAAUGUGAUGAGAAGAUCCGGAAUCUCCCCCUUUGUCUAAGGAACCCGAUCCUAGUGACCUAAAGCUCUAAGAGACCUUUUCUUUGUAGUUAACUUCACUUAUUAUUUUUGCUUAACUUAAAAUCGAUCUUUGCAAUCACAAUUCCAUUUUCUUUAAAAGCUAAUUUUCAUAACGAAAAAUAUUAUUUUAUUUCCUUCACUAAAGUCAAUUGUACAAUGAAAACCCAUCCCUGUGGACGAUCCUAGAGCCACUAUACUAUGUUAGUUAUGCUACCCCAGUGUGAGGUGAUUUAGGUUUUAUAAAUUUUGUUGAUAACACCUAUCUGAGCCAGAGUCAAAUGGCAUGACUACAAUGGGGAUGAAUCAAAUGGCACCGUUGCCAGGGAGAUGAUGCCAAAGUACAUUGACAUGACUUUUGGUGAACACUUGUGAUCUUCAUCACAAGUUUGGUGAUUUUUCUUUUACUAAUUCUUUUUCUUUAUCUCUAUUUUAGCUUAUCUUUUAUUUAGUUUUCAGCUAACCUUAACUUUUUCCUACAAUUGUAUUUCUUUUGUUUUCUGUGUUUUUGUUUCAGUAAUUUUUAGUUGUGCAUGCCUUAUUGGAUAAGAGAUAUUGAGGGAAGACUUGUGAAGAUUGAAACUCCUCAAGAAACUGAGUUGGAAGUGUGCUUGAACAUCAUGAAUGUUCCACCUAAAGACCAAAAUAGCCAACAUGGUCAAGAGGAUAAUUUCAACGCAUACCGAUCCAUGAGGGAUCACAUGCAUCCACCUCGUAUGAGUGCACCAUCAUGCAUAGUGCCUCCCAUUGAGCGACUAGUAGUCCGACCUCACAUUGUGCCACUCUUACCUCCUUUCCAUGGGAUGGAAAGUGAGAAUCCCUACUCGCAUAUUAAGGAAUUCGAGGAGGUUUGUAAUACAUUCCAAGAAGGAAGAGCUUCAAUUAACUUGAUGAGGCUCAAGCUAUUUCCUUUCACCUUGAAGGAUCAGGCCAAGAUUUGGCUUAAUUCUCUAAGGCCAAGGAGUAUCCAAACUUGGACUGAUUUGCAAGCCGAGUUUCUCAAGAAGUUCUUCCCUACUCAUAGGACUAAUGGUUUGAAAAGGAAAAUUUCAAAUUUCUCGACUAAGGAGAAUGAGAAAUUCUAUGAGUGUUGGGAGAGGUACAUAGAACCUAUUAAUGCUUGUUCUCACCAUGGCUUUGACACAUGGCUCUUAGUGAGCUAUUUUUACGAUGGUAUGUCUUCUUCAAUGAAGCAACUCCUAGAAACUAUGUGUGGAGGAGACUUCAUGAGUAAGAAUCCGGAGGAAGCCAUGGACUUUUUGAGUUAUGUGGCUGAAGUUUCAAGAUGAUGGGAUAACCAAACGCUAGAGAAGUGGGAAGAAUGAAGUCUCAACCUAAUGCUAAGGGUGGGAUGUAUGUUUUGAAUGAAGACAUUGACAUGAAGGCAAAGGUUGCAGCUAUGGCAAGGAGAUUGGAAGAGCUAGAAAUGAAGAAGAUAUAAGAAGUGCAAGCUAUUUCUGAGACACCAGUGCAAGCUAUGCCUUGUUCCAUUUUUCAAUCUUAUGAGCACUUGUUGGAGGAGUGUCCUACAAUUCCAGCAAUGAGAGAAAUGUUUGGAGAUCAAUCAAAUGUUAUUGGUCAAUUCAAGCCCAAUAACAAUACUUCAUAUGGCAACACCUACAAUUCAAAUUGGAAGAACCAUCCAAAUUUCUCUUGGAAACCAAAGCCACCGCAGUACACACAACCUGCUCAAGCACCUCGGCAAGCCUCGAAUCUUGAACAAGUUAUUGUGAACCUUUGCAAGGUUGUGGGAGACUUUGUGGAAGAUCAGAAGUCCAUCAAUGCUCAACUAAAUCAGAGAAUUGACAGUGUGGAGAGUACAUUGAACAAAAUGAUGGAUGGGAUGCAAAAUGAUCUGUCUCAGAAGAUAGACAAUGUCUAAUACGCAAUCUCAAGGCUUACCAACCUCAACACAGUGCAAGAGAAAUUAAAGUUUCCUUCUCAACCUCAUCAAAAUCCCAAGGAUAUCCAUGAUGUGGAGGCUCAAGAGGGAGAAUCUUCAAAGGUAAGGGAAGUCAAAGCAGUUAUCACCUUAAGAAGUGGUAAAGAGGUUGAUCUGCCCACAUCCAAGCCAAAGCAUGACGAAGAGAGUGUAGCAGAAAAAGAAAAGAGUGGAGAAAAUAAAGGAAAGAGAAAAGGGAAAAGUACAAAGAAAGAUGACCAUGAGUCUAGUGUGGAUGAAGAACUCGAGAAGAAAGUGAUCAAGGAAGAUAUGAUGAAGAAACACAUGCCUCCAUCUUUCUCCUAAGCUUUGCAUGGCAUAAAGGGAACCAAUAAUGCAUCAGAAAUUUUUGAAGUGGUGAGGCAAGUGAAGGUCAAUAUCCCUUUGCUAGACAUGAUCAAACAAGUGCCGACAUAUGCAAAAUUCUUGAAGGACUUGUGCACUAUAAAGAGAGGGUUAAAUGUGAACAAGAAGCCUUCUUGAUUGAGCAAGUGCCAUCAUACAGUGCAAGUCUCCAGUGAAGUACAAAGAUCCGGGCUGCCCUACCAUCUCAGUGAGUAUUGGAGGGACUUGCGUGCAGAAAGCUUUGUUGGACUUAGGAGCAAGUGUAAAUUUGCUACCCUACUCUGUCUAUAAGAAGUUGGGACUUGGAAAGUUGAAGCCAACAUCCAUCGCUCUAUCUCUAGCAAAUAGAUCAAUGAAGAUUCCAAGAGGGAUGAUCGAAGAUGUCUUGGUUCAAGUUGACAAAUUCUACUAUCCAGUGGAUUUUGUUGUUCUUGAUAUGGAUCCAAUUGUCAAAGAAACUAAUUAUGUUCCUAUCAUACUUGGAAAACCAUUCCUAGCUACAUCAAAUGCAAUCAUCAAUUGUAGGAAUGGAGUCAUGCAACUCACGUUUGGCAACAUGACAUUGGAGCUCAACAUCUUCCAUUUGUGCCAGAAACAUAUCCAUCCGAAAGAAGAAGAAGGGUUAGAGGAAGUAUGCAUGAUUGACGCUUUAGUGGAGGAGCAUUAUGAUCAGAGAAUGCAGGAGGAUUUGAUUGAGAGUUUUAGGGAUCUUGAUGAAGGGUUACCUGAACCCUUAGAUUUGCUUGCUACCCUGCUCCCUUAGAGGAGAAGAGAAGAAAUUCUACCCUUAUUCAAUGAGGAGGAAACGCAAAGAACUGCUAAGGAGGAGUUCUCAAAGCUUAUUCUUAAGCCACUACCCACAGAGUUGAAGUAUGCAUACUUGGAAGAAGACAAGCAGUGUCUUGUUGUUAUAUCUUCAGAUCUUACCAUUCAUCAAGAGGAUUGUCUACUUGAAGUCCUUAGAAGAUGUAAGAAAGCAAUAGGCUGGCAAAUUUUUUAUUUGAAAUGGAUCAUCCCUUUAGUCUGCACCCAUCAUAUUUACAUGGAGAAUGAAGCUAAGCCAAUUUGUCAACCUCAGAGAAGGUUGAACCCUCACAUGCAAGAGGUGGUGCGAGUUGAAGUCUUAAGCUACUUUAGGCCAGUAUUAUUUACCCUAUAUCAGAUAGCCCAUGGGUGAUUCCUACUCAAGUUGUGCCAAAGAAGUCUGGGAUCACGGUGGUGCAAAAUGAUAAGAGAGAAGAUGUCUCUACGCGCCUCACUAUAGGUUGAAGGGUGUGUAUCGAUUACAGGAGGUUGAAUGUAGUGACAAGAAAGGACCAUUUCCCAUUGCCCUUUAUUGAUCAGGUACUUGAAAGGGUCUCUGGGCAUCCUUUUUAUUGUUUCUUGGAUGGCUACUCCAAGUACUUUAAGAUAGAAAUUGAUGUUGAAGACCAAGAGAAGACCACUUUCACGUGCCCAUUUGGCACCUAUGCAUAUAGGAGAAUGCCUUUCGGCCUAUGCAAUGCACCUGCAACUUUCCAAUGAUGCAUGUUAAGCAUUUUCAGUGAUAUGGUGGAGCAUAUUAUGGAAGUCUUUAUGGAUGACAUCUUCAUAUAUGGAAGUGCAUUUGAUUAAUGCUUAGUCAACUUAGAAGUUGUUAUGAACCGAUGCAUUGAGAAAGACUUAGUGCUUAACUGGGAGAAGUGUCAUUUCAUAGUACAAUAAGGGAUUGUCCUUGGGCACAUCAUCUCCAAGCAAGGCAUUGAAGUUGACAAAGCAAAGGUUGAACUCAUUGUCAAGUUGCCAUCCCUAACAAAUGUCAAAGGAGUAAGGCAAUUCCUUGACCAUGUCGGGUUCUAUAGGAGGUUUAUCAAGGAUUUCUCUAAGCUUGCAAGGCCUCUUUGUGAAGUAUUGGUGAAGGAUGCUAAAUUCAUAUGGGAUGAUAGAUGCCAAAGGAGUUUUGAAGAAUUGAAGUUAUUUCUAACAACCGCACCAAUAGUGAGGGCUCCCAACUGGAAACUGCCCUUUGAGGUAAUGUGUGAUGCCAGUGACUUUGGAAUAGGAGCUGUUCUUGGGCAAAGAGAAGAUGGAAAACCCUAUGUGAUCUACUACGCGAGCAAGACAUUGAAUGAGGCGCAAAGAAACUACACAACCACCAAGAAAGAAUUGUUAGCUGUAGUUUUUGCUUUGGAUAAGUUUCGUGCUUACUUGGUGGGGUCCUUCAUUGUGGUUUUCACUGAUCACUCUGCUUUGAAGUAUUUGUUGACUAAGCAAGAUGCUAAAGCAAGGCCAAUUAGAUGGAUCCUCUUGCUUCAAGAGUUCAAUCUCCAUAUCAAAGACAAGAAAUGAGUGGAGAAUGUGGUAGUAGACCACCUUUCAAGGCUAGCUAUCGCACAUAAUUCCCAUGGUUUGCCCAUCAAUGAUGAUUUUCCAAAGGAGUCUCUCAUGUUGGUGGAAGUUGCUCCUUGGUAUGCUCACAUUGCUAACUACCUAGUCAUAGGAAAAGUUCCAAGUGAGUGGAAAACACAAGAUAAGAAGCACUUCUUUGCAAAAAUUCAUGCCUACUAUUGAAAAUAGUCAUUUCUAUUCAAGUAUUGUUUCGAUCAAAUAAUAAGAAAGUGUGUUCUUGAAAAAGAGCAACAAGGGAUCCUCAGUCAUUGCCAUGAAAAUGCAUGUGGAGGCCACUUUGCUUCUCAGAAGACAACCAUGAGAGUAUUGCAAUCGGGUUUCUGUUGGCCAUCACUUUUCAAAGAUGCCCACACCAUGUGCAAGAGUUGUAAUCGAUGUCAGAGGCUUGGGAAGUUGACACGCAAGAACAUGAUGCCUUUGAACCCCUUUUUGAUAGUUGAUCUUUUUUAUGUUUGGGGCAUUGACUUCAUGAAACCUUUCCCUAUGCCUUUUGGCUACUCUUACAUCUUGGUGGGAGUAGAUUAUGUUUCUAAGUGGGUUGAGGCAGUCCCAUGCAAACACAAUGACCAUAGAGUGGUUCUCAAGUUUCUCAAGGAGAACAUCUCCUCAAGAUUUGGGGUGCCCAAAGCCAUAAUUAGUGAUGGGAGUACUCAUUUUUGCAACAAGUCUUGUGAAACUCUCCUAGCCAAGUAUGGGGUGAAGCAUAAGGUAGCUACACCUUACCACCCUCAAACUAGUGGGCAAGUUGAGUUAGCAAACAGGGAGAUUAAAAACAUAUUGAUAAAGGUGGUGAACACAAAUAUAAAAGAUUGGUUAGUCAAGCUCCUCGAUUCACUAUAGGUAUAUAGAACAACUUACAAGACCAUUCUCGGGAUGUCUCCUUAUCGCCUAGUCUAUGGUAAAACAUGUCAUCUCCCUGUGGAAUUGGAAUACAAGGCUUGGUGGGCAAUCAAGAAGCUCAACAUGGAUUUAAGCAGUGUUGGGUUGAAAAGGUUCUUAGACCUUAAUGAGAUGGAGGAAUUGAGAAAUGAUGCCUACAUCAAUUCAACAAUUGUAAAAGAGAAAUUAAAGAGGUGGCAUGAUCAGUUGAUUUCCCGCAAGGAUUUUAAAAAGGGAAAAAGAGUCUUGCUCUAUGACUCUAAGCUCCCCAUCUUUCCAAGCAAGCUAAAAUCAAAGUGGAUAGGUCCUUUUACCAUUCACCAAGUUCAUUCAAAUGGAGUAGUGGAACUACUCAACUCCAAUGGCACCAGGAGCUUUAAAGUGAAUGGCCAUCAUCUCAACCCCUUUGUGGAGCCUUUUUCUCGCGACAAGGAGGAAUUCAUCCUCCUUGAUGCACAUCAAGCUUGACAAGACCAGUUUUCUUAACGGACUUAGUCUUUCUAAAGACUAUUGAGUCCAUAUCUUUUUAUUUUAUUUUUUAUUUAAGAGUUUUCCUAUAUUAUUACUUGUUUUGAUUUUGAUUUCUCGUUUUAAUUUUAUUUUAGUUUGAUUUAACUUAGGUUUUUGAUGAUCAAUUGCAAAAGGGGCCUCAAAGCAGUUGGGUGUGUCCUUAAAGACUUCAAACAGAGGAAAAACCAAGAUAAUUCAAGCACCCUGCGAAAUUUUUGCAGGGCAUGCGAAAUUAAUGAAUCAUUUUGCAUGGGGUGAGAAAAUUUCGCACACCCUGCGAAUCAAUUUCACACACUAUACGAAAAUGAAAAGACCUUGCUAAAUCAUUUCAAACACUUUGCGAAAUUUUCGCAGAGCAUGCGAAAAAUUUUGCACACCCAACACCGUUUCGAAUGCUGUGCGAAACCCUAAGGGGUCUACAAAACCAUUUCGCACCUCCAAAGCCAUUUCGCACGCUGUGCAAAAAUCAAGAGGCGUUGUGCGAAAACGAAAAGUAGCCUUACUAUCCCUUUUUAAACCCCGAGCUCUAACUUCUCCAUUUCGCAAACACCAAACACCCUGCAAAUCCCUCAUUUUCCUCUACCACCUUGUGACCUCGUCCCUCUCCAUUCAACACCCCGUCCCGCACAUCUCAUUUUGAAGACUCGCACUCUGCGGCCCCUUCGAGCACGGCUCACUUUCCAUUUUCUACAUGGCGCUAACUCGAGGAGCCCUUCCCGCCCCUUCACCGAGACACACUCCGAGGCAGAGAGCCUCCUCUACUUAAGUGCCUAGUGAUUCUCCAUCUUAGGCCGCAGAGGCCUCGUGGAUUCCACCUCCUGAGAAUGGAGUAGCCAUUGGUCCUUCCUCUCCUGCUCCUCAGCGCAAAUAUGAGACAAAGAGACCACCUAUUACACCAAGGGCAACUACUUCGCUCCUUGAGAGUUCAGUAUGAUGUCCUCCUGCCAAGAGAGCCAAGACUUCAGGCCCAAGCGAGUCAUCCAGAGUUUCAUAGCCUAAGGCUCUUGCAGAUUCUGAGGUUCCUUCUGACUUAUCACCGGAGUCUAUUAUCUGACGCCCGAUGCUCACAGCACCACCCAUUAAGGGCAACUCAGAUUGCAGAGCAAGACCUUUCCUCUUGAAGCUAUAUUUUGAUCAAGAGGCCAUGCAACAGCAGCUUGAGCUCCGAGACUCUUACGGCCUACUGUAGAGGUACCACCUUGAGCACCUUAUAACUCUUUGUGAGUUCUUUUAUCCUAGAGUAGCACUAGACUUCUACCAGUCCAUGACUACUCUUGGCGUCCCGAGUCUUACUGUGAUUUACUUCACCAUUGAUGGACAUCAUGGUAUCCUCAAGGCUAGACAUAUUGUAGAGGCUUUACAAAUUCCUUUCAAGCCAGUGGAUCCAUCUGCUUUCCGCCAGUGGUCCUAGUAUCUCAGAGGGACAUGGUCCGCAUUUUAUCCAGGAAGACCUCUACAGAUUCGAUCCUUCUACGGAAGGAGCUUCCACCUAGGAUGCUCCUUGUAGAUAUGGUGCUACGCUCCAACCUCUUUCCCUUACAGCAUUUAGUACAGAGGCGAUGAGCUAUUUUGGACGCUUUAUUCUGUAUAUCGGAGGGCUUCUACUUUGGCCUGUUCCACUUGAUCAUGGCCUCCCUCAUCCACUUUGAGGAGAAGGUCCAUAGGAAGAAGCUUCAAAGGGCGGACACCAUUCCAUUACUAUUCCCGAGGUUGUUGUGCCAAAUCUUGGAGUAUAUGAGCUUUUCUAUUGAGCCUCGGCUCGAGCGUCACCGCCUUUGUCGAGAGUGAUUCACUCUGGACAAAUGGAAUCAAUUGACGGGCUAUUAUGCACCUCUAGGAGCCUUUCCUAUGGUAGCACCUCCAGUGCUCCUAGAACCAGAGCAAGGCGAGCUCCCGACAAAGACUGCACCACCAGUGCCCACACCUGAGGCUACUUCUACUGCUCCGCCUACGACUCUUACUGUUACACCAGUCGCGCCUACUACAUCCGAGCCUUCCAUCACCAUAUCGGCUUUAGAGUUUCGCUCCCGUGUGCAUACUUUUUAGACACUUACCACCACACAUGCUACUCUCUUUCAGCAAAUGGCUGAGAUGCGUGCCCAUCAGGACCAGCAGACUGCUAUACUUCGCCAGAUUCAGCAGCACUUGGGACAUCUACCUCUGCCUCAACCUGACCUUUCUGCAUCAUUAGAGCCUUUAGCUCCAGCUAAGGAUACUAUUCCACCUGAGGACACUACCACAGUAGAGGUCCGGAUUUCGCCACCUCAGAAGGCCACCACAGCUACACCAGAGGAUUCUUCAUUUCUACCUGAGGCUCCCACUACUUGAUCAUAAGAAAUCUCUUUAUCUUAUUGUAUUUACAUAUUAUAUUACUAAAGAUUUGUCCUUGUUUUGAUGCUUUAUAUUCAGGGUUGGAUGUAUUACCUGAUCAUAUCUCAUAUUGUACUUUCUCAUAUUAAUAUAUAGACAUCACAUUUUUUUAUUAUAUUUAAAAUUUUUCUAUUUAUUCUACUUGUCACUCUUUUGUUUUUUGACUCAUGUGGUUUCUCCUAUACGAAUCAGACUCCAUUUCAUUCAGGAGGUACCACUUCCUCCUUUUAUUUUCAAUUGCUCUUGAAACAUUGAGGGCAAUGUUGAUCUCAGUUGGGGGGAGAGUUAAGGAAGGAAUUUUUGUUAAUAAUGCUAGAUUAAUUUGUUAAUUUAGUUACUUUUUGCUUAAUUUUAAAAGUUUUUUACCCUACUCUUCAUGGUUAUUAAGGAAAAGUUCUCAAAAUGAAAUGGGAGAAAUCGAAUUCUUGCAUUUUUACUUGAAUCUUAGAGUUUGUAUUAUGCUUAUUAAAGUUGAUGAAUUAUUGAAACUCCUAUGGAAUUCAACCUUAUUUCUUCCACUUUAAUCUUAUCACACUAUGCACAUUAAGUUCCGAUUAUAAGACGAAAAACUAUCUCACCCCCUAAACUUAGGAAAAUUUCAACUUGGUACAUUUGACUUCAUUUUAAUAGUGUUGGGACACCUUAUAAAAGGCCAAUGAGCCUUCGAAAAAAAAAAAAAGAACAAAGUGUUUCGCUUGCCUUGAAACCCGAGCAAAGUCCGAGGGGUAUACGACGAAAGUCUUUAAAACCCGGUGCCCUAAGCCUUUAUUGGUUGGGAGUCACUGGCCUCAAUGCUCGUUACAAGAGUGAAUAGGUAGAGUUUAACAUAUUGUAGGUGCUUGGGUAUUGAAUUUCAAUCUCAAAAAUCCGGGGAAAAAUAUGAGGAGUUAGAGGUUGAAAAAUCCUUAAAGCUUGAUGCCCUAAACCUUGAUUGGUUGGGAGUCAUCAAUGGAUCCCCAUUACAUGGACACUUUAGAAAACAAUACCUUUAGCAUUGCACUCCUACAAUGAAAAAAAUUGUGAAAUAAAAGAGGUGUGUUCUUAGCCUAUUGGAGGUUGGUCAAGUUGCUAAGGUUUGAGAAAAAACUAGGUUGGGGGAGAGAAUAGUUUGACAUACUAUAAUCAGAAGCUAAUAAGCUUAACACUUAGAUUUUUGUGAAAAAAUAAGGUUUGAAUCUUUGGGAGUGGAAAUUCUUUUGUUGCUUAAAUUUGCAUAAUGCCUACUCUUUAUAAAUUGUAAUUUGGCAGGAGAUUUGAUAACUCUUGUUGAAGGUUGGGUUUUGCAUCUUUGAUGUUCCAUGAGAGAGUAUAAUCUGCAUCAUGCCACUUGAAAAUUUUUUGGAGUGAUUAGCAUGAUUUUGUAAAUUAUUUUACUAUUUAUUUUUCUUUAUCUCUCCUUCAUUGCUAAGGAACUAGCAAUAUGUUGGUUGGGGGGAGUGAUUACUGCUCAAAAAGUACUCUUUUAUAGUUUGAAACUAACUGUUUUAAACACUUUUGAGUAGUAGUUAAUACAUUUUAAUUCAAUUGGCACAUUAAGGAACCUAGCAAGGGUUACUAAUCAAUUUUUCGCAAGUUUUGGUGUUUUUGGUAGCUAUUUGAUCAUUGAAACAAGCCAAGAAUGAGGGAGGAUUUUGUGAAAUCCAUGGCAAUGUAAGUUAAAGCUUAAAUACAUGAAUAAUCCAAGCUUUUGAGCACUUCAUAGCCCUUUGCCAAGCCAAUCAAAGAUGCAAGGAAGAAAACCAGAGGAAGAAAUCCAACAUCCAGCAUUUCCGCAUGGCUGUGCGAAAUUUCGCACACCAUGCAAAACCACUUGAGGCAGCUAAAGAAUUUCGCACAACAUGCGAAAUUUCGCAGGGUAUGAGAAAUCUUCCUGUGCACUGACUCCGUUAGAUUUUUAUCUCUAGAUAUUUUGUGUAAUUUCCUAUUUUCUCCUUGUAAUCAACUUAGAUAUUUUCAUAUAUAUUUUUGUAUAUAUUUGGUGUGUGUAACAUCUUUUGAUAUAGACACACAGGGAUGUAAUCAGAGAACACUUGUAAAUUCCCUGUAGUAAAAAAUAUACAGAGUUUUUGCUCUGCCUUUUCUUCUCAUUUUGUUUUCACUCUUCUUUCUAGUCAAACAACCUCUAAGGAUGAUUUAUCAAGGGAUGGGUGGCUAGGUUUUACGUUUCUUGGAGUGAUGGAAGCUAGGUGAAGGACCCGAAUGCAAAUAUGGGAGUUGUCCUUGCUUUAAAUGAAAGUAGUUGUUAACCAUUAAUGGUUUUUAUUUUAAGAUUUAGCUUUAAAUCCUUAAAAGCACCUUGAAUGGCCAAUACUUGGUAAGCUUUUCAGAUUCUAUGGAUGCUUAUUGCUAGAUCCAUGGAUGUCUAUUAGUUAUCAUUUAUGAGCCAGUGGAAGGUGGUUCAAGGUGAGAGUCUUUAGUAUUUCAAGCCAUUAAUGGGAAGCAACUAUUAUUUUUCAUGAACCCUUUGGAUCAAAUCUUAAUUGCUAAAUAUAAAACCGGUUCAGGAGAUAACCAUCCUUUAUGUUAUUGUCCCCAAAGCGAGGAGAAGAUCCGGAAUCUCCCCCUUUGUCUAAGGAACCUGAUCCUAGUGACCUAAAGCUCUAAGAGACCUUUUCUUUGUAGUUAACUUCACUUAUUAUUUAUGCUUAACUUAAAAUCAAUCUUUGCAACCACAAUUCCAUUUUCUUUAAAAGCUAAUUUUCAUAAGGAGAAACACCAUUUUAUUUCAUUCACUAAAGUCAACUAUACGAUGAAAACCCAUCCCUGUGGACGAUCCUAGAGCCACUAUACUAUGUUAGCUAUGCUACCCUAGUGUGAGGUGAUUUAGGUUUUAUAAAUUUUGUUGAUAACACCCGUCUGAGACAGAAUCAAAUGGCAUGACUGCAAUGGGGAUGAAUCAGACUUAUUGGAACAUUAUCUUGAAUUUCUUUAGGAAGGAAGAGUAUCUUGAAAAUGAUUUUUGGCUCAUAAAUGAAUAUAGGUUUCUAAGUGGAAAUUAUUUAACAUUCUCACCGUUUUAUGGUGUCAUGAGUGAGUUUUUUUUAGCUUAAGCUUCCUUGUUAGAGUGUUGAUAAUCAUUUGUUUUUUACCUAUUCAUUUGAUAAAUUUGGAAAGUACUUCAAUCUCUAUGUUUAUUAAUUUUGUCUAUUGUUAAGUUCUUGGAAGCAUUUUUGUUCAAUGUGAAUCAAUUCUAACUCAUUAAUUGAAAGAUAAGUAUGUCAUCCUAUUGUAUCUCAUCUUUGGUCGAUCAAUUUUCAGUUUUUGGAAAGCUUAUUGGUGUAUUUCUUGUGAUUUUUCGAUAGUUUUUGCCUAAGUCAUUUUUCAAUUGGGUGUCGAUCGAUCUACUGAAUUUGUGGAUCGAUCCAUUGUGUGCACAAUGUAGUGACCGAGAGCCCUUGAAUGAAUCUUGGAUCGAUCCACCAAGAUCGAUACCACCUAGUCCUUGUCUCUCACACACUUAGCCAUUUUUUUCAAAUUUGGUCUAUUCAAACCUAUGUGACUAUGUAUCAUCGAGAGCACAAUUGAAAGCUGGAUCGAUCCACCCAGAUCGAUACCACUUAUGCAUUUGUGAAAAAUUCCAUUUUUGCCCCCAACUAGUUAUACUCAUAUGGUUUAAUGGAUAAGGGGUAUUUUCAUAAUUAAAAGUAAAAAAUUGAAAAUUUGAAAAAGUCAAAAUCCCUAAAUCAGUUUUUCCCAAUUCAUUUCUUUCAAAAACCCUAGGUUUUUUGUUCCAAAGAAGAGAACUUCUCUACUCUAAGCUUCUCUUUAGCCAUCAUUGUCAGUCCAUCAUUCCUACCACUACCAUCAAAAGUCUCUACCACUGGAAACCUUUAUCGUUAGACUUCCCUAUCUGGUGAGCGUUUCAAGUCUGGCCAAUCCCACUAGACAGCCUCGUCAAAUAGCCUAGAAUUGUUGUGUUGCUCAGCUCAUGUCGUCGGCCUGUGUGUCUUUUCUUAAUGCGUCGAUGUUUUAGAAAAUUGUCUUCUACAUAGUAUGUGUUGGCUAGGACCUCCUGUGUGCAUCACUAGAUUGUAUCUUGUGCAAUUAGGAUUUUGUUCCAACAGUUGGAAAUUCCAAUCUGCCCUUAGGACUGUGUUUUUCACCGCACAAUCAACACAACGCAAUCUACACUUCUGGAAAUUGUGUUCUACAUAGCCCAUUUCUCUUGUUUUUUGCUCUACUAUUUUCCAAUGUUCGUGUCUUUAAUGCAACUUAUUUGCAAGAGUUCUCAUUUUUGGCAACCAUUAUUGUUUGAUUUAUCCAUUCUUCUCUCUUCUAUUAGUCUCAUUUGGAUUUUUUAUUUUUUAUUUUUUUAUUUUUUUUAUAGAGUCCUCUCACAAUAGUUUUAAUAGUUUGAGAUUUCAUUUUUGCCUUGGAGUGUUCCUAGUUUCUAGGAAUGCUAAUCCUAGGCUUUGGUUAUUCAUUUUGAGUGGUCUUCAUACAUUUUCAUGCUUGAAAUCUAUUUUCAUGGUGAUAAAGCAUUUUUUGAAAGUUUUUAAUUGAAACCAUGUGAUAGGAUUUAGGAGGAGAUUCUUAUAUCCUGUGAUGGGAGUCAAGGGGAGAUUCUUGUAUCCUAUAUUUUUUUUUUCUAGAAUGUUGAUAUGGAUACUUGGUGAUAUGUGAAUAUUUGAUUUUUGGGUAUUUGACAUUUUUGUUGAAAAGUAGAUGUUUGUUGAUUUGGAUGUGAGAUAUUCUGCUAUUGAAUUCUCAUCCAUUUAUCUUUUUUAUUGGAUAGAAAAUGGGAGAUUAUGACUUUUUGUCUCCUAUUGGGACAAAAAGGAGAAAACAUUUUACAUGGAUGUUGAUAUGACAUGUAGUUGAUCAUGACGGUUUCUUUGUGUUUUGUUGCUUUGGAUAUUUGAUAUGUUGAUCAUGAUCACCUUUUUUGUAUAUCGAUGGAUAUUUGACACGUUUUUGAACUCAUGAAUGCAUAUUAACUAUCUUUAGACAAGUUAUUUUUGUGGAUAUAUGUGGAUAUUUGUGUGUCAAUUCAUUUGAAACUUAUGGAAUUGUCUUGGUAAUAUGUGCAAGUGCUACUAAUGUUUUUUCUUGAGAUUUAUUUACAGGAUUGGUAGUACCUUUGGUUAGGUUUUGAGUGAGUGAGUGAGUGGCCUUGUAUGAGAGUUGGGUGGGACUUACUUGUAUUCAUUCGUGUUGUAAAGGGUUUUGUCCCAGAAUUUCCAAAUGGGGAGAUUGUGAGUGUUUAGCUACGUUGGUAAUUCCAAACAAAAUUCCUAAGUGUCCCUUAACUCGGUUUACAAAUCCCUCUUCAAACUACUUGACCUUUGAAGAUUAAAACUUUGCUAAGAGACCGAGGUAUGUAGCCGAGUGUGUGGUGAUUGAAUGUGAAUCAACCCUAUUUUUUCAUCUUUAAAUGAGUUAAGAAAAUAGGGAGAAAUAUUGUUAGUGCAAGGCUUUUGUUCCCCUUAUUAUGGAUUGAUCUAGGUGCAGGGGCAAAUUGAUCCAACUAACCCACUUUUAAGAUCAAUUUUCAACCCUUAGAUUAAGGGUUUCUUUCUCAUUUAAAAUCAAAUCUCUCCCAUCUCUAGAAGUGGUGACUACAACAACUGUGAGAGAGUUUUUUCUUUCUUCACCAUUUUAAGGGUGUUUACCUACGAAGAAAAUCUAUUCAAGUUUUCUAAGAAAAAAUUUUUAAAAUGGAUUUUCUGAAAAAGAGCAUAGGUUGAUUUUUGAAACAUUCAUAUCUAAUUCUCUUGGUUUUGCGCAAAAACCCAUUUUUUUUCUUAUGUGAAUUCAAGAAGAGGCCGAGAUCGACCUUGGUGUAAACUCCAAGCGUGCUCUAAAAUAAGAAUGUGAGAAAGUGAAAGUGAAGGUACUAGUCAAGUGGUCUGGGAAGGAUUGGUUGGUUUGAGCUAGGUAAAACCUUGUAUUUAGUUUUUAUUCUUCAUAGUGGAUGUUUUCAAUUGGUAGUAGGGCCAUGGUUUUUGAUCUCUUCGAAAAAAUUUCAUGUAAAUUUAUGGUGUCUCAUUGUCUCAUUUUCUCUUCUUAGCAUCAUUUUUUAGUUUCAACAAUUUAUUAUAAUUUUGAUUGUAUAGUAUUUGAUUGAAUGAUAAGGAGAAAUGGCUAUGAAUCAUCUUUGAAGUUGUUUCUAAUUGUUAAUCACUGAUAUUUUGAGGUAUAUUGAUCUUGUUUUUAUCAUAAUUUAGUUUAAGUUGAUUUGGGUUUGGGAGUAUUAGAUCAUGUGCAUGUGAAUUUCAUUUGAGUAUUGUUGGGGAGUGUUGUUGCAUUCAUAUAUUCAUGUGAUUUAUAAUUUGUUUUUGAGACUGUGUGAAGAGAAGAAAAUAUUCAAGAAGUUUUAAGGUUUACUAAUUUGAGUUGAGAUUUUGUUUAAUUGGUCAAAACACCUAUUCAACCCCCCCUUUAGGUGUAUAUUCCACUAUUGAGAUUCACUUUUUCAGAACCUAUACUUCUACCGAGCUACAUGAAGUUUUGUAAGGCAUAAAAUACAUUUUGAGGCAUAUAUAAGUCAAAUCUUAUAUCCAAAUUAGGUUGAAUUGGGUCAUGGUUAACCUCAAAUCAAAUAUAUGCAUUUUUCUUACAAAUGUUUAUAUAUAUAUAUGCAUUUAAGAAUAUAGUUAUUAUUGUAAAGGAUGUACUUUUUCUUAAGAAUAUACUUAUUUUUGUAACAGAUGUACCUAGGGUUCUACCAUGCCAAAUUGGGUUUGGGAAUGCAUCAUGAGGUAUAUAGAAGUUAAAAUUUAGACUCAAAAUGAAUAAGGGAAUGAUUCAACUCAAAUCAGAUGUAAAUACUUUUCUAAACUUUUAUGCAUUUUUUUAAAGCAUGUACGCAAAGUUAUAUCAUGUUGAAUAGGGUAUAAGAAGACCUCAAAUGCAUUCCGAGACCUACAUAAGUGAAAUCCCACACCCGAAUUAGGUUGAAUGAGGAUAAGAAUCCCCAAUGAAAUGAAAUGUACAUGUUUUUAUACUAGAUGUACCUAUUUUUCUAAAUGAUGUACUUAUUUUUUUUAAAAGAUAUAUGUAUUUUAAGAAAUAUAAAAAUUAAUUAAAGAAAUGUUAAUACAAUUUUUAUGAAAAUAAUUUUUUUUCUAUUUUAUGUUUAUAAAAAAGUUAAAGAUUUUAACCUAGUAAAAAGUUAGAACCAUGAUCAAUUUUAAAUCAUAUGAAAAAUUAAAACAAAUGUUAAUAUGAAAGUUCAAAUUUUUACAUGCCCUUAUCAAUGUCUCAUCAAAUUUUUUUAGUACAAAAUGGAAUAGUAAGUGAAUACUCUUUUAUUUCUUUAAUACAAAAAAUACAAACCAAGCAUCUCUCAAAAUCUUGUUCCUUGCUCUUGAAUAUAAAGUAAGAUAAGCUCGUGAACUUAUUCACAGUAAAAGUUUUGCUAACCUACAGUCACGCAACACAUGAAGGCAUUAUUCGACUUUAUUUAGGCAUCGAACACAAUUCGGUGAAGCUACUAUAUGCCUUUUGAAGUGAUUUUCAUUUGUCAGCAACUUGUUGUGCAAAGCCAGCCACAAAAAGGAUCUAAUCCUUUGGGGACCCCUUCAUUUCCACAAGGCCAUCCAAUUCUUAUUCAGCUUUGUCCAGCAACUCUCUUCAAUCAGUUCGUAAGCCGACUUGGUAGUUGACAACGUUGACAUAAAGGCCAAAAAUAGUGGAGGAUUGUACAAGAGCACAUAGCACUAACCCAAAUUCUCAAAAUUUGCUAUUGAAAAGUUUUUAGCCUAUUUGGCCAUUUCAUUAAAAAAUAAUUUUUGUUUUUAAAAAUUAAAAAAAAACUAUUUUUAAAAAUUCAUAAAAUUGUUUGUUAGUUGUUUUCUAUUUGUAAUUUUUAAAAAUAAAGUGAAAUAAAAAACAUAUUUUAUAAAACAAAUAAAAAUUGUUUUCACCAAUUUUAAAAACAAAAGAAAAAUAUAGAGGAAUUAAAAAACUAUAAAAAGAAAAUUGAAGAUGAUAUCAUUCUUCUUUACCUCUUUCUACGAUCUAAUAUCGAUACUGAAAAUCUUCAAAUAUAAUAUUCUUUUAAAUUACAUGUGUUUUUAUCAAUUUCAUUUAAUUUAAGAAAAUUUUCAUUGAUAAAAUAAAUUCUAAAUCAAAUUAUACUUUAUACAUAAAAUUUACUAAUUUUUAAAAAUAACUUAAAAGUUAAAAACUGAUUUAGUUAGUACUAUAAAGUCAUGAAACUCACUAACAUUAGAAUGACAUACACCAAAAUUCAUUUGAAUGUCUUGGCUAGUUUUUUCUUUGCAUAUAAUCAUAUUUUUACAAUUUUUUUCACUUAGUAAAUAAUCACCAAAUCAAGUAUGACUUAAUGCGUUGAAUUUAUUAACAAGUCUAAGUAAUUCUAAAAAAUAAAUUGAAAUGCAAAUAGUGAUCCAAUUAAUACCAUAAAUUUAUGGACAAAAAUUGAACUUGAAUGACUUUAUUGUUUCCAAUUUUGUUUCAUUGGACAAAUAAACUUAAAAUUAAACCAAACUUAAUGUGUUGAAUUCAUUAAUAAAUUUAGUAAUUUCUAAAAAUAACUUAAAACUCAAAUAAUGAUGUAAUUAAUAUUAAAAAAUUUAUGGAUGAAAAUUGGUCUAAAACAACUUUAUUAUUUUUCUUCUACAUGGAAUCAUAUAUUCCCAAUUUUAUUUUACUAUAUAAAUAAACUCAAAAUUAAACAAGACUUAACAGUCUAGUAAUUUUUAAAUUAGAAUAAUAUUUGAAAUAAUUUAAUUAGAAUAAUAUUUUAAUUUAUUAAAAUAAAUCAUAAAUAAAUGAAUAAAAUUAUCUAACAAUAUUUUAUCAAGUUAAUAUUUGUUAAUAAUAAGGAUUUAAGAUUUUGUUAGAUUUUAUCGCUAUAGGAUUAUUAUAAAUAUGGUUUUAAAAAAAUGCAUGAACAUCAUGUAAUAUUAACAAAAUAAAAAUUACGAAUUGAUCGCUUUCAUAGUUUUUGACUAUGGAUUAUUUUUAUCAUAACAAAAAUGCGUAAAAUUGUAUACACCUUUUAGGCUAUGAAAUAUUCAUUAUUUAACUUAUGAGUGUACAAUUUUGUUUUGUCCAAUAGUAGUGCAAUUAAUAUUAAAAAUUUAUGGAUAAAAAUUGGGUUUUAAUGAGUCUACUUUUUUUCUAUACAUACUUAUUUAUUUAUAAAUUUUUUUAUUAAAGAAUGAACUUCAAAUCAAGUAAUUGAAUUUACUAAUAGGUUAAUUUUUUAGUUUUUUUAAAGUUACAACCUAGUAAAUAGAUCUAAUCACUAUAAGAAAUAAUAUAUGAAAACUAAUUGUAGACCCCAAAAUUUGUCAUAAUUUUAUUUUUACAUUGAUAUUGAGUUCAAUUUUAUCCUUAGAUUUAAAUUUCGAUUACAUCUUAAUUGUUUAACCCACUUACACUAUUUUUUUAUUUUUUUUAUUUUUUCUCUCCUCUCUCCUCUCUCUUCUCUCUUCCUCUUUCUCCUCAUUCUACCUAUUCCACCUACUUCCCUUACCCAUUUCCUUCUCGUCUAAGCCACUCCCCAUACCCCCUCCAAGUUUUUUUUUUUAAAUUUUUUAUCAUCUUUCUCUACUCUCCUCUCUUCACUUUUUUUUUCUCUCCAUCAUUUCUUCUUCGGGUUCCCUUCCAACACCACAACCACUCCACAACCCACAUACCAGACACGGUCGACUCCCCCAUCUCCUCUUUUUUUUUUUUUUCCUUUCCCCCAACUCUCACACACGACGGUCCCCAUUUUCUCUUCCAUUUUUUUUCUCUUUCCCACAGUCCUUCCCUCUACACUGCCAUUUUCCAAAGACUCCCAUUAUCACACGCUCCCCAUCUUCCUUCAUUUUCUUUUUUUUCUUUUUUUUUUCUCUUCCUUUUUCUUUUCUUUUCCCCUCCCCACACUCCAUAGCCACUACCGGCCCUCCACUGCCCGCCACUACCAGCAGCCACUGCCAACAACCACCACCCGCUACUAUCUGCCAGUCAUUGCCGGCUAGCAAUCCUACCAUCCAUAGUUCUAAAAAAAAUGGGUAAAUUUCCUUUUUACUUUAUUUUAUUUUCAUUUUUUUUAUCUUUAUAUUUUUAUUUUCAUUUGCAUAGUAAUUUAUUUAGACUUGGAUCUAUUGCUUAUUGGUUAUUUAUUUGGACUUAUUGGAUUGGGUUUGAGACAUUAUUUUCUUUGGUCAUGUAUAUUAUUAAUGUGGGUUUGUUAAUUGAUAUGAAUUUUUGACCCAUAAUGUGAGUAUGAAUUUUGGGCCCACAAUGUUGGUGGAAUUUGAUUGAUGACUUGAAUAUUUGAUAUGAGUUUGACCAAUUUGAACUAUUUAAUUUGGAUAUGGGACAAUUAUGAUGUAUAUUAAAUUAGGCUUGGAUUAUGAGAUAUUAAAUUUAGGCCUAAUUGAAUUUAUUUUAUUUUGUGAUAUUUUGGGCUUGGCUAAUUGUGUUGUAUUUUGGUUAUUAAUUUGAAAAUUUUGGAUUAAGAUUUAUAGCAUGUGAGAUGUUUUUGUUAGGUUAUAUUUGUUAAUUUAUGCCCAUUUUGAUUGACAAAAUUUAUCAGACUAAUUUGAAAUUUGAAUUUGAGUUUGAAUAUUUGUUUGGGAUUUUGUACAUCUUUGGAUAUUUACAUUUGAGCUAUUUUGUUUUUGCAUGGGUUUAUUUUGCAAAUUCUGUUGGCUGAAUACAAAUUUAUGACACGUGGAGCACGAAAUUUUAUGGAAGAAAGUGAGAAUCAAAAGGUUGUAGGAACACAUUAAACUUGUUAUAAGCUUAUUUUGGUACACAUUUUAUUUCCCACUUUUAUUUGAUUUUAUUUCUAUUAGUUCUUGUAAAUAUUCAUUUGUAUAUAUUUAUUGAGUGUGUACAGAAUUGAAUAUUUAACAAAUCAAAAUUUUCAUUUAAAUAAGAGGAAUAAUUCAGUAAAUAUGUUCUAAUAAAAUAAUAAUUUUAAAAUAUUCUUCUUCAUAAAAGAAAGUUUUUUUAUUAAUAAAAAUUCAUAAAAAUGCUUUUAAAAAAAUUCAAAAAAAAUUGUUUUUAAUAGAAUUUGAUAAAUUAUUUUUAAUAAUAAUUGUCCAAAAAUGUCUUUGUUUAAUAAAAAUUGUCCAAAAAUUGUUUUGUAAAUAAAGUUGUCCCAAAAAUUCUUUUGCAAAUAAAGUUAUAUUCUUUUUAAUAAUUUGUACAAGUCACUUUUCUUAAAUGAAAACAAAUUGAAAUACUUUUGUAAAUAAAAUUGUAAUUUUUUUGUAAAAGCGAGUAAAAAUCAUUUUUGUUACCAAAUUGAAAUUUUGUAAUAAAUUAUUUUGAUAUAAUAAGUGAAAAUAACUUUUUUGGAAAAUUAACUACAAAUUAAAUUGAAUUAAAUCAUUAAUUAAAAAUAAAUUGAAACUUCUUUUCUGUAAAUAAAAAAAAUUAAAAUCAUUAAUUUAAAAUCAUUUUUAAUAAAAUCCUUUGAAAUUUCUUGAAAAUUAUUUUUUUAAUAUUUUUUUAUUUAGUUCAAUAAAUCAUUUUGCAUAAUUCUCUUGUUAUUUAUUUUGUAUAUUCUUGUAAUUAGAUUUCAUCAUUAUUUUUAUGUAUAUUGAUUUUCAUCAUGACUUGCACAUACUCAUUUGCAUAAUUAUUUUUCUUGGUAUCCAUAAUUAAUUAAUUAAUCAUCGCAAUUUCCUUAAUUCAUUUAGUAGAGGUCGUAUGUAUACGAGCUUAGAGGGGUGUUACAACUCAUUACCAUACCUUCCCAAUAUGUAACGGAGGACUCAAACUCGAUUUUUCACAAACUUGUUUUUACUUCAAGAGUCACACUUAAGGUUUUUCUUUUUUAUUUUGUUUUUCCCUUAAAAAAUAAAACAAAAAUCAGUUGACUUCAAGUCUUUUUUUUAAAAUCAUAUUUUUCACCAAAUAAAUAAAAAAUGAGUCUCGCUGUCGAGUGGAGACGCACAUAAAAAACGUAGGUCCACACCAAUAUAUUAUACUAUUUUUUAAUUUAUUUAUAAUUUAAAACUAAUUUCAUUUUUUAUAAGACCUUAAUUAAAUUUCUAUUAAUUAAAUUUAGAAUAUUUUUACAAAAUCAACAUAGAAAAAUUAUUUAAAAAAAAAACCAACUUUAAAAUAACUUGCCAAACAUCCUUAUUUUAUAAAAUUUUUAAAACAUAUUUUUAUUUGUUUAACAUAAAAGCAACUUUCAAAAACAAACAUUAUGGAACGUGAUUGAACUUUUCUCUUAUUUCUUUUUCAUUUUCUUGUUACUUAAAAUGACCGACAAAGGAAGAUGAAUUAAAUUAUUGAAGAACAUCUUUUGCCAAACAUAUUAGUUAAAAAAAGUGAUUUAAAAAGCGGGCCCUAACCUAUUCUGGAGCCCAUGAUAUCUUUGUACGUUACCAUAAAAGGCCACACGCCACACGCCUCAGCAAACCCACCAACCCUCAGAAAGGGGUUUCAACUGCAAAUAGUAACCAUACAAUUUCAAAGCAAAAAGCCAAACACUCACAUAAAUCUAAUAUUACCACAGCAACACUACUAAAUAGUUAAUAGCCCGUGAUGUUUCCUUUUUAUUCUAUGCCAAGCUUCUUUCUCAUCCCCAUAACAAAGCCAUGGACCUUGUGUGGGUCUUCCAGAGAAGACGACACGCUCUCCUUUUCCAUGCACCUCUUGGUCCAAGCUAUCAACUUGGGACACUCCGCCUCUAUGCUGAAGUUUCCAAAGCUCUCAUAUGCAUGAAACCAGCAAGAGAAGGUCACCAGAGCCACAUCCACAAACCCAAUUUUUUCACCGCCGAAGUAAGGCUUCUCUCCAAGCUCUCCUUCCAGAAGCUUGAGGCACUCUAUGAAUUCCUUCUUGGCUGUUUCCUGCUCUUCUCCUUUGGUUGACCAUAUCUUCCUUCCAAGUUCAUAGAGCUGUGGAAAACAAUAAAGUCAAAGAGAGAAAAGGGUUAUUUUUUUGGAGCAUUUCAUCAAGUUUCAACUUUCUGUAUAGUUGGACAAGUUUAUUAAGGACCCUUCAGCAUAGAAAUCUCAUAUACUAGGAACAAUUUAAAUGAAGGGCCGGUGGAAGAAAAAUAUCAGAAUCAGUUGAAAGAAUGUAUCAUUUGCUAAAGCUUUUCCCCUCAGUGUGGGUUUUAGAAAAUGAGAAGAAAGAGAUCAAAGCAACAAAACAUGUAUUAAAAGAACUGCUCUGCAAAAUGUUGAACAUCAGGAUAACAAAAAAAAACCAAACACUGCUUUAAAAACUGGUUUUUGGAUCCCCUUUCUUGAGGGAAAAGGCAUUCUUGAGAUCUGCUUUUUUGGGUGGAAAGAACGGACUGAAAACCCACAUCAGAAAUGCAAAGUGGAGUCUUGUUGGACACACAGCAAGGAGAAUCAGUAAAGUUCUAGUUUGAGACCCCAAGGCCCGCAAAACUCAAUGUCAGAAGAGAAUGUGUGAAGAAGAACCCAGCAUUUUGGACAAAUCCCUCAUCAUUAUCAAAAUCUGAGCCAAGCGCCAUGAAUCAAUGGCAAAAAAAUGCUUUAAAUCAACAGCAAAGACAUACCUUCUUGUCUACGUAGUCCACCCAGAACCUGGCCUGAGCUCUCUGGUAUGGGUCACUAGGCAAAAGCGGAGAUUUAUCGUGCCAAACCUCAUCAAUAUACUGAACUAUUAUCAGAGACUCACAAAUGGGCUUUCCAUUGUGGAUCAGAACCGGGAUUUUCUUAUGAACUGGAUUCAUCUCAAGAAGCAGAGGGCUCUUGUUCCUAAGGUCCUCCUCUUUAUAUUCAUACUUGAGGCCCUUCUCUGCCAGGGCAAGUCUGACCCUCAUACCAAACAUGCUAGGCCAGAAAUCCAACAAGAUAAUCUCAUCUGCCAUUGCUCCUACUGUGAUCAAUAUGAUACAGACUCAAGUAUUGAUGAACAACCCAAGGGAUAUUGUCAAGUAUUUAUAGCAAAUCUCAGAGAGUGAGUCAAAACCUUGGAAAUUUCUAGGAGGUGGUGAUGGCGUGAUGCUUCCUUAUCUCAGCAUGCACUUUCCUUCCAUAUUAUAUCCUUAUCUCAGUUUUCUUUCUUGGAAAAGUUGUGUUUUCAUGGGCCAAUAUGGUAAUAAUAUUGUUUUUGGAACCCAGGUUUGUGAAAGUUGAAAAACAUUUGUUAAUGUGGAAACUUAUAUCAGAUUCAUGCACUCUGAGCCGGUUGUAUUUUUUCUACCGAAAUUGCCCCUCCAGGUAUCCACGUCAGCAGCCCAUCUCAGAACGGGCUGAAACUGAACCGGUUGUCUUGUGCAAAAUCAAAUAUUGAGCUUCCCACAAAAACACCCUAGGCGACCGACCGUUCAUCCUCCCUUUCUCUCAUUUGGUACCCAUUCCAAAUGCGUCGGAGUUUCGAGAUGCAAUCUAUUUGAUGUCUUUGGUUGGAAAAUUUUGAUAUUCUUACAAAAGGAAUAGUCCAAAACACAUGACCGUAGUAUGCACAAUUGAAGAUUGUCCUUGGAAAAUCACUACGUGUGCAAUAGGGGACUCAAACAUUGUUCAAGUACACACAUUCCGAAAUGUGCAUAACCAUUGCUUGGAAGAUGUUGUCUUAUCUCAGCCUUUAGUGAGAUCCACUCGUGCAUCGUUGGUCAUUGAUGAUGUCAUUCGAUCUACUCCUGAAUACCAACCACGCCAAAUUUGUAAGGACUUUGUAAGGCAACAUGGCAUCCAAUUAACUUACCUACAAGCAUGGCAAAUGAAGGAGAAGGCUAAGGAGCGCAUUUAUGGACAACCCAAGAAUUAUUACAAAUUGUUGCCAUGGAUGUGUGAAAGAAUGCUUGCAACAAAUCCGGGAUCGAGUGUUGAGUUGAGUUAUUUCGAUGACGACCAUUUUGAGAAGCUUUUUGUUGCUCAUUCAAUAUCUAUCGAAGGGUUUGUAAGGGGGUGUUGACCAAUCAUUGCAAUUGAUUCGGCCCAUAUGAGUGGGCCUUAUGGUGGUGCUCUAUUUUCGGCCACCGCCUAUGAUGCUAAUGACUCCAUGUUCCUCUUAGCCUUUGGAGUGAUGAGCUCGGAAAAUUAUGAAGAUUGGUUAUGGUUCUUGGAAAAACUGAAGAUAGUUGUGGGAAACAAGGAAGUUAUUAUUAUCUUAGAUAGACAUCCUGCUUUGCUUCGUAGUGUCCCUAAGGUGUUUGGCAUUGAAAACCAUGCUUAUUGCUACCGUCACCUGAAGGAGAAUUUUAGUAGUUUCUUGUCCAAGCAUAACACACGAGGGAACAAGGGUAAAGAAAAUGCAUUGCAAUUCCUAGAUAGCAUUGCAUAUGGAAGGUUAGAACAUGAUUAUAACGUUUCCAUGUUUGAACUAAAAAAAUACAACGAGGCUUUAGCCACAUGGGUGUAGACCCUCAAUUUUGUCCCUUUAGUACAUGUCUUUAAGUUCGUUUUCAGUGCUUCAAAAUAGUUCCUUGGUGGCCCAUUACUACUCGUACGACUUACCUUUUUCUGAGUCACCUCGGAGACUUUGGUUGAGGGAUUAUUUGAUCCCAUAUUGUGACCCUUGGCAGCCCUAACUUAGACUUAGGUUUUUCUUGUUUUUUUUUUUUUAGGAUAGCUUUUAGAUACACUUGGCCCAUUAGGACACACCCUAGGUCACCUUUAGAUGUUUUUGCAUGGUUUGCAUGGUUGCAUGGCUCGUGUUUUUGCAUGGUUGCAUGACUCAUAUUCUUUUGGUGGUUACAUAGCUCGUAUGGCUUGCAUGUGGUUGAUUUUUUUUAUUUUUGUUUUUAAUUAUUUUUAUUUUUUAUUUUUAUUUAUUUAUUUUAUUUUUUAGAUGUGUGAUUUAAAUUUCUUUUGAUUUUCAAUUUCAUGAUAUUUAUUGAUUUUAAUCUUUAUUCUAUUUUGUCUUUAUUUUAUUCUUAUUUCUAUUUGUAUCUUUGUUUAUUUAUUUAUUUAUUUAUUUUUUGGGCAUGAGGAAACGGACCGCCAUUUAUUUGGAAGGAAAAUCAACAGAAUUUUGAAAAGAGGAGAUUUUAUUUUUAGAGGGACAGCACAUAUACUUCUUCCAUAGGGGGAUCGGCUACAAGAAGGAAAGAAAAGAAAGAAAGGAAAGAAAGGAGAAAAGGAAGUAGGAUUUUCCUUUUCAGCAAGAUGGUUUCUUUUUGAAAAGUGGGACUGGCAGCACGCAUAGAAAAAGGGAUUUUUUUUUAAGAAAACCAGGGGCAUGCAUUGGAGAAAACGGUUGAAGAGGAGAAGAAGAAGGAAGCACAAGAAAACCAGUGGAGAUUUUCUGAGGAUAGAAACCAGUGCAGAUUUUUUUUAUUUGUCAGAAGUAAGCAUUCCCAGGGGGGGGAUUCUUUGGAUUGCUUUGGGUGAGAAGAACAGGGACUGAGGUACACGAGUUUCUAAAGGAUUUGGGAGAAGGAAUCAUAUCUAGAAGAAAGGAAUUGAGUCAAAGCUGCCGGGUAUGCUUCUUGCUACUUUUUUAUUCCCGUUUACAUUCAAUACUCCAUGAUCCUCUGACCAUUUUUGAAUAUUCAAUCUUUGCUGAUUGGUGUGGACGGUAGGUCCACAAUUAGUUCUAUUGAAAUUGGUUGUUUCUUUGUUUAUUUAAGACUUUCGUUCUUUUCAAUGUCAUUAAUUUCUUAUGAGAAUAAUAUGCAUUUGGGUCAGUCCUUGAUUCUGAUGAUGGAAAUCCUACCUUGUUCAUGUUGAAAAUCUGUUUUAAAUCACUCCUCUAUUCUAAGCCAAUGGAUUGAAAUAUGAAAUUGUGGCUUUUCUUGGUUAUUUUCCUCUUCUUUCUGUGUUUCUUUUUUUUGUUAUUUUCUUCUAUUUCUGGCCCACACCUCAACCAACCCUAUUCCCGAUCUUCAAGAUUUAUUAACGUUGAUUCAGAAAUUUUUGGAACUAUGGAAGAGAAUUUAGGAAAUAAAGAGGUUCUUGAGAACUGUUCUAGUGAGCUCGCUUUCUGCUAGCCGUCUGCAUGGGGAUGUUGUAAUUGGGGAGCUUUUGGCUAAAUGGCUUCUGAAACUUCAGCCUGUGACUACUUCUCCUUAUGUGUUAUUAUCAAACUUGUAUGCUUCAGAUAGGAAGUGGGCAAAUUUAAAGAACCUGUCAUUAGCAGGCAACAAUUUCUUUGGCCCAACUACAGACUCAACUUCGAGGUUAGAAUCAAUCCAGUCUUUAGAUUUCAGUUGCAACUCCUUUUCUGGUGAUAUGGCAGCAUCAUUGACUGUUGAGUCUGAUAUGGAAUACAAUUGGAAUGCCAACAUUGAGAUAUUUGGAAGAAGAGGUCCUGCUCCCGGAGUUAGACUUGGUGGGGUGCUUGGCGACUCACUUACCAGAGUUGCAAGAAAGCAAGCAGAUGCACUUUUGUUUGCAGAGGCCAGGAAACAGAGUCUUGAUUCUUUGAAAAGAGAAGAUGGCAUUUUGCUAUAGAAGGAAAAGAUUACAGCUCAAGUUACUAGAAGUGGACAGAGGCAAAAGAUAUCAGUAUAUGAUCUAAUUCCAGGUGAUAUUGUUCAUCUUUCCAUUGGAGAUCAGGUCCCAGCUGAUAGACUUUUUGUUUUAGGAUUUUUCUUUGUCGAUAAAUGAGUCCAGUUUGACAGGAGAAAGUGAGACGGUUCAUAUGAAUUCUGAGAAUCCUUUUUCUCUUGUUCAGAACUAAAAUUCAGGAUAGGUCAUGCAAAAUGCUUGUGACUACUGUUGGGAUGAGAACCCAAUGAGGUAAAUUGAUGGCAACUCUUAUGAAGGAUGAUAAGCCUACUGCAUCAAACUAUCUGUCCAUAGCUGCACUGCCAGUGGGAGAGACAAGGAAGGAGAUGGAUUUAAUACUUCAAAAACGGAGCAUUUAGAAGUUCGGAUGGAUCUUACAGAUGACUUAUUGCACAUGGUUUCCUUUUCUUGGACUAUAUUAAUCUUCGUCGAGCUUCUACAGUCUGUAAGUAGUGGCGAGCUGGUAGUUCUCAUGAAGACUUCUGGAGGUGUCUGAAUCUCGAAAAUCAGAACAUAUCUGAAGAACAGUUUGAGGAUAUGUGCCGUAGAUAUCCGAAUGCCACUGAAGUGAAUAUUUUUUUUGGUGCUCCUUCAAUUCACUCGCUGGUUAUGACAGCAAUAUCUUCUUUAAGGAAUCUGGAGAUCUUAACCUUGGGGAAAGGAACAUCAGGUGAUGCAAUUUUAUUUUAUUUUUAGCCUUGGCUGAUUGUUAUAUACUAAAGAGACUUGAAGCUGUUGAAUUCUCGAAUGCCCUGUACAAGAGCUUUUUGGACGAAGACCUGAUUUGACCAGAGAAGCUUUACUCCAGGACAUGUUUUCAAAUGCAAAAAGACCACAGCAAGACGAUUGCAUCUGGCCAAAGAGUUGCUUACUUUUCUUGUUGAAGCUCUAAAGUAUUUUGCUGAGACCAAAGAAGGGACUUCUGAAAAGGUGCUCCAGUUCUGUGGAGAAAGUGCAGAUCCUAAUGUCCAAACCUCUCAGUUUGUUUCCAUGAGAUGAAGGAAGAGGUGCAAGUCAAGAUUUAGUCUUGCUGCAAUUUCUGAUGUCGAAACUGCCAAUAAUUCUGCCAGCCUACAGAAAAUUCCAAUAUCUGUUUUGAAUAUUGAUGAAAAAUACAUUGCAUCAAGGUUUUGCUGUAAUCUGGAGAAGUCAUUAUCACCAUUAUUUAAGGAUGCAGCAUACAGAGAUUUUGACCUCAAUUUAUCACUCAAUUGGCAAGAGAUCGUAAGUGCCUUUGAUAACUGAUCAGUGGCUGUUUGAGGCGCCAAGUAUGUGACUAAUGAUUAUGUAUCAGUGACAGAACUGACUUCAUAGGCUACCUACAGAAUUUAACAAAGAAAAGAAAGCCGGGAGAGAAAUCUGAUGCUGAAUUCAAUGGCAAGUCCAAAGGAAUUCAGUGGCUGUUUAAGAUGACUUUUAUGGAUGAGUUCAGUAGAGAAUUGAAAAGAAUUCAAGUGGUUGCAUAUGUGGGUGAGACUCAAUUGCGUUAACGGGUACUCUUGAUGGCAGAAAUUUGAAGGGAAUGGGGAAAGCUCAUUAACACAUUGGGGAUCUGCACAUGUUCUGGCUGCUUAACUUGAUGAUCAGUUUUAUGGUGACAUUAUGAAGAAUCUAAUUGAAACAGUGGAGGAUCUUGUCAGAUGGGGGAUUUAUACAAGGCGUUUUGGACAUCAUAACAACAGGGGUUGCAGAUUAUGUAGUUGGAAGUGUCAUGGCCUGUGACAGUUCUGUUUUAACGCCAUGAUAGAGAAGAAGAUCCUUUUAGUUGUGAAUGUGGGAGCAUUGGAUAUGGUGAAUUCUGAAGCCAAGAUUACCAUACUUUCUCAUUUACUGAACAGAAAUAUUCAUGUACACAAUGAGCAAGUAUCUCUUAUUCGAACAUAUAUGUAAAAAGUCCAAAAGCUUCAAUGUUUUGACCAAAUCAAAUGCUUUUGUUUCUCCAUCAUCAGAGGCGUUGACUCUCACAAGAAGGCGCACUCAUGAACAGCAGCUUGAAUUCCAUGUCACAGAGGUUUUGGAAGAGGCUCGAAUCAUUGAGGCUAAGCACAAAAGAUUGCUGGAUUAUCUGCUGGUGCAUUACUUUUGGAGUAUCACAUAAAAUCUCACUGGGAUUUUGUCCUAUGGAAAUCAUUAAACGGCGAUAACAAGUCAAGCUGGAGUUUAUCUGCGGGUUGAUGAACUCAUUGAAAUUGCCAAACUCCUUGGAUUGAAUUCUCAGGGUGAUGUAUCAGCUGCUGAAGCUGUUGUUGCUGGUGAUCUACAAUUGGCAUUUGAUCUCUGCCUUAGUUUGGCAAAGAAAGGACAUGGUCCCAUUUGGGACUUAUGUGUUGUUAUGGCAAGGGGUCCUGCUCUUGAAAACAUGGGUAUAAACUCUCAAAAGCAGCUACUGGGUUCUGCCUUGAAUCAUUGUGACGAGGAAUCCAUUGAUGAACUGCUACACGCAUGUGAAAUCUAUGUUGUUGCACUGCUGGUGAUGUUGAACCGAGGGAAUAAAGAGUACAGGUUUAGGGAUUACUCCAACUGACUCCAUAAUCAUUUGGUGAAUGACAAGAACCAGGGCUGGAUCAAGAAUUGUUUGAUAGAUAUCGACAUUUGUAGUUGCCUCGGGAAAGAGAUAAAUGACGAUGUUGCUACAUUCCAUAGGAAGAAUUUGUUUCCAAUCCAGUCGAGUCACAACAAACCAACAGCCUAAUGUUCCUAACGUUGUGUAGAUCCCAUGGAAGAGGCACAUCCUGAAGAGCAUGAUGAGUUUACUGAGAAUGGUAAUGGUAAGGAAAAAGAUUCCAACAAUCCGGCAGAUGAAAGUUUUGAAGAGAUAGAAUCUGGACAAGUGGAUGGAAAAUUUGAGAGGGAUGAUCUGGGAAGGGUAAUGAAGACAAAGCUGACAUGGAUUUAGAGGCACCAAGGAAAGGUGUCUUGGGAUCUGAAAAUUCUAACUUCAUUAGUGAUCAUAUGUUCAAUGCAAAAUCUGUGACGCAAUCAAAGGAUGACAUGCAGGCUGCAAAUUCAAGAAACGUGACACCAGAAACCCUUUUUGCCUUCUCAAUUCUCAUGUUGGGUGCAAUUUCAAAGAGUAUUGCUACUUCUUUGACAUAUCUAGCAAUUAGGUGUAAGAUCAUGGUUCAAGCAGCAUAUCCAAAUGACGGUGAAGCCUAGAAAGCUCCACAGAAAUCCCACAAAAUAGUACAUGAUGUUCUCUAUGUUAUUUGGAAGAGAGAAGGUGGACCGGGGUUCUUUAAGAAAUUGCAAGCUUAGAUCCUGAAAACCGUACUAAACUCAGCAUUGCUUUUGAUGAUCAAGGAGAAAAUUGUAGCAGGCAUUUGAGUACUAAUACUUGCAGCCAUCCCCAACUAAGCAAGAGCCGGAAUUGUUAUUUCUUGUUAAUUUCUACUGUCACCCAUGAUCAAAUGAAGCCUUUAAGCUCUCUUCUAGCAAUGUCUUUGAUAUUAAAUACCCACCAGAAUCCCCAUUCAGUAACUGCUUCAAUUUGAGCUCAUGGAUCCGAGGAAAACAUGGAUANNNNNNNNNNNNNNNNNNNNNNNNNNNNNNNNNCAUAGACGUGUGGAUGCCCACUAAUCAGGUACGCUCUCUUUACCUCCCAACUCUAAAAUUCUAUGAAUAUGUAUGUUAUCAUGAACCAUGACCAUGUUUGAUGUCAUAAUUGAUUGUCUUGAUGCUUGUUUGAUCAUCUUUGAUAAAAUACAUAUAAUGUGUGUUAUACUUCUAUACUAACUCUGAUGUUUUAUGAUAGCGCUUGAAGAGCGGUUCAGGUACGCACCCUAACUCUCUGUUUUUGUGAUUUGAUCUUGUUUAGCAUGCAAAUCUUUUGAAAUCACCUAGCCUACUUAGGUAUCCAUAACUAACCGAUUAAUUGCCAUAUUCCCCUUAACUUAGUCAGUAGAGACCUCUUUAGGGCUUAGAGGGGUGCUACCUCCUAGAGGUACCUUCCCAAUAAGUAACCUGAUCCCCGGACCAAGACUUGGGUUUUCAAAGACACGCUUUUCCAAAAAUUAUGGAGUCAUUUUUUUUAGGGUUUUAUUUCUUGUUUUAUUUUCCCUUCAAAAAUAAAAAAUAAAAUAAGUGGCGACUCCAACUUUUUUUAAAAUUAAUUUUUCACAAAUAAAAAGCGAGUCUCGCCGAUCGAGUGGGGACGCACGUGAAAAAUGCUGGUCCACAAUGGGUUGAAGAAAAUGCGCCGCACCAUUGGGCCAUGUCAAAAUUCCCAAAACAAAGAUGGGAUAAAAUGACUACGAACCUUGCCGAGUCAUUUAAUGCUUGGUUACGGAUUGAAAGACAUCACUCUAUUUGUAACUUUUUAUUGGAGCACAUGUCCAAGUUAGCUUCUAUGCUUGUGAAGCAUCAAGAAGAGUCCAAGAAUUGGAAAGGGUGUAUAGGGCCAAAAAUUGAAGCUAAGGUGCAGGAAAAUAUUGCAAAGGGUGCGGUGUAUCCAGUCACACCGUUCAAGAAUGGAGUAUUUUGGGUAUGUAUCGGGAGAGCCUUGUUGAAUGUAGACAUUUUGAACCGUACAUGCACUUGUAGGGGUUGGCAAAUGUUGGGAAUCCCUUGUGAGCAUGCCACGGCCGUCAUUAUUUCCAUUGGUCAAAAUGUUACUGAUUUCGUCGAUGAUUGCUACAAAUACCCAAUGCAAGAGUUGAUAUAUGGGGGCUCUUUCUCCGGCAUAGAGACCCAUGACAUGCCUACUGUGGACAAUGAUGGUUUGGUUCGAUCUAUCACCGAGGAAGUGUUCUUCUCUCUAAAGCCUCCACAUACAAAGCGCGCUCCCGGAAGGCCAAGGAAGAAGCGCAUUGAGUCUCAAUUUCAAUAUAAACGGAAUAUUUAUUGCUCUCGUUGUCAUAUGUCCGGCCACAACAGAAAAACCUGAAAAAAUCCUUUGCCCUAAAUGCAUAUCUGUCUACUUAUUGCAUUAUGCUGAUCUUGUAUUACUCUAUUUCAACUAACUGGUUGUCACCCAAUCAUCGUUACUAUUUGAGUGUUUUGUGCCUUUCCAUUCACCUGCAAUGUUCAUUGAGUUACAUUAUAUUUCUCUGCUGAUUCAGUUCUUUCACAAAGUCCGAACUAUGUUUGCACCACAUCUUGUUUUAAUGGUAUUUACUCAAAUCCCAUGUAUUUGCUAAGAUUACAUUGCUUAAGCCAUUUUAACCAUACUACAGUUUGUGUUCCCAUGUAUCAUUUGGUGGCAUCAUUUAAUUAUCCGAAAAUAAAUACUUUGAAUGAGUGGCAUCAUUUGUGUUCCCAUGCACUCUAACAAAAUUUAUUUUUCACCACACUUCUUCAUGGCUUGUGCAAUACCAGCCACAACUGUACGCUAACAGUUCUUACUUUGCAGGUUUAAUUAAUUGCGCUUCCAUUAUAUCCAUCUGAACGAGAAGGUCAUCUUAUUCUAGGCAUGGCAAUGGAAAGGAGGAAAAUGAAGGAACAUGUCCUUGCAACAUGUGCACAUGUCGGCAACACGGAUUUCAUUCAACAAUGCAUUCAAUCUUCAAUUUCACCUUUAAUGCAUAUUUCCAUAUAUUCUAUUUUCCUAUCACUGACCAAUAUUUAAUUUUAACUGUAGGAAAAGCUCCCAAAGUCCCGAUGUUCUGGAAGGAAAUUCAUCACUGUGAUUGCGCGCUUACCACCAGAAAAACACCAAGCCAUCAUAGAUAUGGGAUUUGGGGGCCUGCUAACAUUUGCCUAUCGAGAGAUGAGAUAUGAGCUGUGCGGGUGGCUCAUAUCUCAAUAUGACUUUACCUACCACAGGCUUAAAAUGGCAACUGGCAGUGCUGUCAAUGUUAAUGAACAACAUGUCAGCCAAGUCAUGGGCAUCCCUAACACCGGGGAAGACUUGGUUAUUGUUAAAAGAACAGGCCCCUCCAACCGCACAUACACUCUCAGGGUUUUGGAGCAAAACCUUGACAAUCUGCCCGUUGGUGAUGAUUUUUUAAAAACAUUUUUAAUUUUUUCUUGUGCCACUCUGUUGGCACCUAAUUCCAAACUUGAAGGAAGCCAUGACCUAUAGGACACCAAAUGGGAUUCUGAUCUUGGUGUCCAAAGGAAUUGGGCUAAGUUUCUGUUGCAACACUUAGAGGACGGCAUUAGGGAAUAUCGGCAAAAGCAACCUACUUACAUCCGAGGCUGCCUCAUGUUCCUCCAGGUACAAUCAAGGGUCCACAGUAUUCUGCAAUUAGGUUCAACUUUGUUUACAUUUUAUUUUAAAACUCAUCGUUACUGCAAUUCCAUAAUUUAAUGCUUAUUGUUUCGUAUACUACCCUUGUACAGCUCUUUUAUAUGGCAUUCUUCUAUAUGCCAUCAGUUAUUGUUGAGGUGACCCGGCCGCUUGCUGCCGCAUGGAGUGACGAUGUCAUAAAGCGCCGCUUAGCGGCUGAAAUAUCAACUUUCAGUGGAUAUGGGCAUGUGGAUCUAUGCUAUAAAUGAACAUAGCUUUUCGUAUUAGUUAAAUGACCAUAGUAGCUUAUUCAAGUCAGUCCCAAUUUGUUGCUUCUCUAAUUCAACUGAUGGUGCAUUGUGCAGGCACAGGAGCAGCCACAAAGCACACCUCACAUAUUGCUACCAUCAGUAGCCUCGACCUCCACAGCCGGUGACGAUGCUACAGAGGUAUUGCAUAGCCACUAACCACUCAUACAUGUUGUUCCAUACAGACUCCAUACAAUACUAUGCUUAUAAUAUUUGUUGUUCCACUUUAUAAUAGGUUAUCAAAGCCCACAUCAAUGAGACAUCAGAGACUAUGCUUAGAUUAGCUUUGUCUUUGGUGCGGGAUGUGGGUGCAUUACGUUGCCGGCCCAGUGGAUCAGAGGGGAAUUCUUUCGUUCCUUGCCCAUCAAUAGAGCACCACACUAAAGAUCAACCAAUGCGGCCAAUACCAUUGAGGCAGCCAUCAACUGAGGAAAUUGAACCAGAAGACAACCUCGUACCAACCCCCCAUUCGCUAGUUGGAAUGGGACCAUCACCAGCUCCCACUUAUUCCGAGCCACUGGUCCCACAGUCUUAGGCAGAGGCAUCCCUUCCAGCUGAAGUGACAGUAGAGGAUGCAGAAGAUGGUGAAGGCGCAGGUGGGAGUGGCAUCCAAGCCCCUAAACCUUCAUCGAUGAAGAGAUAUAAGCAGACCGCUAAGUGGAUUGUCAAGCAUCCUCCCGCUUGCAAAAGUUCAUUUGUCGCCCAAUGUGUUAAACAAUUCCCAAAAAUACCUCAUGCAGAUCGGGUAGUAGCAGAUUAUGCUUUGGCUGAAAUGGGUGAUCCUAGGUACACUUAAGAUUUCUAAAACUCAUUCUUAUAAUCAUUUUAUAGGUUAAUAACUCUACAUCAUAAUGACAAAUUUACUUUCAUGUCAUUGUAGUGAGAUUUUGUGCGACAUGUAUGGGAUGUACAUUAGACGGGAGGAACUUUCUUGUCUAAAUGCAGGGCGGUGGGUUAAUUCAAUGGUAGGUUACUUAUCCUUAUGCCUUACUAAAUUCACAAUUAAUAAGUCAUAUGAAUCGAUAAAGUGUUGAUGGAGGUUGUAAAAUAUGUUAUUUUACACAACUUUGGCAGAUUGUUGCGAUUGUCUCUCGCAUAAUGAAUGGACAGCAAGCACCACCACCUCGCGCACACUUUUUUGAGCCUUCAUUCUCGGUGAGCCCUCUAAUAUCCUAAAUUCACUUGGUUUGAAACUAGAAGAGUAGAUGUUGAUGUUUGUAUUGAUUCACCUCACCCUUGAACAGGUUGUUCUGAGCAACCUCAAAUCUAAUGCAACCACGCAAGUCAUCUUGGAAAGAUGCGCUAUGUAUCUGGAUCCUGACACAUUGGGCCAUGAUCUUCUUAGUUCAUGUGACAUGGUAAAUGAACAUAGCUAAAGUUCAAUUCCAUAGUAAUAAAUGCAAGGGUAUUGGGAAUGACUAUAAAGUAAUGACAUAAAAGCUAAUAACUCUUGAAUUGUUAUGGAGAUGUUCAUCCCGGUUUGCGAGAAUAAUCACUGGCACGAGCAUGUUGUUAAUUUUGUAGCUGGAAGAGUUGAGAUACUUUCGUCAUUGCCCCUAAGGCGGGGCAACAACAUCAGUGCUACAACACGACGAUUAUCAAUGGCACUCCACAAAGCACUGCAUGCAUAUAGAAUCCAUAUGCAUGCGGAUGUCUCAAGUUUUGUGCAUGUCCAACCACACCUUCUCCAACAGCUGAAUGGGUAAAGUAUUCAGAUAUUCCAACGAAAACAAACAUUUCUAAAUAGUUUGAUUUAUCAGAUUUCUAUCAUCUAACACAUUUCUGAUGUGUUAUAGGUCCGAUUGUGGUGUCCUCGUUCUAAAGUUCAUGGAAUUUUGGAAUGGGACGACCUUAACUACUUCAGUGGUAGAGGUUAGAGUUAGUUUACACUGUCAAACUUGGACUGUUUUUCUUUGUUUUUUUCCCAACCGCAUGGAAUAAUUUUUUCCCAUUUCCGUAGGACAAGACGAACAUGUACAGACUCCAGCUAGUGCUGCAACUAGUGCUCAAUGAACGCAACAGUGUCAGAGAUACAAUUAUGGCCGCAUGUCAUUUGUAACUUCAUAGUUCAUGAUAAGUUUCUUCCUAUCUGCUGCUACGUACCAAAAUGACCAAGGGUUGAUUGUAGUUUGUCCAAAAUUUAUUAAUUCAUAUCAUGUUGUGUGCUGAUGUGAUUUGUUCCAAUUGUAAAACCAUUAUUUAUGUUCUAUAUGUGAUGUAUCUAAUGAAGUAUUCCACAUCCCAUUGUAACAGUGGCAGUUGGGUUAUGCUGAAUAUGAGGCCUUUAUGUACAAGAAUGGCCAACGUGUAAGGGAAAGGAAGAGUACCUGGUAAUGCUGCUGCUGGAGCAUAUGGGAUGCAGUAACAGCAAUGUAAUAGGGCUGUUCAUUUUUCCUUCAAUAUUGUAAAGGAAGGGAGUAGGAACAUGGACAACACUCAAUAUUUGUUCUUUUAUUAUAGUUAAGGGUGUUGGUCAGUGUUGUAUUGGCGACUGAUUGGACAACAACUGUGAUUGUAAGAUGUGAUCCAAAGUGAUAGGUUUAUUGUGGGAUAUGGUACUAAUUUCAUAAGAGAACAACAAACAUAGACUGGAACCUAUUUGUUUGUACACUGAUGCAGUUUUAGUUUAUCCUUCUAUACUCACAUUAGUAAAUUGUUUGACGACUUUCCUUUCAUAUUUAGUUAUUGUGUAAGCUUUUACAUAGCAUCUUCUGUUAAUGUUAUUGGUAAGUUGGGAGGUUUGUUUGGUUUGAUUUACUACAUUAAGGUAGUACCUGAAGACCAUUAAGAUAGUACCUUAUGUGCAUUAAGGUAGUACCUGAAAUUUCUUAUGAUUACAUAAGGUACCGUUGGAGUAACCUAUGAGAACAUAACAAUCUGGUUUAGGCUAGCGAACCCGAAUGGAAACGACACCUCUGAUAUAUUGGCUUCAUGAAGAAGAAAUCUGUCUUCGUCUCAUUGGAUUGCAGUUUUUCCUAACCUCCAUAUAAAAUGUGAAGGUAAUUAAUUUGUAUUUAGGGUUGUUGUGUUAAUAAUUUUUAUUUAUUUUUGUUUAAAAUGGAGUAGAGUAGUGAUUUUCGAGUGGUUGUUGUAUUAAGAACUUUUUUGUGCAUCGAUGAGGCCAUAGCUUGAGGUGCAUGUGGAUUUUGGAGCGCAUGAUCGAAAAUUCGAUCUAGGUUUUUUUGUGGUUUGGAGACUAAUGAAAUGAAAAAAUGAAAGUGAGAAUUUAUUUUUUAUUGUGAAAAGAAUGUUCUGGAGAUAUAUAGAAAUUCGGUGGAAAACUUGUGUAUUUUUUGAGAUUUUUAGAGUGAUGGUAAUUAUUGAUGGCUAUAAUUAGGCAAGAUCAACUUUUGGCAAAAAAAACUUGAUAAUUGAAUCAUAUUUGUUGAGAAUAAAAUAAUAAUAAUGAUAAUAAGAAUUAAAAUGCAUAAAUUAUGUGAUGGUUAGUAGAAAUUGUUGGUAGAAUUUGUGAAUUUGUAAUGUUUGUUGGAUUUUGAGUGUACAUCUUUCGUCAAUGAAGACAUAAUUCUUUCAUUGCAUUAUAAAUUGGAGCAUGACAUUGUUAUGUUCUUAUUGCUUACUCAUUCGAUAGCUUAUGUAAUCAUCAGAAAUUUAAGGUACUACCUUAAUGCACCUCAGGUACUACAUUAAUGACCCUGAGGUACUACCUUAAUGUACCUCAGGUACUACCUUAAUGCAUAUUGGAGAAAUGUUGCUCUUCUGUGACUUAAGCCACAAUUAGUUCAUUGCAUUACAGAGUGCAACAUGACAUUGUUCUGUUUUUAUCAGUUACUCCAUCGGUAGCUUAUGUAAUCAUCAUAAAUUUAAGGUACUACCUUAAUGAUCAUGAGGUACUACCUUAAUGUACCUCAAGUACGAACUUAAGGCACCUUGGAGAAAUGUUGCUCUUCUAUGACUUAAGUUAGAAUUAGUUCAUUGCAUUACAUAUUGCAGCGUGGCAUUGUUAUGUUCUUAUUGCUUACUCAUUCGGUAGCUUAUGUAAUCAUCAUAAAUUUAAGGUACUACCUUAAUGCACCUCAAGUACUACCUUAAUGACCCUGAGGUACUACCUUAAUGUACAUCAGGUACUACCUUAAGGCAGCUUGGAGACAUGUUGUUCUUCUAUGACUUCAGUCAGAAUUAGUUCAUUGCAUUACAUAUUAUAGCAUGACAAUGUUGUGUUCUUAUUGCUUACUCAUUCGAUAGCUUAUGUAAUCAUCAGAAAUUUGAGAUACUACCUUAAUGCAUAUGAGGUACUACCUUAAUGACCUGAGGUACUACAUUAAUGUACCUCAGGUACUACCUUAAGGCACCUUAGAGAAAUGUUGCUCUUCUAUGAUUUAAGUCAGAAUUAGUUCAUUGCAUUACAUAUUACAACAUGCCAUUAUUAUAUUCUUAUUGCUCACUCAUUCGGUAGCUUAUGUAAUCAUAAAAAAUUUAAGGUACUACCUUAAUGCACAUGAGGUACUACCUUAAUGCACAUGAGGUACUACCUUAAGGUACCUCAAGUACUACCUUAAGGCACCUUGGAGAAAUGUUGCUCUUCUAUGACUUAAGCUACAAUUAGUUCAUUGCAUUACAUAUUACAGCAUGCCAUUGUUAUGUUCUUCUUGCUUACUCAUUCGAUAGCUUAUGUAAUCAUCAGAAAUUUAAGGUACUACCUUAAUGCACAUGAGGUACUACCUUAAGACCCUGAGGUACUAGCUUAAUGUACCUCAUGUACUACCUAAAUGGACAUUCGAGAAAUGUUGUUCUUUUGUCAAUAUUUUUCAUGAGACGAUUUUAUCAGAUUUUUAUUAACUAAAAGAAAAAAAACUCGUGAUAUGUAACAAAGAAUUAUCUCAGCACAUGACAAUCUAAAAAAAUCACCAGUGCCAAUAGUCUUUAAUGAUUCAUUACGAAUACCAUCCAAUGUCUUCACCAUCACCCAUGACACCUGAAUUUGUCACCAUGGUUUGUAACAUUCUACUUCAACAAAGGAUCAUUAUUUUUUAACUAUAUUUGUAGAGGACACUGGGAUGGAACAGGGAAAAAAUUGAAAGGAUAUGUAACAAAUGCCUUAUCUCUAUUAGGAUUUCCUAUAUAAAACAAAACACAAACAUAGUCCUUGAAAUUUGUACAUCAGCAAAACGUUUCUAAUAUAGUCAACAAACCAAAGAAACCUCCAACCUACCUAUAACAUUGACAGAAGAUGCCCAAGAAUAAUGAACAACUCCUUUCCUACUCCCUUUCCUAUACAAUAUUUCACAUUAAUGAACAACCCUAUUAUAGUGAUGAAUCUCCUCAUUUGAAGAGGAUUGAAUAAUUGAUUUAUCCGUGUCCUAAUUUUGAUCAUAUGGUAAACCAAGUUUGCUUCAUACAAUCUGAAGAAAGAGGAUAACCUUACGCGUAAGCUAUAGCAACAGCAUCACCAUGCAGUCUUUCUUUCUCUUACGCGUUGCCUAUUGUUGUACAUAAAGUUCUGACAUUCAGCAUCACCAUACUGUCAUUGUUACAAUGGGAUGUUGUAUACUUAAUAAGAUACAAUAAAUAUAGAACAUAAAUAAUGGUUUUAGAAUGGGAACAAAAUCACAUCAUCACAUAACAAGAUAUGAAUUCAGUCAUCUGUGGACAAACUACAAUCAAGUAUUGCUUUAUAUGGUAAGUAGCAUCAGAUAGGAAAAAACUUAUCAUCAACCAUGAAGUCACAAAUGACAGGAGGCCAUAAUUUUAUCUCUAACAGUGUUGCAUUCAUUGAGCACUAGUUCCACAACUAGCUGGAGUCUGUACAUGUUCAGCUUGUCCUACAGAAAUGGGAAAAACUUAUUUCAUACUGUUUUUUUUUUUAAAAAAAAAAACAAAACCAAUUAGGAUGUAAACCAGCUCUAACCUCUGCCACUAAAGUAGUUAAGGUCUCCCCAUUCCAAAAUUCCAUGAACUUUAGUGCAAGGAUACCACAAUCGAACCUAUAACACAUCACAUUUAGGCUUGUCAUGUAGAUGAUAGAAAUCUAAGAAAAAAAAAUUCACCUCAAAUGUCCGUUUUGGUUAGAAUAUAUGAAUAUUUUACCCAUUUAGCUAUUGCACAAGGUGUGGUUGGACAUGCACAAAAGUUGAGACAUCCACGUCCAUAUGAAUUCUAUAUGCAUGCAGUGCUUUAUUGAUUGUCAUAGAUAAUCGCCUUGUUGCAGCACUAAUACUGUUUCCUCGCCUCAAGGGCAAAGAUGAAAGAAUUUCAACUCUUCCAGCUGAUUAACAACAUGCACGUGCUAGUGAUUGUACUCACAAAUCGGGAUGAACAUCUACAUUAUCAUAAAAGAGUUAUUACCUUUUAUGUUAUAAGAUAAUAGUCAUGUCCAAUGCCAUUGCAUAUAUUACUAUGGAAAUGAAAUUUAACAAUCGUUAUUUACCAUGUCACAUGUCCCCAAAUCAUGGCCCAAUAUACCAGCAUCCAGAUACAUGCGACAUCUAUCCAUGAUCACCUGGCUAGUUGCAUUUGUUUUCAAGUUGGUCCGAAUCACCUGUUCACGGGUGGGGUUAAUCAAUACAAACAUCAACAAAUGCUAUUCUAUUUUUAGACUAUGUCAAUUUAGGAUAUUAGAGGGUUCACCGAGAACGAAGGAUCAAAAUAGUGUGUGCGCGCUGGUGGUGCUUGUUGUCCAUUCAUCAUGCGAGAGACAAUCGCCACAAUCUGACAAAGUUGUGGAAAUGAACAUAUUUUACAACCCCAUCAACACUUUAUACAUUAUAUGACCUAUUAAUUUUGAAUUUAAUUCAACAUAAAGAUAAGUAACUUACUACUGAAUUAACCCACCGCCCUGCAUUUAGACAAGAAAUUUCUUCUCGGGUAAUGUACAUCCCAUACAUCUCGCAUAAAAUCUCGCUACAAUGAUUGAAAAUGAAUUAUGUCAUAAUGAUGUAAAGUUAUUCACAUAUUAAAUGAUUGUAAGAAUUAUUUUUAGAAAAAUGAAAUGUACCUAGGAUCACCAAUUUCUGCCAAAGCGUAAUCCGAUACUACCCGAUGAGCAUGGGGGAUUUUAGGGAAUUGUUUAACACAUUGGGUGACAAAUGGACUUUUGCAAGUGAGAGGACGCUUCACAAUCCUCUUACCAGUCUGCUUAAAUCUCUUGAUAGAUGAAGGUUUAAUGGCUUGAUUACCACUCCCACCUACCCUAUCACAUUCUCGCGCUUCUUCUAUUGUCACUUGUGGUGGAAGCAAUGCCUCUGCAUGAGACUGUGGGGCCAUUGGCUCGAAAUGAGUGGCUUUUGGUGACGGUUCCAUUCCAAUUGGAGAAUGGGGGGUUGGUGCGAGGCUAUCUUGUGGUUCCAUUUCGUCAGUUGACGUCUGCUUGCCAGGUGUUUCGCGUAUUGGUUGAUAUUCAGCGUGGUGCUCUGCUUUUGGGCAAAGGAUUGAAGAUAUCCCCUCUGAUCCACUUCGGCGGGAACAUAGUGCAGCAACAUCCCGCGCUAGAGAGGAAGCUAAUCGUAGCAUACUCUCCAAUGUGUCAAUGACACGGGCUUCAAUAACCUAUUACAUAGUGGAAAAUAGAAUAGUUUUAGAAUAGUAUUGUAUGCAUUGUAUAGAAGAACUUGUAUGAGUGGUUAGUGAAGAAGAACUACCUCUGUAGCAUCGUCAUCAGCUGUAGAGGUUGAGGCUAUUGAUGGUACAUUCAUAUUGGCUGUGCUUUGUGCUCGCUCUUAUGCCUGUGUCUUGCAUCAUUAUUUCAAUGAGACAAUCAACAAAUUGGUUAUUACUGGUGCGAGGCUAAAUGGUAAUUUAACUAGUAGGGAAAGCUUUGUUGAGUUAGAGCAUACAUGCACAUAUCCAUAACCACCGAAUGUUGAUAUUUCAGCUGCUAAUUGGUGUUUCAUUACAUCGUUAGUCCAUGCAGCAGCUAGCGGGCUGGUCACUUCAACAUUGACUGAUGGCAUGUAGAAGUAUGCCAUGUAGAACAGCUGUCCAAGGGUAGUAUAUGAAACAAGGAGCAUUAAAAAAGCAAAUUGCAGUAAGCAUGACAUUCAAAUUAAAAUGUAAACUAAGUUCAUACUAAUUGCAAAAGGUGUUGGAGCCUAAACUGUACCUGGAGGAACAUGAGGCAGCCUUGGAUGUAAGUAGGCUGCUUUUGUCGAUAUUCCUUGAUUCCAUCUUCUAAGUGUUUCAGCAGAAACUUUGCCCAAUUCCUUUGGACACCAACAUCACCAUCCCAUAUGGUGUCCCAAAGGUCAUGGCUUCCUUCAAGCUUUGAGUUAGGUGCUAGUAGAGUGGCACAUGAAAAAAUUAAAAAUGAUUUUAAAAAAUCAUCACACACGGGCAAAUUCUCAAGGUUUUGCUCCAGUACCCUGAGAGUGUAUGUGCGAUUGGACGAGGUUGUUCUCUUAAGGAUAACCACAUCUAGCCCGGAGUUAGGGAUGCCCAUCACUCUGUUGACAUGUUCUUCGUUGACAGUGAUAGCAUUGUCAGUUUCCAUAUUAAGUCUAUGGUAGGUAAAGUCAUAUUGAGAUAUGAGCCACCCGCAUAGCUCAUAUCUUAGUUUGCGACAACCAAAAGUCAGUAGGCCCCCAAAGCCCAUCUCUCUAAUGGCUUGCUGUUUUUCAGGGGCUAGGCGUGCAAUGGCAUUUAUGAAUUUCUUCCCAGAACAUUGGGACUUAGGAAGCUUAACCUACAGUUAAAAUGAAAUAUGGGUUAGUGACAAAAAAAUCCAAUAUAUGCAAAUUUCCAAUUAAGCUGAAUUUGAAGAUUGGAGCCAUUGUUCAAUGAAAUCUGUUUAGCCGACCUGUGUGCAUGUUGGUGGAACAUGCUCCUUCCUUUUUCUCUUUUCUGUUGCCAUGUGUAUAAUCAGUAUGUUUGGAUGGCGAUACUGAAUCGACGAGUUUCGAAACCUACAAAGUAAUCAAUGGCCUUAUGAACAUUGAAGCCUAUGGAUAUGAAAGUUGUACAAAGGAGUAAAAAUGAGACACGUAUGACUUCAAAUAGAUUAUUGUGAUAUAUAUUAAUGUCAUUGGUUUAGCACAAGAUCAACAGCUCUAAAACAUGAAGAAGAAAACUAUGAACAGUGAUGGAAAAAAAUGUUUCCCAAAUUUUCAACACGCUCCUAUACAAUUAGUUUCAAGUCAGUAUGCACUAAUGAACAAAUCAGAAUUGUCAAAACUAUGAGAAGACUAACAAACAAGUGAAGAUAAGUUGUGGUGGCAAGAGAAAGGGGAAAUGAGGGAAAAACUAAGAAUAACAAAAUACAUUGAUUCAAUGGUAUACAAUUCAUGUUAUUGCGUAGGCGUACUAUAUUGUACAACAAAGCAGUAGUCUUUAUACAUGGAAACAUAUACUGCAGUUUGGUUAAAUUGGUUUAAGCAAUGUAAUGGGAGGCAAUACAUGUGGUUGGAGUAAAUACCAAUAAAACAAGAUGUGGUGCAACCAUAGUUCAGACAUUGUGAAAGAAAUUAAUAAUCAAAGCAAUAUAACUUAACUCAAUGAACAUAGCAAGUGAAGGCAAAGGUACAAAAUAUUGAAAUAGUAACGUUGAUUUGGUGACAACCAAUUCACUAAAGAUACUUGAAAUAGAGUAAGACAAGAUCUACAUAAUGCAAUAAGGUGACAAAUAUGCAUUUAGGGUAAAGGAUUCCUGCAGCUUUUUCUGUUGUGGCCAAACAUAUGACAACGAGAGCAAUAGACAAUGCGUUUAUCUUGAAAUUGGGACUUAAUGCGCUUCUUCCUCGGCCUUUCGGGAGCGUGCUUUGUAUGUGGAGGAUUUAGAGAGAAGAAAACCUCUCCAGUGAUAGAUCGAACCAAACCAUCAUCAUCCACACUAGGCACAUCAUGGGUCUCUAUGCCGGAGAAAGAGCCCCCCGUAUAUCAAUUCUUGCAUUGGGUAUUUGACUAGAUAAUUUUCACUGCUGAAAACCCAUAUCAUUUUUUCUAAGGCCUAAUAGUUAAAGUAAUUUUAUAUAAAUAUAUGAAAAUCAAACUGAUAAAAUUAUCAAAUCUACAUCAUUUUGUGCUAAAUGGGAGUAGUCACAGACAAACAAAACAAACAAUAUAUAGAUCAAAAUGCAUUUCAUCCAUUCUACUUACAUUCCCUAGUUCCAAAUAUAUUAUCAAGGAAAUUAAACCACUGCAUGGAUACCAAUAGUUCCUAUAUAGCAUUUCCUAUUUCCAUCUUCUAAAAGAGAUCUCUAAAUCAAUAUCAAUUACUAAUCAACAAGAAGAGUAACAUAUACUAACCAAAAAUAUUUGAAGAAAUGGGCCGUGAAUUUAACCUAUACAUAUCAAACAAAUACAAAAAAAAAAAAAACAACAACGAAAACGUUAGCACCCACCAACCAUGAAUAUCCCAAAAACCCAAAAACCUGAGUAAUUUCGAAUCUAUAAAUCACCAUUUCAGAAGCACUUAUUUCGCUCUCAGAAGAAAUACAUCAUCCCCAAAAAGUGUUCUCUUUUGGUAAUCCACUGCAUAACCCAAUCCAAAAACACAAUCCAAUAAAUGGGUUUCACUAAAAAUGCAUUGUUUCCCAAUACCCAAAAACAGUUUGGGAAAAAAAAUUCCUUUUUUGGCAAACCAAUUCAAAAUAUGUUUUUCCCAAUUCUAAACCACAACAAAAACAAAUGGGUUUUUUAGAAAAACAAUUCCCAACCCAUAUUCUUGCCUUCAUUUUAUAUCAAAACAACAGAUUUUCGAGAAUUUGCCAAUCCAAAUAAAACAGUAAAAACUCAGAAAACGCAUGGAAUUGAAAAAAAAUGAUGGUGAUUUAUUACGAACAGAUUUAAAAAUUUAGUACCAACUCCUAAAUGCCAACAUUUGAGCCACACCUAGUUCAUAAAAAACCCACACAAACAACAUAUUUACGUGAAUGUAAAUGCGAAUGCAAAAUAAGGAAGGAAUGGGUUACCUCGAGACAGAAAAUCUGAUAUGAAACAAAUGGGAUUAAGCCCUUCUCAACUGAAAUGACAUAACUUUUUUAACACUCUACAUGGUUCUCUGCUUCGGCUCGGUGACAAAGUGAAAACAAAUGAGAGGAACGGGUAAGGAAUGAGAGAGAGGGAAGAAAGAACCGUCGACUACACCGUUUUUCUGGGAAGCUCAAAUCGCCGCGAUGACGAAGUGAAGACAGAUGAGAGGAAUGGGUAUGGAAUGAGAGAAAAGGAAGAAAGAACCGUCGGCAAGGGUCUUGAAGCGUCGGCUACAUCGUUUUUCUGGGAAGCUCAAAUCACCUUGGUGACGAAGUGAAGACAACUGAGAGUAAUAGGUAUCAAAUGAGAAAGAGGGAAGAAAGAACCGUCGGCUAGGGUGUUUUUGUGGGAAGCUCAACAUUUGAUUUUAGAGUUUUCAACCAGUUCAGUUUCAGCCCGUGCUGACGUGCCCUUCAGUUGUUGCUGACCUGGAUACUAAGAGGGGCAAUCUUGGUAGAAAAAAGACAACCGGCUCAGAGUGCAUGAAACUCAUAUAAGUUUCCACAUUGAAAGAUAUUUUUCAUAUUUCAUAAACCUGGGUUCCAAAAACCAUAUAUUUAACAAAUUGGUCCAUGAAAACACAACUUUCCCUUCUUUCUUUCUCCAGAAUUCCAAAAUUUUAAGUUUUUCUAUAUUUUUUUAUUAGUCUAGAAUUUUUUUUUAUAUCAAAUCUCAAUUUAAUGUAUUCACUUUAAAAAAAAAAAAAAUUAAAAAUGUCAGUUGAGAUAUUCUUAUAUUUUUAUCAUUUGUACAAAAAUAAUUUAAUUUUAAAAUUAAUAUCAUAUUUAAAUCCAAAAAUAUUAUCAGAUAGAAAGCAAUUUAGCGUUUUUAUAUAUAUAUAUAUAUAUAUAUAUAUAUAUAUAUAUAUAUAUAUAUAUAUAUAAUAUUUGCAUUCAAAAAAAAAAUCAACACAUUUAUUUAUUUUUAAAAACUUAUUAAAUUUUAAUUUUACUAGUAAAUAAUAGAAAUUAAAAUAAUGAACUUGUGCCACAAGUUUGUGAGUGAAGUAAACUUUGGUUAUGGAGCAUCCAAUGCUCUGGUUGCUUCCACGAGAGGUCAUUCUGUCGUCCCUGGUCAACUAAGUACACUGGUCCACUCCAUGAAAUAUAUUUAUGUUAUUUUUUAUUUUAAAUUUUUGUUAGGAGAACUCUUCACUAUGAGAAAAAAACACACUCUCAAAUGUGGGAGAUAUGUCAUAAAAAAAAUAAUAAUAAAUAAUAAAAAAUACAGGGUGAUCUCACCUCUUGCAUAUCUCCUCCAUCGUAAAACCAGAAUCAUUGAAUAUGGUUCUAGUUUACUAUGGUUCUAGCUUUAUGGCUUGAUUAAAAUUUUACAAUUUUUUGUUUAUAUUAAAAUAAAAUAGAUAUAUAUUUUUUCAUAAAAAAAUCAUAUUAAAUAUUUUAUAUUAAUUUUAUUUUAAUUUUAAAAAUAGAGGUGAAUAGUGGCAUCAAUAGGAAUAUCAAUCAUGGAAGCCAAAGUAGCUAAGGCAUCAGCAAACUGGUUCUAUGCUCUAGGCAUAUGUGUGUAUCUCAAAUCAUCAAAUCUCCCAACUAGUAGCUCCAAAUAUGCGUGGUAAGGCCUAAGCUUCACAUCCCUAAUCUUCUCCUUGCCUUAAAUCUAUCUCAAUACCAUAUUGGAGUCACCAAACACCUCCAUCUAUCUAAUCCAGAGCUCGAGAGCCGUCUCUAAUCCCAAGAUACAAGCCUCAUACUCAACAAUGUUGUUCGUGGUAAGAUGUCGAUCUAAGAAUGCCAAACGAACAGAUCUGGGAAUGUGAUCACCAUGAGGGGAUAUUAACAAGACACCUAUCUCGUAUCCAGAAUGGUUGGCUGCACCAUCAAAGUACAUGCGCCAGCCUGAUAAACUGGUCACAGCAGCGACAUCCUCGUCUGGGAAGUCGUCAUCAAUGGCUCUGCCAUCGGAAACUGGUAAAGAAACUAGGUGAUCCACGACAAUGCUCCCUCUAAUGGACUUUUGAGUGACAUAAUGGAUGUCAAACUUAGUCAGAAGUACCAACCAUCUCAUGAGGCGACCGACCAAAGAGGGCUUGUUAAACAAAUAUCUCAGAGGAUCUAGACGGGAUAUCAAAUGCACUAAAUACUCGAUCAUAUAAUGUCUCAAUCGGCAAGUGGCCCAAACCAAUGCCAAUCAGUAACGCUCAAUCACGACAUAUCUCGUCUCGUAGUCUAGCAUCGUCUUACUCAGAUAAUAAAUGGCUCGCUCCUUGCCUGAAUCAUCGAACUGAGCCAACAUACAUCCCAAGGCUACGUCUGAGACGAAUAGGUAUAGGAGUAAAGGACGGCCUGGUGUAGGAGGUGCCAAGGUUGGAGGUGACAACAAGUACUCUCGAAUCCUCUCAAAUGCACGCUGACACUGAUCAUCCCAAAUAGUAGGUUGACUCUUCCUCAAGAGUUGGAAAAUGGGCUCACAGAUGUCUGUCAAUCUAGCGAUGAAUCUACUAAUGUACUGAAGUCUACCCAAGAAGCCUCUGACCUCUCUCUCUAUCCUUGGUGCAAGCAUGUCAAGGAUGGCUCUGAUUUUAUCCGGAUCUACCUCUAUGCCUCUCUCACUGACCAUAUACCCCAAGAGUUUCCUAGAAGUCACUCCGAAAGUGCACUUCUUAGGAUUCAGUCUCAAUCUGAACUGUCGGAUCCUGUCAAAGAACCUCUCAAAAGCUGCUAGGUGAUCCAAUCUGUCUCGGGAUUUCACUAUCAUGUCGUCUACAUAUACCUCGACAUCCCGAUGCAUCAUGUCAUGGAAGAGGGUGGUCGUUGCUCUCUGAUAGGUGGCCCCUACGUUCUUCAAUCCGAAUGGCAUGACUCUAUAGCAAUAAGUACCCCACUCGAUAAUGAAGGACGUCUUCUCCAUGUCCUCUGGACCCAUCAAGAUUUGACUAUACCCGAAAAAUCCGUCCAUAAAAGACAACAUCGAAUGACCUAUCGUAUUGUCAACUAGCAUGUCGAUGUGUGGGAGAGGAAAAUCAUCCUUAGGACUGGCCUUAUUAAGAUCUCGGAAAUCAACACAGACUCUCACCUUGUCGUCAUUUUUGGGAACAUGGAUGACAUUGGCCAACCACUCUAGGUACUCAACCACUGACAAAAAUCCUACACUGAGCUGCUUCCGGAUCUCCUCUUUCACUUGCAAACUCCAACGAGGGUGCAAUCAUCUCAACUUCUGCUUAACCGGUCUAGCAUGGGGCAGAAGUGGCAAACGAUGUUGGACGAUAGAUGGAUCAAGGCCUGCGAAAAGGUCCAAGUAUGCUUUGAGCAACUAGAUGAGGCUAUCCUUCUCAUCUACAGAUAGAUCUGAUCCGAUCCUCAACUCCCUAGGCUGAUCUGCUGUGCCGAAAUCAACAAUCUUUGUGUCCCCUACAGCCGGUGAAACUCUUUUAUCAACGGGAUCCGAAUCGAAAACAGAAAAUGAGUCAUCGUCUGAAUCAUGCUGUGCAAUCUCAUCAUCAAUGUCAAAUAUAUGUGUUGUGGGUGAAGGUGGUGCAGAUAAAUCAAUAUCACAAGAGAUAGGCAAAUACUCAAAAAUGCUCAAAUCCAUAGAUGAAAAGUCAAAAACAUAGUCAUGAUAGGAGACAAAUCUCGAUAAGACAUCGAAUGAAAGAAGUGAGUCCAUAAAGUCAAACACUCCCUCAACAAGGCUAACAGUGCCAUCAAUUAAAUCAACAACAGCUAUAGCAUCCUCAGCGAUCUCGAUGAAAGAUACCCCAAAAAGAUCGAAUGGUGAAGUGAGCUCAGGCUGGACUAUCUCCUCAAUUUGGCUCAAGCUCAACGCAAGCAUCUCAUCGACGUACUUGUCACAUGGCGCAGCUCCGUCCACUAUGUCGCUGAUCUCGGAAAAUGUCCCGUGAUCAUCGAUCUCAUCCAGGAAGCAAAACGUCAUAAGGCUCGUGUGAUCUGGAGAGGAAGGAGUGAUCAACGCAGGAGUCGAAGUACUCAGGGCUCCGUCACUCAAUCGUAACUGCUGGACGAGGUGUUGAAGCUCAACCUCCUGGGUGGUGCUGAGUCCUCCAAUGAUCUCAUCAAAUGGUGCAUGGGGCUCCGAUGCCCUCAUAAAGUAAUCUAUUAGGCUCAUGGUAUAUGGGUGAACAAGAUAAUAAAAGGGUGUAUGAGUUAGUCGAGCCCUCAUCAUCUCCUUGCGCAAUCGCACCAUAUAACGAUAAUCGGCCUUAGUGGGGAUGAACCCGAGUCCGAAUGGUACGUCGUGAUCAAGGAUGGCUAUGAACUCACUAGGCUCGUGCUGACACCGCCCUAACCCCAUGCCGGGAAGAUAAGACAUACUCCGCAUCAUAUCGAGCACCACCGUGCUACUGUGCAAGUCAAAGGACAUGGCUACGAAAUCUCGAUAGAAAUCCUUUAUCUCCACGGUCUGCACCUCAUCAAAUGUGAAUCCGGUCAGAAAAAGUUCGUCAUCAGUGCGACUAAUCUCAAGUACAGGCUCAGCAGAAAUGAACAUAUCUUCCACAGACUGCACCAUGACGACCUAACCAUCAUGAAUAAACAUCACCUUCUGAUGAAGGGAAGAAGGAAUGACCCCAGCUCUGUGGAUCCAUGGUCGGCCCAAAAGCAAGUUAAAGGAUGUAGGAAUCCUCAAAACUUGAAACACGGUGACAAAAGCGGUUGGACCAAUCAGUAGCUCAGUCUCUAGUGUGCCCAUGACCUCCCUCUAAGUACUGUCAUACGCGCGAAUAGUCUGAGUGGAAGGACCGAAAUCAGAUGGUGCAUAGCCGAGGGCAAUGGCGGUGGCCAGAGGACAAACGUUCAGGGCCGAGCCAUUGUCUAGAAGGAUAGAUGGGACUCAGCAACCUGAACAACCAACAGAUAUAUAUAGGGGACGUGUGUGGUCCGAGCCCUCUAGUGGCAAGUCGUCAUCCGAGAAUACAAUGCAUGUGGCUCUGUCGACCGUCAUCAUAUGAAUCAAACCCUCAGGAGUGGUAGUAGUCUCGACUCUGAUUUGGCUAAGGGCUCGAAUCAGAGCAUUACGGUGAGUGCUCGAGGAUGGAAACAGGCUCCAUAUGGAAAUAUGAGCCUGAAUGCUCUGUAGCUACCUCAAAAUCUCGUCGUCCUCUACUCUGACUUUCUCGGGAGCAGAUGUACCCUCAAUUGGCCUAGUUGUUGUGGGAGGUGGCUGUCGCAUCACUCUACCUCCUCGGAGAAUAUACUAAACAUCCAGAGUCUGCGAAUUAUCAACAUGCAGAGCUUAAACCUUUUCAACAUCCAGGAUCAAGAUGAAUGGCGUCUGGACGCUGUAAUAUGGCAAAAUCAAUGGCUCAACAGUGGAAGUCUGUACUGAUGCCGCCUCGAGAACUAACCCGAAUGAAACAAGCAUCCAAGGCCCUAAAGUCACUCUGUCCAUCUCCUAAAUCCAAUCUGACAUGAUAGGCUCUGGCUCAGUGUCAUCCCAGCUUAACAUAUGGAUGUAGUCAUCAUGAUCAGAGAACUCCAGGAAAUGUAUGCCAUCGGCCAGUGGGGAAACCGCAUGUGUAGUGUGGGUAGGUAAUGGGUUUGUGGUUACACUUGGCUAACCCAAGUGCACCAAACCCUGGUCGAUCAAAUCCUAAAUGGCAUGCCUCAAAGCGGUACAGCGAUUAGUCUCGUGUCUAGGCCCUUGAUAGUAUGUACAAUGCAGAUCCAUCCUGAACUGAGGUGGAAUCGGCUGAGGUGGCGGCCUGGGAGUGAGAGUAGUCAAUAACUCGGCCUCUGUAAGCUUCCGAAGAGCCUGGCUCAACGGCAUGCCUAACUGCAAGAAUUGCCUCUAUGUCCUCAAAGCAAAUGGAGCAAACGUCUGCUGAGCUUUAGGUCAGGGAUAAGGCACUAUGGGUCUUGCAGUGAACUGAGUAGCAUAGCAUGGAUGUCAUACGGCUAUGUAGGAAACUGAGGGUCUCUUAAUGCCCUGGGUGGCAUAAUAAGGUAAAGCCAAAGUCUGUGGCAUGUAGGACUGAUCAUAAGUCAGACGAGGCGCCCGUGGUCUAUACUGUUGAGGUGGAUAUGAAGAAUGAGCCUCGAGAAGCUAUGAGACCGACUGAUGACGUCUAGGAGGCCUCUGACUGGAAGAACUAAUGGCACUGACAUCCACUGACCUCUGUUCCCCAAAAGGCUUCUUCCCCUUAACAUCACUAGGGGAAGAAUUUGUCCACAAUCCUUUCGAGAUGCCGUCCUCGACAUUGUAUAAAGCCAAAACCAAUGAACCAAAAUCUGUGAAUGGUACCCCAACCACGUGCCUGGCGAUCCUGGGCUAUAAACUCCUCAAGACCCUCUAUAUAUGAUCUCUCUCUGAAGGUCUAUCAAUGAUCUCGAUAAUCUUUCCAUGCUAACGAGAAAUGAAUGAAGAAACUGACUCGUCUGUCCUCUGCCUCAGAGCCUCGAGCUCUCUACUCGAUACAUCUACGACAAUGUUAAAUGAAAACUAUCGUAAGAACUCCUGGGCCAAGUCGUCCCAUGUCCGACGUCGUGAAGACUCCAGGGAUGCAAACCAGCGUUGGGCUGCCCCACUCAAAGAUAGCGAGAAUAGAGUGAUCAUCUGCGACUCGUCCAGACUAUGAGCCCUCAUCACUGUGCUAUAGAGUCUGAGGUGAAUACGUGGACAACCAAUGCCCGUAUAUCUCUUAAUGUCUAGCAUCCUAAACUUAGCUGGCAAACUGGCUACCGGCAUAUCCUCGAAAUCAUCCCAAACAACUGAUCCAUCUGACACUCUCAUCUGCCUCAUACGCUACUCAAGACGGUCCAUACGUGCAUGAGCGUCAUCAACAACAGUGGUUUGGACAACAGCGGGUGAAGCGAUCUCAGAAUGUCCGUGUAAUAUAUAGGGUGAGGCCUAAGGCACUGAAGGAACAAGUGGUGGUGGCGGAAGUGGAUGCGAGUCAUACGGCGUCUUAUCCUAAACUAUUGGUGGUCUACUCUGCUGACCAUCGAUCUCCUGCCUGAGGCUAGCCAAAGCCUCCUAGAUAGAAGUCAUGACGGUCGUAAACUGAUCCACUGUAACAACCUGCCGAUCCAUACUCGGUCUCUCUGAAUACUGGACUAAUUUCCCCUCUACUCUGACCCAAGAAGGUGUAUCCAGACUAUGAACAAAGAUCUGAUCCUGAGAAGAUGAGAAACGGAAUGAGGAUACGAUAUAGGGAAAGUACGGAAGAAAUGAUAAUCUGAACUGAAAUGAGCAAGGCAUCCAAGACGAAGACGGAUUGUCUGACCAUACUCAAACUCGCACUGAUCUCUAUGCACUCUCAACUAGAGACUAAAGAGAGGGAGUGUCGAAUCCAAAACGUGACCACAGAGGCUCCGAAGGCCCUUAGAUGCACCCAUGUGUAAGGAGGGAGUCCUAAUCGAAGGAUCUACAGCUCAACCUACGAGGUGAAGGUGGCUCUAAAUGGAUAUGGGUGGACUUUAAAAACUCCCUAGCAGAAGCGAUCAUACCCUCCGGCGAUAUGCAACCCUCUGCACGCCUCCGAAGAGAUGGGGCGCUUCCAUGCAAGGUGGUCAUCACCUCCACACAUGCACUACCUCAACAUCCCAGGGGAUUUCCUAUGGUGAAACCUCUCAAAACUCUCAGCACUCGAUGGUCAACUAAAGUGCGCAGUGAUGGCGCGGGUGCAUUCGAAAAUCCUAGGAAGCUAAAACGGAAAAGAAAACACGUUGGCCACACAAAUAUCCAUGAAACCUAGCUCCGGGCUAUACAGGUCUUGAAUGAUCGAACUCCUCCAGAAUGCUCUCGUACAUCGAUAUAGCCCAUUGCUAGACCCUACUCCUAAUCUUUGGCUCGGUCAAAGAACAAGCACACAGAAGGCAUCACACUUGCAAUAGUGAGGACCAGAAUGAAGGGUUUGACCGAGAUGAAGAGAGUUGGAGGUAGGGGGAUAGAAGUGCAACCCACAUAAACAAGCGACAUGCAAUCAAGCAGAAGAAAGACAGUCAUGCGACAUGCAGUCAAGCAGCGGACAAAAUAUAUCACUCAUACACACAUACAAACUAUGAUAAUUAGAUAAAAAGUGAUACAAAUUCAUGCUUAAAAGCGAUCAGGAUAAUAUACAAGCCAGAGAAAACAACACAGCAAGUCAAACGAUGUACAAUAGUGAGUCUAUGCGUGUGAAGUGAGUAGAAUGAUAAUGGAAAAAUCAGAAUCGCUAUACCAAGCAAAACAAGAUAAGCAACCUAUGAUAAUCGGCAUGUCAAUGUACCAAAGUAAUAUAGCAAUGAAGCGCAGAAAAAAACGACAUCCGAAACCCCAAUCAAGAUAAUCGACAUAUUAAUGUCCCAAUACAAUAUCCAAGCAUGCAUAAAAAACUCUCAAUGUGUAAUCAAAAGAUAGGUACUCGCUGAUCGACCCAUCAAAUGCCACAUUUGCUUCAUCCUAAGUUCAAGCUUGACCCUCUAAAUCAUCCCCAGUAGAGUCGCCAUUUUGUGGACCCCAUAUUUCAUGCUCAUGCGUUUUCCACUCGAUGGCGAGCUCGAUUUUAUUUGAAAAUGAUUUUUAUUUAUUAAGAAAAUGAAUUGGAGUCGCCACUUUUUUUUUUCAUUUUUUUUAAAGGGUAAACAAAAUAAGAAAGAAAACCCUAAGUGUGACUCCUUAUUUUGGAAAAUGUGGUAUGUGAAAAACUGGAUCGGGUUCAGGGGUCAGGUUACUUAUCGGGAAGGUACGGUAUAGACCGUAACACCUCUCUAAGUCCCUAAAGUCGGGUCUCUACUAAUAAAAUGAAGCAAUCAUGGCAAUUGAUGAGAGAAUCAAUGAAUACUCAGAGUGAUCAUACACAUGUGAGAAUCUAAACAUGCAUAUAGAAAUACCAGAAAGGGAGUGGAUGCAUACCUAGGCAACGAGCCACCAUGUGCUGAAAAUGCACUAGCUGUCUUCCCCCCCCCCCCCCCUCCAGCCUCCUCUCAAGCUAAACUAUCAACCUCUGAAGCUCCCGGAAUCUCCUCCCCCCGUCUGGCUUGCUGCCCAAGAAAAGGAUCUCUUCCCCUCAAAAUAUCUCACAACCCAGCAUGAAAAGCACCCAUUCUCUGCCAACAAAUUCUCUCUCUCCUCUACUCCUCCAAUGACCUCAACUUUUUCCCGAAUCUUCUUAACACGUGUCAACUUCUUGUUUGCUCCUUGAUUCCACUACUUGACGCCAUAGCAACCAAACGAGAAGCAAUAUGUGGCUACUCACAACUGCGACACCUAGCAAAAAAAAAAGUAAUCUGUAGAAACAACAAAGAGAAAAAAAUGAACCAUGCCUAAAUGGGGGUCUACAAUUUCAUAUUUCAAAACAAAUUUUUGGUCUAUAAAAUAUCAAAAAACAAAUUUCAAAAACUAUUUUUAAAAAUUUAUUUUUCAGAAUUGUUUUAAAAAUAAGUACACCAUAUAUAUAUAUAUAUAUUAUGUAUGUGACUCAUUUGCUCUAAUUUGGACAUGAUCUUCCAUUUUUGUUGGCCUAGGCAUGCAUUUACUGACAUAAGCUAUAUUGGACAAGGGCUUUCACUUCUUUUAUGGGCCUCGGGAUACAUUUGAGGCUUUCACAUAUCCCAUUCUACAUCCUAGAACCCUACAUACAUCAAUUGAAAAAAUAGAUACAUCGUAUUUGAGGCUUUCACUUUUGUAUAACUGACUCAUUUGGCCAAUUUUGAGCUUGACUUUUCACUUUUAUAAGCCUUGAGAUGCAUUUGAGGUCUUUGCAUAUCCCAUUUCGCAUAGAAGAACUUUAGGUAUAUCCUUAAGAAAAAUAAAUAAAUCAUAUUGUAAAAAUAAGUACAUUCCCUUAAAAAAUAAUUGGUACUGUGGACCCUGCAUUUUGCUCGAUGCGUUCCCACUUGAUGGUGAAACUCAUUUUUUUAUUUGUUUGGUGAAAAUUGAUUUUUAGAAAAGACUUGGAGUCGCCACUUAUUUUAAUUUUUUUUUAAAAGGAAAAAAAAAAACCCUAUGUGACUCCUUAUUUGGAAAAGACAUGUCUGCAAAAACAGAAACUGGGUCCGAGGGUCAGGUUACCUAUUAGGAAGGUACGGUGGUGAGUCGUAGCACCCCUCUAAGCCUGUAUACAUACGGUCUCUACUAAUCGAAUUAAGGGAAUUGUGGCAAUUAAUUAAUUAAUUAUGGAUACCAAGAAAAAUAAUCAAGAAAAUAAGCAUGUACAAGUCAUAGUGAAAAUCAAUAUUCACGAAAAUAAUGAUGAAAUCUAAUUACAAAAAUACACAAAAUAAAUGAUAAGAGAAUUAUGCAAAAUGAUUUAUUGAACUAAAAAAAAGAUAUUAAAAAAAAAAAGUUUUCAAGAAAUUUCAAAGGAUUUUAUUAAAAAUGAUUUUUGAAUUAAUGAUUUGAAUUUAUUUAUUUACAAAAAAAAAAAAAGAAUCAAUUUAUUUUCUCAAUUUUAUUUGUAUUCAAUUUUCAAAAAAAAAUUAUUUACACUUAUUGUAUCAAAAGAAUUUAUUACAAAAUUUCAAUUCGGGUACAAAAAUUAUUUUUACUUGCUUUUACUAAAAAAUAAUGAAUUUUUACAAUUUUAUUUAUAAAUGUAUUUCAAUUUGUUUUUAUCUAAGAAAAGUAAUUUGUACAAAUUAUUUUUAAAAAAUAGCUUUAUUUGCAAAAGAAUUUUUAAUUAAAAAGAGGAAAAUAUUCAAUCUCUUAUUUCUAAAAAUUGCUUUUAAACCUAUUUUAAUUAAUGAAAAAGAAUUUAUUUAAAAACACAUUUUUUGGACAAUUUUAUUAAAACAAUUUUUCAAAUUCUAUUAAAAACAAUUCUUUUGGAUUUUUCUAAAUACAUUUUUAUGAAUUUUUAUAAAUAAAAAAAUCUUUUAUUAAACAAAACAUUUUAAAAUUAUUAUUUUAUUAAAACAUGUUUAUUGAAUUCUUUCCCUCAUUUAAACAAAAUUUCUGAUUUGCUCAAUAUUCAAUUCUGUACAUAAUAAGUAAAUAUACACAGAUAAAUGUUUACAGAAAUAAAAACUGAAUAAGAGUAGGAAAUAAAAUAUGUACCAAAACAAGCUUACAACAAGCUCAAUGCUCCAUUUACAACUUUUCGAGUCUCGCUUUGUUCCAUGAAAUUCCGUGCUCCAUGUGUCAUAAAUUUGUACUUUGCCAACAUGUUUGCAGAAUGAGCCCAUGCAAAAACAAAAAUAGCGCAAAUGAGUAACCAAAAAGUAAUAAGCCCAAGUCCAAAUAAGAUAAACAAUAUGCAAUUGACAUAAUCUAAAUGUCUCAAAUUAAUCACCAACAAUAUAUCAGCCCAAGUUUCAUAUUAAUUUACCACCAACAAAUUAACUCAAAUUUCGUAUUAAUUCAACAAUUCAAAUAUCACAAACAACAAUUACUAUUAUAAUCAAAUCAAGAAAAAUGAAUAAUAAUAAUAAUAACAAUAAUAAUAAUAAUAAUAAUAAUGGGAAACAAAUGAGAUGGGAAGGGGGUCGCCGGUCGGCAAUGGCUUGCCAGCGGCGACUGGUCGAUGGUCCAACCGGCAACAAUGAGGGUUGACGGAUUUUUAGGAAACAAAACAAAACAAAACAAAAUAAAAUAAAAAUAAAAAUGGGAAAAAGAGAAUGGGAGAAAAUGGGAAGGAAAGAGGAGAGAAAAUGGAAAGGAAAAGAAAUGAGGAAGAAAAAAAAAAUGGAAGAGAUGAGAUGGGAAAAUCGGCCAAUGUGUGCAUUUGGGUGGAAGAAAAAAAAAUGGAAAAAGAAAUGAGGGAGUCGUGGUCUGUGUAGAAAAAAAAAUGGGGAGAAGAGUUGAGAAAUGGAGAGAAGUUGGGGAUGCUCCAACCGUGAGUGGAGUGUGGGGAAAAAAAAUGAAAAAGAAUGGGAAAUGAGGAAGAAUAUAUAAAAAAAUAAAAGAAAAAAUGUUGAAGAGUGGAGAUUUUGGGGUCUUGGACGUGGGGUGAUGGGGGGUAGGUGAGGGUAGGUAGGGGAGAGAGAGGAGAGAGAAAUGAAGGAAAUAAAAGGAAAAAGAAAUAAUAAUAAUAAUAAAAUAAUAAUAAUAAUAAUAAAUAAAAGAAAAGAAAAAGUAAAAUAUAAUAAUAAUAAUAAUAAUAAUAAUAAUAAUAAAAUAAAAAAAAUAUACAAAAUAAUAAAAACUAAGAAAUAAAUGGUAAGUGAGUCAAAAAACACAUGUAAUCGGGAUUUAAAAUCUAAGGACAAAAUUGGGCUCAAAAUCAAUGUAAAAUAAAAAUGAGACAAAUUUUGGGGUCUACAAAUAUGUCCCUCUUCGGUAGAGUCCACGAGUAAAGUGAGUGUAUACACAAACGAAACGAAAUGGACUUUACUGAAGAAAAAGAAAGACCACCAAAUUUGUCUCAAUAUGACAUGGGCUCUCUUAAACCAAAACAAGAACAAAGAGGUUCUAAGACCCUACAAAAAUAGCAAGAACUAAAACUCCUAAGGUGCCCUUAAAGAUACACUAUGGAUCCAGACUCCCUUAGAAAUGUCUCUAAAAGUGACUUGAAAAUUGAUGUCGAAGUCGAGUAGCAGCUGAACCACCGAGGAACACAAGAAUAAAUGUGUAUAAAGGAAGAAAUUACUCAUCUAUAUACGAAAGUAGGAUGGAAUAUGAAGCUGUGAGGACAAGGUGUGCAAAGACUAGUGUCACCUAAAUCUAAAGUAAAGGAUGGGACACGACUGUAAUGACCAAAAUCACCUAAAAUAGAGGAAAGAUCGAACGCGGUUGCCAUGACAAAAAACACCUGAAUCAUAUGGGACACUGUCACAAUGACCGAAAUCACCUUAAACAAACGGGACGUGAUCGCAAUGACCGAAAUCACCAAACUAAAGGAAAAGACGAAUAUGCGACCAAUCGUAUAGGUGCGAUCUACGCUGGAAACUCAAACUGAACAUAGGGUGAAUGACCGAUCGAUAAAGGUGCGGUCCCAAAAACUCAAACUGAACUCAAACUGACAAGACAAAUGAUCGAUCGAUAUGGGUGCGACCCUGACUCGAACUCAAACCGACAAGAGAAUGGUUGAUUGAUAUAGGUGCGGUCCCAAAAAUUGAAAUCAAAUUGAUAAUACAAAUGACCGAUCGAUAUAGGUGCGGUCCCAACUCGAAACUGAACUGACAUGAUAAUGACCUAUCAAUAAAGGUGCGAUCCUAACUCGAAAGUAAACUAACAUGACAAGACAAUGACCGAUCGAUAUAGGUGCGGUCCCAAAACUCAACUUAAACUCAAACUGACAAGGAAAUGAUAGGAAGAUGGCCGAUCGAUAUAGGUGCGGCCCCGAAAACUCAAACUAAAACUGACAAAACGAUAAAUGACCGAUCGAUAUAGGUGCGGCCCCGAAAACUGAAACUGAAACUGACAAGACGAUAAAUGAUCGAUCGAUAUAAGCGCGAUCCCGACUCAAAUUGAACACAAAUUGAUAGAAAUAUGGUCGAUUGAUAUGGGUGCGGCCCCCAAAACGCAAACUCAAACUAACAGGACGAUAAAUGACUAAUCGAUAUAGGUGCGGUCCCAAAAAGCUCAAACUAACACGGAAAUGAUAGGAAGAUGGUCGAUCGAUAUAGGUGUGACCCUAACUUAAACUGAACAUAAGCUGAUAGGAAUACGGACGAUCGAUAUGGGUACGGACCCCAAAACGCAAACUCAUACUGACAAGAUGAUGACCGGUCGAUAUAGGUGCGGUCCCAACUCAAACUGAACACAAACUGACAAGAGGAUGGCCGAUCGAUAUAGGUGCGACCCCGAAAACUCAAACUGACACAGAAAAUGACCGAUCGAUAGAGGUGCGGUCCUGAAACGAAAAGUGAUAGGAAAAUGAUCGAUCGAUAUAGGUGUGGUCCCGACUCAGACUCAAACGGACAAGAUGAAUGAAAAUAACCGAUUGAUAUUGAUGCAGUCCCGACUCAGACUCAAAUAGACAAGAUGAUGACUGAUCGAUAUAGAUGCGGUCCUGAAACUCAAAAACUGACAUGAAAAGUGAUAGGAAGAUGACUAAUCGAUAUAGGUGCAACCCCGACUCAAACUGAACACGGAAGAUGACCGAUCAAUAUAGGUGCAGUCCCGACUCAGACUCAAACAGACAAGAUGAAUGAAAAUGACCGAUCGAUAUAGGUGCGGCCCCUACUCAAACUGAUUAACAUGGAAAUGAUAGGAAGAUGACCGAUCGAUAUAGGUGUGGCCCCGACUCAAACUGAACACGAAAGAUGACCGAUCGAUAUAGGUACGGUCCCGACUCAAGCUAAAAUGACAUGAUGGUGAUCUGAUCAAGUGACCUAAAGCCAAAGGAUAACCAGGAUAACAAUGCAAGCAAACUCAGUAGGAGGGAAUAUGCCCUAGUAUGACAACUCAUAAGGAUCGACAAUUAGAUCAAAAAAUAAUGAAGCAUGUGCAAGGUCUGAUGAUCCUAGGGAAUGAGGGUAUGCCCCAAUAUGCAACUCGUAGGGGUCAACAACUAGAUCCAAAGGUGAAUGAAAGUUUGUUGAAAGGUUGGUGCUCUCGGAGAACGAGGUAUGCCCCCGCAUGUGACAAUGAACAAACUGAGAUACAAAAUGCUCCAAAACUACUGUGCUCUAAAAUAUGCUCAUCCAUCAUGCAAUGAAAAUGUCCAACCUCAUAUAGGUAAUGCCAAAUAGGACCAUGUAUCGUGACACCAUACUGACAAAGCAAAACUAACUGAUGAAUAAUAACAAUAAUGAUCAGUGCUCAAAAUGCAAAGAGCAAACAAAUCAACACUCAACAUGUCAACUGUCAAAGUGAAAACAUAGUCACUAAUAAGUCAACAAUCUGUCAGGCCUUUCCAUCAUGGAAGAUGUUGAACCUAAAGUCCAAAAGAUGUAUGAAAGCACAACCAAAGUGAUCGAGGACUGGUCUACACUUCUCCUAACUGAGAGAGGAGUGUGAGGUCAUGUGUCACGGUGAGAUGUGUGGGAUAAAAAAAGGUGAUGAUCAGGCUCUAGUAAGAUAGAAAGUAUGAAAGUAUCAAGGGUGGAAUGUCUGAGUACAAGCUGAAAGGUAUGUAGGUAACCGAGAUCAUCCAAGUAUGCCGAGAAGACUAAACCCAAGGUGUCAAUAGCUCCAUAAUCCAUCAAAAGCAGCAAUCACAAAAUAAAAAGUCAAGUCUCGAUAUCAAAACAUCCGGUUAGGUGGCUAUACCCCAAUAUGCAAUGAGGACAACAUGAAAUAAUCCAAUGAUCUCCAUAUCACUCGUCAGAUGCUCCAAUGUCAAGAAUCAAUAUGAUUUCCCUCCACAAGAUGGAUACGCCCUAGUGUAAAGGAUCCAAUAGUGUGGUUAUGCUCCAAUGAAAAAUGCUCUCCAUCCCGAUUAUGCCCCAAUGUAAAGCAGUGCAUCCGAGUCAACAAUUGCUAAGUAGGACCAUGCCUAGUACGGGUUAACAAAUUGAUCAAUCUCUAUUCCUGGUGCCAAAAAUGAAAGCAUCUCAACAUAAUCCAUAUGAAUCAGAAUCCUCGUGCUCUAUGAAUGUGAAUGAAGUGGCUAUGCCCUAGUAUAAACCAUCUGAAGUGUCUAUGCUACAAGAUAAAUCAAAGUCCAUCAUCGAUGAGAGGGCUAUGCCUCAAAACAAAUCAUCUCAAAAAUCAACCAUCAAUGAGUGGAGUGUGUCCCAAUGCGGAAUAUCAAGUAGAGUGAUUGUAUCUCUAAUAAAAGCACUUUCUAAAAUGGCUAUGCUCCAAUGUAGGAUCAUCCCACAACUCCUAAUCCAUCAUGAUCCAAACAAAAACUGACUAUGCCCCAAUGCAAGGCAUCAUCUCAAAAGAAACUGCCAUCGAUGAGCGGGGUAUGCCCCAGUGUAGAUCAUAUCACCUCUGAAAAUCCAUCACUGAUAAAAAGGGUAUGCCCCAGUGUAAAUCCAUCGCCUCAACUCCCCAUUUGUCAUGCUCCAAGAAAUAAUCUCCAACAAAUCUCAAGUAUUGCCCAUGUGUGAGCCAUCAAGCAUAACGUGUGAAGUCAUGACCAUAGGGUGGUCUUAAGAUGCGGGACGUAACGUAGGUUAAGGUAAUAGGGUGAAAGAAACGAAAGGAAACUAGGCUCAAAUAUCCCAAUGAUAUAAUCCCCAUACCCCUCAUGCAUGAGAUGCAAUGCGUAGAAAAUGUCAUGAAUCCUGGACCUAAGGGUCUCCACACAAAAAGUGAUGAUAAAGGAAUGGACACAUCAAAUAAGCAAGAAUAAAGUGUGGAGGCUGAACCCAAGUCAAACAUUAAGUAGGACGAGAAAAGAAAGAAAUCAAAUGAGAUAAGGUGAAAUGAAGGAACAGAACAAAGAUAGAAGAAAGCAAAGAGAUAGAAAAGUGAGUGAUAGUCAACCUAUAUCAAAGUAUGAAAAAUAGUCACAUCUGAAAUAGAUGGAAUGAUGGAUAGAGUAAGGAUCUAGAGAUACCAAAGAAAUGUCACACGCCAUCUCACAAAAGAAAUGAAAAAUGUGACUCAUACUCUCGCUCAAAAUAUACAUCAAGAUGAAUCUAAAAAAUAAGCUCUCAUACGAACUCUCUCUAACACAUAAACUGAAUGAAGCAAACUAGCACAUCCAUACAUGUGCUUAAUGGAAAACCGUAUAAUGAACAAUGCACUUUUUUUUUUCUCUUUUUCUAUUGUUUUUUUUUUUUUUUUUUUUUGUGGAUACUCUGAUCAAUAAUGAAUGAACUCCCAUGAAAAUACAUACUCAAAUGAUCAAAUCCUCUCCACAUACAGAUGUAACAUAAAUUCUCACUAACAAAACAACCUCUCAAACUGAAAUCUCUAAACCACUACCUAUGGGGUGAACGGGGGGAAAGAAUGUGACAAUCCUCUAUGUAAUGACGUGUGAAAAACCACUACUCAAGGUGAAACAAGGACAAUGUUGAGCAAGCAAUGAUGAAGGAAAAGACAAAGAACGAAUAUCACAAGUGGUGAUAUGUGAUGCCAAAAAAAGUGAUGAGAUGAUGUCAAAGAGGAAAAUAUCACAAUGAAGAGUGAGGAAUGAGGCCUGAAUAUGUAUGUCAGGUCUAGAAUUCAUGAUGUAUCCAAUCAAAGCAUGCAAACACUAUAGGGUCCCUAACCCGGUGCAAUAGGUAAAUGAGGUGAUGAAAGAAAAGGCUAUGGUGCUCGUGUGAGACUCAAUGGGCUAGCAACGGGUAACUCUACAUGUAAGGGUGAUAGGGUAAAUGGGCUCAUGAAAUGAUGGUCACCUAUCCUUUAACCACAACCUCGAACAUCAUGCUUUCAAGAUCUCACAUGGCUAAUACUAAAGACUGGCAUCCGUCCAACAUAGUUGUAUCAACCUCUCUGAAAUCGUGUGACAGCUCCCACUGAUGCUUUGUGAUAAUCAUGAAAGCCCUUUUUAACAAUCACCUCACUCUAUCGUCAUGAGCCACCCACCAUCAUCUCAUAAAAUCACCAUCUCUAAUCAUCCCGACUCUCUGAAGCCAUGUGCAAUGGCUCAGAUCUGGAUGCUCCAUGAUAACUCCUCUGCCUCAACAACGUCAUCAAGCAAUCAAACCACUCUCACAUCGUGAUCCAUCUAUCAUCAUGCAAAGCUCACCUCGGGUCUAACCAUCUCGGACUUUACCUGGUCAGAUCAAGGAAAUGAUGGAAAGAAUAGGCAAUGGUACUAUAGUAUACAAAGACAAAUAGGGAUGGAAGGUCGUAUAAUGGUACCAAGGGGUGGUGUCAUGUCAGGCUCAAAAUGGGUAGGUCAUCAAGCCUACCAAGUCAGGAUAUGGAUAUAUAUAUAUGGUGCUGCUCUGAUCAAAAGGUGAAAUGGGUCACAGUCUCGAACUCCCUAGGUUGAUCUCCUAAUCCUAGGUCAAUAGGCUCAAUAUCCUCCAUGAUAGGUCAGGUCAAAGUGAUCAUGAUGUGCAAAUGUAUAGAUGUCCCAAGUCAAAAGUACAACACAUCAUAUGAUAUACGGUCAUGUGAUAGCAAACUAAAACUGGAAAUAUGACAGAAACCCUAAGAUCAUAAAGGUGUCUACUAUGAUAUGGUUACAAAUGUGACUAAAGAAUUUCUAUCAACGAUCCAGAAAAUGAAUGAGGUGUGAAAAAAAACACUGUCAUGAGAUCGAUACUCCAUCUAUAACAAAAUACCUCUGAUUCACUUUCAACCCAAGCUCAAUAAAAAAAAUGAUUGGGUGAUAAAGGCAAACAUCUCAAUAAUGGUGUGAAUGUGAAAACCUGCCUUUCACCUUUCUAUAAUGAAAAUAUCUAGUUGAAAAUAGAAUCAGGUGAGUCGACCAAAUAAUGAAGUAUCAAACCCAUGAUAGGUGAAGAAUAUAAAAAUGUGAGCAUAAUCAAUGAGCAUAUCCCAAAGUGUCAAGUAAAAAGUGACAACAAAUUGAAAGAAAGUGUCAACUUAAGAAAAGAAGACCAUCUAAAGCUCUAGGGAGAAAGAGUGCUAGACUCAACUAGCUACAAGAAGAAACCAGAACCAUAUAGUAAAGGGUGGUCCGACUAAUACUCAAACUCGCACUGAUCUCUAAGCACUCUCAACUGGAGACCAAAUGAGGAAGUAUUGGAUCCGAAUUGUAACUAAAGAGGCUUUGAAGACCCUCAGAUACACCCACGUGUAAGGAAGGAAGUCCUGAUCGAAGGAUUUAAGGCUUAACCUACAAGGUCAAGGUGGCUGUAAAUAGUAAAGUGGUGGAUCUUAAAGGAUCCCUAGCAGAAGCGAUUAUACCCUUUGGUCGUACGCAACCCUCUGCACACCUCCGAAAAGACGGGGUGCUUCCAUGCAAGGUGGUCAUCACUUCCACACAUACACUACCUCAACAUCUCGGGGGGUUUCCUAUGGUGAAUGCUCUUCUAAUGGUUGUCGUAUCUCACAACUCUAUCCACUCAUUAAUGAUCUAAGGUGCACAGUGAUUGGUGUGGGUGCAUCCGAAAAUCCUAUGAAACUAAAAGAAAACACACUGGUCUCACAAAUAUCCUGAAAUCUAGCUCUGGGCUAUACAAGUCUUCAAAGGUCGGACUCCAAUCAACAUCAACGUGUCGGCCACCUCCAAGAUGCUCCCAAACAUAGAUAUAGCCCAUCGCUAAACCCUACUCCUAAUCACUAGCUCAGUCGAAGAGCAAACAAAGUAACAAGUCUCAUAUCAAAUACAAGAUCAAGGGGAACAAGGUCGACCAAGACUAGGGAAUUGGAGAUAAAGGGAUAUAUGUGUGUCCCACAUAGAUAAGCAACACAUGCAUCACACAAAAGAAGAGUAGUCAUGCAACAGACAUUCAUGCAACACACAUGUAUAUAUCAUCCAAAUCUACACACAAGCUAAGCAAGAAGUAUGAUAAUAGAGAUGGAUAUAACAAGAAUAAACAAUAUGUUGAGACAAACAAGAUAAUAUACAACAAAUAGAAUCAAUCAUGUCAAGAUGAAUGAGAUAUACAAAAAUAAGAAUAUAAAUGUCCAAGAAAGCAAGACAAUCAUACAACAAGAAGAGUCAUUAUACUAAAGUAGGUAAGAGAAACAAUCAAUGUAAUCAACAUGUCAACAUCACAAAUGAACAUAACAACCAAACAUGUAUCAUAGAUAAACAUAUCAAAGCUCUCAAUGUGUAAUCAACAACCAAUCAUACCAAGACACAUUGAGAGGGGUAUCCAUUGAUCGACCAAUCAAACGCCACAUUCCCCUUAACUUGAGUUCAAGUCUGACCCUCUAAAAUUCCCCAAUGGAGUCGCCAUUUUUUGGACCCUGCAUUUUGCUCGAUGCGUUCCCACUCGAUGGUGAAACUCGUUUUUUUAUUUGUUUGGUGAAAAUUGAUUUUUAGAAAAGACUUGGAGUCGCCACUUAUUUUAAUUUUUUUUUUAAGGGAAAACAAAAUAAGAAAGAAAACCCUAUGUGACUCCUUAUUUGGAAAAGACAUGUCUGCAAAAACAAAACUGGGUUCGAGGGUAAGGUUACCUAUUGGGAAGGUAUGAUGGUGAGUCGUACCACCCCUCUAAGCCCGUAUACAUGCGGUCUCUACUAAUCAAAUUAAGGAAAUUGUGGCAAUUAAUUAAUUAAUUAUAGAUACCAAGAAAAAUAAUCAAGCAAAUGAGCAUGUACAAGUCAUAGUGAAAAUCAAUAUUCAUGAAAAUAAUGAUGAAAUCUAAUUACAAAAAUACACAAAAUAAAUGAUAAGAGAAUUAUGCAAAAUGAUGUAUUGAACUAAAAAAAAGAUAUUAAAAAAAAGUUUUCAAGAAAUUUCAAAGGAUUUUAUUAAAAAUGAUUUUUGAAUUAAUGAUUUGAAUUUAUUUAUUUACAAAAAAAAAAAGAAUCAAUUUAUUUUCUCAAUUUCAUUUGUAUUCAAUUUCCAAAAAAAGUUAUUUACACUUAUUGUAUCAAAAGAAUUUAUUACAAAAUUUCAAUUCGGGUACAAAAAUUAUUUUUACUUGCUUUUACUAAAAAAUAAUGAAUUUUUACAAUUUUAUUUACAAAUGUAUUUCAAUUUGUUUUUAUUUAAGAAAAGUAAUUUGUACAAAUUAUUAAAAAAAAUAACUUUAUUUGCAAAAGAAUUUUUAAUUAAAAAGAAGAAAAAAUUCAAUCUCUUAUUUCUAAAAAUUGCUUUUAAACCUAUUUUAUUAAUGAAAAAUAAUUUAUUUAAAAACACAUUUUUUUGGACAAUUUUAUUAAAAACAAUUUUUCAAAUUCUAUUAAAAAAAAUUCUUUUGGAUUUUUCUAAAUGCAUUUUUCUGAAUUUUUAUAAAUAAAAUAAAAAAAAUCUUUUAUUAAGCAUAAUAUUUUAAAAUUAUUAUUUUAUUAAAACAUGUUUAUUGAAUUCUUCCCCUCAUUUAAACAAAAUUUAUGAUUUGCUCGAUAUUCAAUUCUGUACAUAACAAGUAAAUAUACAUAGAUAAAUAUUUACAGAAUUAAAAACCGAAUAAGAGUAGGAAAUAAAAUAUGUACCCAAACAAGCUUACAACAAACUCAAUGCUCUAUUCACAGCUUUUCGAGUCUCACUUUGUUCCAUGAAAUUCUGUGCUCCACGUGUCAUAAAUUUGUACUCAGCUAACAUGUUUGCAGAAUGAGUCCAUGCAAAAACAAAAAUAGCACAAAUGAGUAACCAAGAAGUAAUAAGCCCAAGUCCAAAUAAGAUAAACAAUAUGCAAUUGACAUAAUUCAAAUGUCCCAAAUUAAUCACCAAUAAUAUAUCAGCUCAAGUUUCAUAUUAAUUUACCACCAACAAAUUAACUCAAAUUUCGUAUUAAUUCAACAAUUCAAAUAUCACAAACAACAAUUACUAUUAUAAUCAAAUCGAGAAAAAUGAUAAUAAUAAUAACAACAACAACAACAACAACAAUAAUAAUAAUAAUAAUAAUAAUAAUGGGAAACAGAUGAGAUGGGAAGGGGGUCGACGGCCGGAAGUGGCAUGUCGGCAGCGACUGGUUGAUGGUCCGAUCGACGAUAGUGAGGGUUGACGGAUUUUUGGGAAACAAAACAAAAUAAAAUAAAAUAAAAUAAAAUAAAAAUGGGAGGAAGAGAAUGGGAGAAAAUGGGAAGGAAAAGAAAUGGGGAAGGAAAAAAAAAAAUGGAAGAGAGGAGAUGGGAAAAUCGGCCAGUAUGUGUGUUUGGGUGGAAGAAAAAAAAAGAAAAAAAAAUGGAAGAAUAAAUGAGGGAGUCUUGGUCUGUGUAGAAAAAAAAAAGGAGGGAAGAGUUGAGAAAUUGAGAGAAGUUAGGGAUGCUCCGGUCGUGAGUGGAGUGUGGGGGAAAAAAUGAAGAAGAAUGGAAAAUGGGGGAGCUGGCCGUGAGUCCAAUGUGGUGAGUCGUGUUGGAAAAAAAAAAAAGGAAGAAGAAAAAUGGGGGGGAAAUGGGGGCAGCCGGCCUUGGGAAAUAGGGGUAAAAAAACUAAAAAAAGAAAGAGAGCUUGUGAAUGGGCCGCGGCCACCAUUUUUGAGAAUGGGGGAGAAAAUAUUAAAAAAAAAAUGAAAGAAAAAAUGUUGAAGAGUGGAGAUUGGGGGUCUUGGACGUGGGUUGAUGGGGGUAGGUGAGGGUAGGUAGGGGAGAGAGAGGAGAGAGAAAUGAAAGAAAUAAAAAAUAAAAAAAAUAAAAAUAAAAUAAUAAUAAUAGUAAUAAUAAAUAAAAUAAAAUAAAAAGUAAAAUAUAAUAAUAAUAAUAAUAAAAUAAUAUAAUAUAAAAAAUAAUAAAAAUUAAUAAAUAAAUGAUGAGUGGAUCAAAUAUAUAAUCGGAAUUUAAAAUCUAAUGAUAAAAUUUGAUUCAAAAUCAAUGUAAAAUAAAAAUGUAAUAAAUUUUAAUAUUUACAAGUACAUAUUAUUUUUAUUGUUUAGGUGACUUGUUUGACUUAUUCUUAUUAUGCACUUUCCCUUUUAUAGGCCUCCGGAGGCCUUCACACAUCUCAUUUCUCGUUCUAGAACCUUGGGUACAUGCCUUGAAAAAAUAGGUUCAUCUUAUUGAAAAAUAAGUACAUCAUCUUAAAACAUAAACACAUCAAAUUUACAUUGUAUAAAUGACUCACUUCACUUAUUAUACAUAUCCGUGAUUUAUUUAUAAGUUACAUGUUCAAGUGACUCUAAUUAUGGAACAAGCGUAAAGCAUGAGCAAGUUAUGAAUAGGUAUAUGACUCAUCAUUCAUUCUAUAGGAAAAAAGGUACAUUUUAUGAAUGUUGUGUACAGAGUACACAAGUCAUUUGAUAGUAAUUAAGACAACGUUGUGUACGAUGGAAUGGUAGUUAAAAACUCUUUUAUUUCUUUAAUACAAGAACACAGCCCACCAGGCACCAAUCCUCAGAAAGGGAUUUCAACCGGAAAGAUUAACGAUACAAUUUCAAAGAAAAAACUUAAGCAAACAGCCAAACACUCAUAUAUAUUAUCUAAUAUUAACUAAACAACACUACUCAAUAGCCCAUGAUGUUUCCCUUUUACUCUAUACCAAGCUUCUUUCUUAUCCUCACAACAAAUCCAUGUGCCCCUUCUACUCUAUACCAAACCUCUUUCUCAUCCCCAUGAUAAAGCCAUGGACCUUGUGUGGGUCUUCCAGAGAAGACGACACGCUCUCCUUUUCCAUGCACCUCUUGGUCCAAGCGAUCAACUUGGGGCACUCCGCCUCUAUGCUGAAGUUGCCAAAGGUCUCGUAUGCAUAAAACCAGCAAGAGAAGGUCACCAGGGCCACAUCCACAAACCCAAUUUUUUCACCCCCGAAGUAAGGCUUCUCUCCAAGCUCUCCUUCCAAAAGCUUGAGGCACUCUAUGAAUUCCUUCUUGCCUGUUUCCUGCUCUUCUCCUUUGGUUGACCAUAUCUUCCCUCCAA
rnacentral:lncRNA from 1 species